rnacentral:lncRNA from 1 species
AGAAUGGAACUGCGAGAAAUAGAAGAACAGGAAAACGAUGUCGUUUUACCGAAGAAGAAGAAGACGAAGAUGAAACUGAGAAAGAAGAGAAAUCGAGAGGAAAGAAAAGAACAACUCAAAGAAGAAGAAACUGAAGAAUUAUUGCAGGAUCCACUGGAGGCUUUUGGUGGAGACAUAAUGUUGAAGAUACUUCAAAACCUAAAGGCACGCAGUGUAGCACCGACUCUCCUUGUAUCCCGUGCUUGGAACGGCGUUGCUUCAAGCGACACGCUUUGGACUCCCAAGGUUCAUUUCCUUUCCUAUUCUUUUUUUUUUCCCAAUCUUUUUGCCUGGUACUCGAAUUUAGGUUUGUUUCCUUUUUUAAAAUUAAUUAAUUAAUUUAGUGUUUUCUUCGGAGAAUAUGAGAAUUGGGUUUUUUUUUAGUUUCACAAUUGGGUUUUUGUUUUAAGUAUUUUUGGUUGUUUGAAAUAAUCAUAUCAUGAAUACAAUUGAAUUUGAAUUUAAGCUUUUCAUGUGAUCAUCGAGUUUUAUGUUCCUAGUUUACAGGAAUUUGUAUUCAGCGCUGAGCUGAGGUUUUUGUUAAUCUUUUAGAAAGAUAAGAAUAUAAAAUUAAUUAAAUAUUCAUCUUAAAUUGUUAUCCAUGCAUGUGUGGUAGAUGUUUACGAAGAGAUGAGCACAGCUAAGCUCAGUACUGGAUCUAAAUCCAGCUUACAGGAUUUCUUGUCCACCAGGAGCAUUAUAUGAAUACUCGACUUAUUGUUUGACUCAAUUUACUACUCGACUUGGCUUUCUUGACCAACUUGAAUUCGUCUGAGUAUUCUCAAUUUAAGCUGAAUAUUUUUUGUCUCGUAUCUAUUUGUCGUUGCUCACCCCUUAAGGGUAUAUCUAUGUAAAGUGACUUAGUUGGGGUAUAUUGUUGGUAUAUUUUAUUUUAAAAUCCUGGGCCCUAGGAAGCCCUUUCUUAUCAUUGAAACUAGACCUUGGCUAAAUUAUUGGUUUAUUUAAAGGAUUGGGGUAUAUUUUUAUAUAAAACCAAACUGAAUUGUGAAUGCCACUGCACGUUUUUACAGCCUUAUAGCCUAAAUUGCUUAUUCCUUCUGAUUGCAUGAUUUGUGAAGAAUUUUUUUUUUAACUUAACUUCAAUUAUUUUCUCUGCUUUAUUUGAAACCUAACCGGAAAGAAUAUCUACCUUUUUUUAUUUUUUAUUUUCAGUUCUCCAGGUAACUUAAUCGGUCAUGCUUCUACUUUGAAGAGUAACUGAGUACGGAUAAUUUACUUGAGUUUCCAGCUGAUGGCAAUGCUGAAUCCUACAAAGAUAUGGCAAGAGAAAUAUUUGAGAGCUUAUUAACAGUACCGGCCAGGAACACGAUCCUGCAUAGCAACAUCAUAUGCCAAUGAACAGAAAAUGCAUCAAUCAAGUUCGUAGGGGAAAUACUUGAGAUAUGCCCAUCACUACAAACACAAGUUAAUGGCAAAGGUGAUACUCCACUUCACGUUGCGGCAAAAUUCGGCCAUUUUAAUAUAGCGAAUGUUCUUAUGAAAAGAGCAAAAUUAGCUCAACAUGAAGAUGAAGAGCUAGAGAGCGGGUUAGGAGCUGCCAGGCAGAUGAUUAGGAUGACGAAUGAAAAGAAGAAUACUGCAUUGCAGUCUGCACGAGGCAGCGUUUCAUGGCAAAGUGGAUGUGUUGAAAAUACUGACGAGAUAAAUACCUGAAUAUCCAUAUUCUGUAAAUAAUUGCGGCAAAACGCCGCUCCACAUGGCUGCUGAGUAUGAGCACUUUUCUCAUAAGAUGCUAGCCUUAUUAGAAAACUGCACAUCAAUGUCCCAUGAAGGCCCCUACGGAAGGACAGUUUUACGUGAUGCAGUAAUGCAGUUGGAUUUCCGUAAGUUUGAUUAUACCCUUUCAGUGCGAAUUUGAAUAUUUAGAUCUUUUCCUGCAGGUUUUGUUCAUGCUCUUUCAUGCCCACGGGUCUGACAGAAUGAUUCUCAAGUAAUUAUAUUUAGUUGGUCACCAAAUUUAAAUUCUGAGAGGCUAGUGGUGGAUAAACAUUGAAUUUGAAUUAUAAUUUUAUUUAUCUUUUGGCUCUUUACACUCAGAAAUGAAUUAUCAUGCGAUGCAACAAUUAUUUGAAAAAAGGAAGAGUCUGAUCAAAGAAACAGACCAUUAUGGGUAGACUCCAAUUCAUUACGCUGCAUAUCAUAAUCAAUAUCAACAGAUACAUGUGCUAUUAGAAAUUGAUCAAACUGCUUCAAACAUUACUGAACAAAGAUCGAAAGAUGACAGCUCUUCAUUCGGCAAAGGGCCGAGGGCAUGCCAGAACAGUUGAAAGAAUUCUUUCCCUUACACCAGAAUGUUAUGAACUGGUCGAUAACAGGGGAUGGAACUUUUUUCAUUAUGCAAUAGUCAUUUUUUUUUUUUAAUGAUUUAAAAACUCUACUAAAAUAUCCGUUAGCGAGGAGUCUUAUAAAUGAGGGGGAUGCCAAGGAGAACUCUAUAUGAUUAGGAAGACUCGAACUAACUAUAGGCAAAAUGUUAGUGUUAGACACAUUUUGAAAUAUGGCUAUCCUAUCCUGAGCUCAAGGUAAUUAAUUUGUUAAUUCUUUCAACUUAUAAAUCCAGCUUUCUUUUUCAUUACUUUAUUAUUAUUAAUUUUUUUAGUUUAUGCAAUUAAUUCAUGAGUGAUGCUACACAUCCCAAAUUUUUUAUCCCAAUAAGUUAUCCCAAAUGAUGUGUCAUUUAUCAAUUGGUUGGUGAAAUAAUACAAUUAAUUCACUUGAAUUUUAUAAAGAAUUAUCAACCACUCAAUUAAUGACACAUCAUUUGGGAUAACUUUUUAAGAUAAAAAAUUUGGGAUGUGUAGCAUUACUGUUAAUUCAUAUUCACACUCAAUUUACAGGAGGAAGAAUUUUCCAAAGAUGUUGGCAGAGGACAAUAUCAAGAUGGUGCUAUAUUCAUGACGACAGUGCUAAAUUGCUAGGACCAGAUCCAAAUGCAGUGGCACGUGGGGUAGUGGCUCGACCGGGUUAGCCCAAAAAAUAAUUCAAUAUCCCUUAAAUUUUAUGGUAUUUUUAUUUUUAAAUCUUUUUCUUUCGUGUCCUUAAAUCAAUCUUUAUUAAAAUAACUUAAAUAUAUUUAUAGUUAAGUUAUUCUGGUUUGGACCCUUUAAAAUUCAAUAUUAAAAUAGUAAUUUGUCUUUUUACCAACUUUCUUUUGAGCAAGUUUCUUGAUGUUGCAAUGUCUUUUGAAUUGUUUUUUUUUUUUGGUUACGUUCACACAGAUAAAUACAAUAAAUUCAUAAUCUAACCCUUCCUGGUCAAAAGACUAUCUUGACGAUCCUAAAUAUGAUUACAAAUAUAUGACAGCGUCCGAUGUUGUAGUAUAGUGAAAAUUACCAUUUAGGACAAUGCUUUGCACCCGCCUUGAGGAUUUUUCUCUGAGUUCGUAUUUGUUGGUCCGAUAACAAAUUCUUCGUUGUAGGAAGCAACUAUUUGGUUUUCCGGCUGCAGCCACAAGGUUAUGAUUGUAACUUUUUUUUUUAAAUAACAAAGAAUUCUAUUGUCAAGCUAUUGUUCAUCACCGUUGAGGUUUUUGAUGGGUGUUGUUGUUCAGGCUGAGCUGGUCUUUCUAAAAAGAAAAUUGUUUUUUUUUUCAUAAAAUAAAGAUAUUAUUCAUAAACGGUUUCUUACUUACCGCUUUUUUUUUUUUUUGGUUAGCCUCCUUAAAGGCAAUCUUUAUGUCUUGAAAUUUAUAUGAAUUUAAGCAAAUCUUAAUUAAAAAAGAGAGUUAGUAAUGAAUAAAUUUGCAAUUUUGGAAGAAAUUAAAUAUAAAAAUUUCAUUGUUAAAUGCAUUCCGUGGAUUCUUCGUUUUCUUGGAUGGGAAUCGAGGAUAGUAGAAUUUUUUAAAUAUUCUUAGGCUAAAGCCAUAUUGAUAAUAUUUCAUUUUUUUGUUUUAAGAUUUCUUUAGUAUACACCAACUUAAAAUUAAAAUUAAAAAAAAUUUCAACUUGUCACUAGCUAAUUCAAAAAAAAUUAUGUUUAUUAGUAUAAAUUUUAUCCCAAAUUAUCAGAUAAUGAUUUCAACCUAGGAUGGCCUCUUAAAACUUGCUUGAGCUUCCUUUUUAUUGGAUGAACUCCCGAUGUGGACUUCUCAUGUUGUGCCUUUCAUUUUCAAGUUUAAUUUUGCUCAGUUGAAAUUUCUUCAAAGAGAUGUCCACUUAUUUAGUGAUGAAAAUGAUCUUGAUAAGAUAAUGCCCUACAAACAUAAGAAAAACAGUCAAAGGGCCAGCUUUAAGGACGUAGACACUCUAGCGAUCAAGUUAAUCAUUGAAUUUUUAAAAAUCUAAAGUUCAUAGUGUGAAAAUUUAGAGAAAUAAAGCCUAGAGAGAGAAAGUCUUCUCUAGCCACUCUUCCCCAAGAUCUUUUUGUCUAAGGUCACUUUCUUCCAAGCAGUCCCUAUACCUCUCUAGAGGAGCCAGAAUAAACUUCAUCGUCACUAGGAUUUCUUGAGUUCUCCCUUUCCUCAACUUGAGCUUGGAACUAAUAAAAAAUUCUAUCAAAGUUCGAAGCUAAUGAAUCCACUUUACUUUGGAUCAAGCUUGCCCUUGUCGUUAGGCAUCAUGAUGUGGAUUAGGAAAAGGAUGAACGAGUACCAUGGCUUCAAAUGAUGAAUCCAUCAGUGGUCUUCUUCGUUGAAAAUAGGCUUCCUUAACCCUAGAACUCAAAGAUUCAAACACAGGGUCAUGAUACUCGUAGCUCAAAUCCAUGCUCACAGUUCCAAGACUUUUAGUCGGGAGUUCUCGUAGACAACGCCAAUUUUGUUGAUAAAAAUUUUGUCCCAAUUUAUAAAAUGGCAAUUUCAUGAGCUUCCUCUUUACUGGAUCAAACUAUGUUGAACUCUCAAUGUGGGCUUCUUAUGUUGUGCCUUUCAUUUUCAAAUUCAAUUGUACUCAUUUAAAUUUUCUCUUAAGAGUUACCUGCUUCCUUAUGUGACGAGGAUGACCUUAAUUAGAUAAUGCUCUAUAAAUAUAAGUAAAAUAGUCAAAGGCUUGCCUCACCAGCGUAAACCCUUUGAUGAUCAAGUCGAUCACCAAAUUUUUAGAGAGAAAAGUUUAGAGUGAGAAAAUUUGGAGAUAUUAUGCCUAGAUAGAGAGAGUCACUAUUUAUCCUCUUGAGUGAUUUUUGGCUUAUCUUUGAAAAAAGAUGGGAACUUAUAUUUGUAAAUGACUUUGAUUUGACUUGAGUCCUUAUUGUAUUGACGACAAAUGUCAUUGUCUUUAUAACACCAGGCAACACUUGUCUUCUUGCGACCAUGCCAUGUAACACUUGGACAUACAACUUUGUCCUCAUAUCAAAAGAGGAAGUUUCUCCAUCCUUUUUGUUUGGUAGAGGAUAUGGUAUCAUUAUGCUUAGUUUUCAAAGGAAGAGAUGUUUUUAUCAUAGGUUUUCAACCUAGAAGUUUGUCUAAGGAGGUUUAUCUUUAGGAAAUUUGUCCUAAGAAGUUUUUUUCUAGAUAAAUUGUCCUAUGAUCAUGGGAUCUUAAGAACCUAAGAGUUUAUUCUAGGUAGCAUGUCUCCUAAAACCUAUAAGACUUAUCUUAAGAGGUUUUUCCCAUAAUCUAGGAAUCUAAAAGGUUUAUUUUGUUUCCUCUUAAUUAGUUGGUAAAACUAUAAAUGAAAGAGCGAGACAGAGAACAUUGAAGCAAAACCAUCCAUCCAAUUACACCAACAGAACAAGAACCUUUCAUUGUUAAAAUGUGAGUUGCUAGUGUUAUAUAUAUAUAUAUAUAUAUCUUCACUUUUAAUUCAUUCAACGUAUAAGAAUAUAAUAGUGAGUCUAUCACGAACAAUUACACAAAUAUUUGGAUUAAUGUACAGAUAACCCAUUGCAGUCAACAGAUAAACAAUCAUUGAUUUCUUAUUCUAAUGUGUUGUGAAUAGUAUCAGUAUACUAAAGAAUCAUGUAAUGAUACAGUCUUUUAAUGUCGUACACGAUCAAUUCAAACGUCGCCAGGAAAAUUUUAUUCUUGCUAGUUAAAUUAUAAAUUUGCUUCCAUAAGACUAAUUAAAUACAUUAAAUUUAGGUUCAAAAAACAACCAGCAAUGUAACAGAUCAACGAUAGAAAAUCAUUUACGGUCUCUUAUUUGCCAAAUCUGAUCCUUGUAGACAUAAAAUCUGAAAGACAACCAACACAGCAACACAAACAAAGCCAAAUGAACACAAGCCACCACAGAGGGUGGUGGGAACAGUCGCCAUAUCCGUGGAACAAAAAAUCCACAGAUCUAUGGAUAUAUUGAAUUAUACCACUAAGUCAUUUUACAUAAUUAUACUCAAAAGGUAAAAAUAUUCUCCACUUUAUUGUCAAUUUUCAUAACAAAGUUGAAUAAUAAAUCGAAUUUUGGUUUGUAGGCUUAUAAUUCAAUAGUGCUUACAAAUAUAAUAUAAAACUUAUGAAUCAAUAUUAAGUGUAAAAUAAAAAUAAAAUAUAUAAAUAAAAUAUAGGACCUGUAAAUAGAAGGUAAACAUGUAAAUUAAUAUAAGAAUUAUUGAAAAAAAUAAAAACUUAAAAAUGUAAGAUCAAACCUCAUUUUAAUAAUGAUUACCUUAUACAUUUGUUGAUUUAUUUUUUUUUAAACUGAAUAAUGAUAGUUUUGGGUUUAUGUAAUAUAUAUGAUGAUAUAUGUCGAAAUUUUAUUAAGGAUAAAACUUAAUUUUAAAAUCGGAUUUUGAAAAACUCUUCUUUUCAUAUUUUUCAAAGUUGCUCGUAGGAUAAGGUGAUUUUUCAUCAUUUUAAAUAUUCUUGAUAACAACCACAAAUGAUCUUUAAAUACAAGUAAGAAGCAAAUUUUAAAAUUACAUAAAAUAUAUAUAAAACAUAAAAUUAGAUACAAUUUUAUUGAUAAUAUUGAAAAAUGCACUCUCAGAAUUUCAAAGAAUUAUGAAUGAUAUUUAUAAUUCUUUUUUUGAAUUUUGCAUUGUUUAUAUCGAUGAUGUGCUGAUUUUUUCUCAAUCAAUUGAGCAACAUUUCAAACAUUUAAAGACUUUUUAUUUGGCAACUAGAAAAGCUGGCCUAGCCAUUUCUAGUUCUAAAGUUUCUUUAUUCCAAACUAAAGUCAGGUUUCUUGGUCACUACAUCUCAAAAGGAACCAUUACUCCCAUUGAAAGGUCCCUUGCUUUUACUGACAAGUUUCCUGAUAAAAUCCUUGAUAAAACCCAAUUGCAGAGAUUUUUGGGUAGUCUAAAUUAUGUUCUUGAUUUCUGUCCUAACAUCAAUAGGAUUGCCAAGCCACUGCAUGAUAGGUUAAAGAAAAAUCAUGUUGCAUGGUCGGAAGAACAUACUAAAAUUGUUAAACAAAUAAAGAACACAAUUAAAAACAUUCCAUGUUUAUUUCUUGCAAAUCCUGCAUUACCUAAGAUUGUUGAAACUGAUGCAUCCAAUUUAGGUUAUGGUGGGAUAUUAAAGCAAGUCGACAAUAACAAAGAACAAAUAGUACAAUAUGUUUCUGCACAUUGGAAUGAAUGCCAGCAAAACUAUUCUACUAUUAAAAAAGAAAUUUUAUCAAUUGUCCUAUGCAUUUCCAAAUUUCAAAGCGAUUUAUUAAAUCAAAAAUUUUUGCUUAGAAUUGACUGCAAGGCUGCAAAACAUGUUUUGGAAAAAGAUGUACAGAACAUUGCAUCAAAACAGAUUUUUGCACGUUGGCAAGCUAUUUUAAGUAUUUUUGAUUUUGAGAUUGUGUUUAUUAAAGGCGACACAAAUUCUCUCCCUGAUUUUCUAACUAGGGAAUUUCUUCAAAACAGAUAAUGCCGCCCAAAAGAAGAGAUAAAGGGAAAGGGAUCUUCACAGACCCUGUGUCCCAAACUCCAUCUAAAGCCUCCCAAUCUUCUCCACCUAAAGAAAAAUUACUUUCUUCUGCUAUGCCAAUUAAGUCUUGGAUUGACACAAUAGAAGAACAAGCUGCUCAAGAAGCCCAGUCUAAAGCACUUGCCUCCCAGGAGCAGAUAAAUGAAUGGAUGAAAUCCAUUUCUAAAUCCCCUGAGCUUAUGCUUGCCUUACAAAGCUUUUCUCAAAGUCAGAUUUCUCCUAAAGAAGAAAAAUCCAUUUCUAAAGAAAUUUCUAAAGCUUCUUCACAAAAUGUGAUUCUUUCUGGUGAAAGUUCAUCUUCUCAGAUUGUUCUUUCACAAACAAAGCUUACAAAGAAAACUUCGGAUUAGUUUAAUAAAACCCAUUUCCAAAAUAUUUUAUCCAUGGAAGACUAAUUUUAUCAUACUGAUCCAUUUCAAGCAAUUUUAAAGAUUUUCCCCAAAGGUUGGUUUUUCAAACCAUGGGAUUUAUCCAAAUCCCAGCCUUAUUAUCAAAGCAUUUUGGAAUUCACUGAAUCACUAAAAUUCAAACAUUUCUUCCUUAGUGAGUCCCAUUCUGAGCCUGCCUAUUCUACGGCAACCAUUAUAAAAGUUUUGAGCCCAAAACAAUGGGGUGAUCUACUCCACAAAUCUAAAGCUUUUCCUCUAAAUUUUCAAAACAAUAUGAACCAUAGCCUAUCUUUCUCCUAUUGGGAUUACCAACAGGCUUGGUUUAAUACCUUUUUCAUACAAAACCCCAAAAAGACCCAUUCAUGGUUAUUUUUCUUCAAUUCUAAAAUAACUGUGCAAAGCCUACCAAACUGAUUUCAACAGUGGUGGAAUUAUUUCGAGCCAUGCCCAGACAUUCUCACUUCAAAUGCCAUUCACUGUUUAAAUCUCUUCAAAGCCCAUCAUGUCCCUUCAGAAUCCGAGAAAAGGUUUCCUCUGUUUCUCUAUUUUUGUACAAAUUUAUUUCUUCCCUGGGUUUGGAUGUGGAACUUUUGAUAUCACACCCAAGAAGCCCAACUCAUCCUACAAAGAACUUUCAAAGUAAAAUGGUGGUCCAAAUUUGACGAAUAGUCAAAAUUGACUGAAGCCAUCGUCCAAAAAUGGCUUUCCUCAAAAGGCCUUCUAACCCCAAGUAUUAAAGAAGUUAAAGCCCAAGGAACUUUCUUAACUCAAAAAUCCAAAGCCCAAUCUCUUUUGGCCAAUGCCAAAACAGAAGACGAGUAUUUUAAAGUCAUGCAACAGCUCCUCGUGUCCAGAUCAGAGCCUUCUGUCGCCAGCUCAUCUGAUCAUGACAGUGCCGAGCCUUUCAUUUCCCUUGGAGACGACAACGAAGAUGACUGCUUCGGAAUCUUCCCUCCAAUAAAGCAUUAAAGCUUAUGAAAAAAAAAGAAAAAAAAGAGUCAUUUUGUUGUAAUUUCUCUGCAAUUUAUAAAUUUGUUCUAAUUUCUCUGUAAUUUAUAUUUUGUAAAUUUGAAUUAGAGUCAGAAGACUCAACAAGCAAAGGAGUUAUUUUGGAAAGGACUUCUUCAUCAAGAUUAAUCUCUUGAAGUCUCCUAUUUAUCCUGCAGUAUUUUACAGUGUGUCCUUUCUUGCCACAUUUAAAACAUGUAGCUUCUUUAUAAUUGAAAGAGGUUUUUGGAUUAGAAGAGGAAGAGGGUUUAGUUUUAAAAUCCUUUCUUUUAGAGAAAUGAGACUUUUUAUAAGGUCUCGAGGACUUCUUAUAAAAAGGUUAUCUAAAAUCUGAUAAGGGCUUUCUAAGAGUUUUAGACUUUAAAUGUUUUUUGUAAGGUCUGGAGGAACACUUACCAUUACAGUCUUUUGAAGUGGAAGACUAAACAUCAAAUCCAAAGUUGGUACAGAUCUGUUGGUACGCGGCGUUGUUCUACCAGAUCGAUGUAGAACUUAAUAUGCCUUUGGAACCAGAUCUGACUCAGAACAGAUCAAUAUCCCGCACGUUCUGGUUUCCAGCCUAUAUACCAACAAGCAUACAGGGGCUCAUGGAUAGUACUAGAUCUGGAUCCCAGAAAUAACACUCUGAUUGAAUGGAGGGAGAAGAGAAAUGGUGGUCCAAAUUCCCAAUUGUAAGGAAGAUCUGGUUCUAAGUCAGAUCUGGUUCCAAAGGCAGAUUAAGUUCUGCAUCGAUCUAGUAGAACAACGCCAUGUACCAACAGAUCUAUACCAACUUUGGAUUUGAUGUUUAGUCUUCCACUUCAAAAGACUGUAAUGGUAAGUGUUCCUCCAGACCUUACAAAAAACAUUUAAAGUCUAAAACUCUUAGAAAGCCCUUAUCAGAUUUUAGAUAACCUUUUUAUAAGAAGUCCUCGAGACCUUAUAAAAAGUCUCAUUUCUCUAAAAGAAAGGAUUUUAAAACUAAACCCUCUUCCUCUUCUAAUCCAAAAACCUCUUUCAAUUAUAAAGAAGCUACAUGUUUUAAAUGUGGCAAGAAAGGACACACUGUAAAAUACUGCAGGAUAAAUAGGAGACUUCAAGAGAUUAAUCUUGAUGAAGAAGUCCUUUCCAAAAUAACUCCUUUGCUUGUUGAGUCUUCUGACUCUAAUUCAAAUUUCUCCUUGAUAGGAGAUAGUGAUCCUUUACAAGUCGAUGAGUUGAUUGACUCAGAAACAUCUGUAUUAAGUGAUUCUGAUUCAGAAACCUUUUUAAAGAAGAUUAAUGUUUUGACCAAAGAACAAGAAACUUUUCUUGAACUUGUAAAACAUAUUUCAGACCCUAUCCUUCAAAAGGAAUACCUUGACAAACUUUUAAAGACUCUAUAAUUAAAAGACAAACCAGAAACCUCUAAAACUCCAAUCAUUAAAAAGAAUGCUUAUGAUCUUACGGAAAUUUUGGAUAAACAGAAAACAAAGAAAGCCACUCCAAACAUCCAAGAUCUCUAAAAGGAAAUUAAGUAAAUUAAACUUGAAAUCAAAGAAUUAAAAGAAAAAUAGAAAAAUGACUCAGAAACUAUCCAGCUUUUGUUACAAAAACAACUCGAAGACAAUUCUGAUCAAGAAUCAAACUCUGGUGAGGAAAAUGGACAACAACUUGAAAACAUCGAAUCAAUCCCUAAUGAUUUUCUUUUUGUUUUAAAAUAAAUCACCACUAGAAAAUAUUUGAUUAAAAUCACUUUAAAAUUUUCUAAAGAUUUCGAAAUUGACACCAUUGCUUUCUUUGACACUGGUGCUGAUUUAAACUGUAUCAAAGCAGAUAUUGUUCCAAAGAAAUUCCAUGAAAAGACUAAUGAAAGGCUUUCUGCAGCAAACAAUUCAAAGUUGAACAUCAAAUCCAAAGUUGAUGCCUCAAUUCAUAACGAUGGUUUUGAAUUUAGGACUUCAUUUCUUCUAACAAAUGAUAUUCAUCAUGCUGUUAUUCUAGGAACGCCUUUCAUAAACCUCAUUACUCCUUAUAAUGUCAAUUAUGAUAGUAUAUCUUUUAAAGCAAAAAAGAAAAAAUUAAUUUUUCCUUUUAUUGAAAAACCUAAAACUAGGAAUUUGAAUAUUGUUAAAGCCUGUUCUAUUUACCAGAACCAAAUAAAUGUUUUGCUCAAAACAAAACAAACUGAUUUAGCUUGUUUACAGAAGGAUUUGAGUUUACACAGAAUUGAAAACCAAUUAAAGAAUGAGUUCAUACAAAGAAAAAUUUCCGAUUUCAAAAAUCUUAUUGAGAAAGAAAUAUGUGCUGAUUUACCAAGUGAUUUUUGGAACCGGAAACAACAUUUGGUUGAUCUGCCUUAUGAAAAUUCUUUUGAUGAAAGACAAAUCCCUACAAAAGCCAUCCUAUUCAAAUGAAUAUGGAUCUAGAAAAAUAUUGUCAACAAAAAAUCAAAGAUUUAGAAUCUAAAGGACUCAUUGUCAAAUCUAGGUCUCCUUGGUCUUGUGCCGCUUUCUAUGUCAAUAAAAAUUCUGAAAUAGAAAGAGGAACUCCUAGAUUGGUGAUAAAUUAUAAACCUCUUAAUAAAGCAUUAAAAUGGAUUAGGUAUCCUAUACCUAAUAAAAAAGAUUUGCUUCAAAAACUACAUUUUGCAUUCAUAUUUUUCAAAUUUGAUAUGAAAUCUGGUUUUUGGCAAAUCCAAAUUCAUCCUAAAGAUCGUUACAAAACUACUUUUACUGUUCCAUUUGGACAGUACGAAUGGACAGUAAUGCCUUUUGGUUUGAUAAGAUUGUGUUUGAUAAGUGUUCCUCCAGACCUUACAAAAAACAUUUCUAGUCAGCUUCUGUUUUGGCAUUUGGAUUUUAAUGCUCUGAUACCAUAAUGACCUAGCGAUCGUGGAGUGUGUGUCGUGUUCAAAAUUAAAUCCAAAUUAAAAAAAAAUAGAUCUGUUGGUACGUGGCGUUGUUCUACCAGAUCGAUGCAGAACUUAAUCUGCCUUUGUAACCAGAUCUGACUUAGAAAAGAAUGACCCAGCGAUCGUGGAGUGUGUGUCGUGUUUAAAAUUAAAUCCAAAUUAAAAACAAACAGAUCUGUUGGUACGUGGCGUUGUUCUACCAGAUCAAUGCAGAACUUAAUCUGCCUUUGGAACCAGAUCUGACUUAGAACAGAUCAAUAUAGAUAUACCAACAAGCAUACAGGGGCUCAUAGAUAGUACUAGAUAUGGAUCCCAGAAAUAGCACUCUGAUUGAAUGGAGGGAGAAGAGCAAAUACAACUAAGGGCAAAGAUCCGCUCUCUAUGCCUUAGAGGAGAACGUAGCAGUUUUUAUGGUAGGAUUCUGAUAUAGAAGAUCAGCCUGCAGAGCAUGCUUUGAAAUACAAAAUUUAAAAAUGGAAACUUUAAAUUGAACUACAAAUUAAAUUACAAAUUCUUUAAAAUAAAUAUUAUCGAAUGCUUACAUGAGAUUUUUCGAUCCGAAGGCUUUACAAACGGGAAGAUGUUUUACAAAAGAAGAAAGGAAAAUCAGAAGACAGGAAAUUUUUCCUCUAUGUCUUCAGUUCAUCUUUUCCUUUUGAGAGAGAGAGCUAAUAGAAUUCUUCGAAUGGAAAAGAAAAAAGUGAUGAGUCUUAGUCUUCAUUCACUCUUUUAUACAAGAUUGCUUUACAAAAGAAAAUCGAUAAUUGGUCUUCACAUGCGGAUGGCUUUUUCUCUCACUUUUUUCUAUAGCUUUACAUGCGGAGACAGCAUAAAUUGCUUUUGAAGAUGCUUCACGUGAGUGGGUCCUUGGACUUUUGCAAAAGGUCAUCACGAGGAGCGGAUGCUUUAAGGGGCAAUAGAUAUACCUUUUGAAAACAUGGCACAUGUGCGGCUACACUUGUGUCUCGAAAGACGUUUUCAAAAGAUAUGGUGAUCAGUUGCUGGUAGGAUUCUUUUGUUGACUUUUGAACGAGGUAAUAAAGGCUUUAAAGAAAAUACAAGGAGUAAAUAAGAAUUACAGAGGAUUACAACAAAUUUACAAAAUAUAAAUUACAGAGUAAUUAGAACAAAUUUAUAAAUUACAGAGAAAUGACAACAAAAUGACUUUUUUUUUCUUUUUUUUUUCACAAGCUUUAAUGCUUUAUUGGAGGGAAGAUUCCGAAGCGGUCAUCUUCAUUGUCGUCUCCAAGGGAAAUGAAAGGCUCGGCACUGUCAUGAUCAGAUGAGCUGGCGACAUAAGGCUCUGAUCUGGACGCGAGGAGCUGUUGCAUGACUUUAAAAUACUCGUCUUUUGUUUUGGCAUUGGCCAAAAGAGAUUGGGCUUUAGAUUUUUUAGUUAAGAAAGUUCCUUGGGCUUUAACUUCUUUAAUACUUGGGGUUAGAAGGCCUUUUGAGGAAAGCCAUUUUUGGAUGAUGGCUUCAGUCAAUUUUGACUGUUCGUCAAAUUUGGACCACCAUUUUACUUUGAAAGUUCUUUGUAGGAUGAGUUGGGCUUCUUGGGUGUGAUAUCGAAAGUUCCACAUCCAAACCCAGGGAAGAAAGAAAUUUGUACAAAAACAGAGAAAGGGAGGAAACCUUUUCUCGAAUUCUGAAGGGACAUAAUGGGCUUUGAAGAGAUUUAAACAGUGAAUGGCAUUUGAAGUGAGAAUGUCUGGGCAUGGCCCGAAAUAAUUCUACCACUGUUGAAACCAAUUUGGUAGGCUUUGCACAGUUAUUUUAGAAUUGAAGAAAAAUAACCAUGAAUGGGUCUUUUUGGGGUUUUGUAUGAAAAAGGUAUUAAACCAAGCCUGUUGGUAAUCCCAAUAGGAGAAAGAUAGGCUAUGGUUCAUAUUGUUUUGAAAAUUUAGAGGAAAAGCUUUAGAUUUGUGGAGUAGAUCACCCCAUUGUUUUGGGCUCAAAACUUUUAUAAUGGUUGCCGUAGAAUAGGCAGGCUCAGAAUGGGACUCACUGAGAAAGAAAUGUUUGAAUUUUACUGAUUCAGUGAAUUCCAAAAUGCUUUGAUAAUAAGGUUGGGGUUUGGAUAAAUCCCAUGGUUUGAAAAACCAGCCUUUGGGGAAAAUCUUUAAAAUUACUUGAAAUGGAUCAGUAUGAUAAAAUUCAUUUUCCAUGGAUAAAAUAUUUUGGAAAUGAGUUUUAUUAAACCAAUCCGAAGUUUUCUUUGUAAGCUUUGUUUGUGAAAGAACAAUUUGAGAAGAUGAACUUUCACCAGAAAGAAUCACAUUUUGUGAAGAAUCUUUAGAAAUUUCUUUAGAAAUGGAUUUUUCUUCUUUAGGAGAAAUCUGACUUUGAGAAAAGCUUUGUAAGGCAAGUAUAAGCUCAGAGGAUUUAGAAAUGGAUUUCAUCCAAUCAUUUACCUGCUCCUGGGAGGCAAGUGCUUUAGACUGGGCUUCUUGAGCAGCUUGUUCUUCUAUUGUGUCAAUCCAAGACUUAAUGGGCAUAGCAGAAGAAAGCAAUUUUCCUUUAGGUGGAGAAGAUUGGGAGGCUUUAGAUGGUGUUUGGGACACAGGGUUUGUGAGGAUCCUUUUCCCUUUCUCUCUUCUUUUGGGCGGCUUUAUCUGGUUUGAAAAAAUUCCCUGGUUAGAAAAUCAGGGAGAGAAUUUGUAUCGCCUUUAAUAAACACAAUCUCAAAAUCAAAAAUACUUAAAAUAGCUUGCUAACAUGCAAAAAUCUGUUUUGAUGCAAUGUUCUAUCCAUCUUUUUCCAAAACAUGUUUUGCAGCCUUGCAGUCAAUUCUAAGCAAAAAUUUUUGAUUUAAUAAAUCGCUUUGAAAUUUGGAAAUGCAUAGGACAAUUGAUAAAAUAUCUUUUUUAAUAGUAGAAUAGUUUUGCUGGCAUUCAUUCCAAUGUGCAGAAAUAUAUUGUACUAUUUGUUCUUUGUUAUUGUCGACUUGCUUUAAUAUCCCACCAUAACCUAAAUUGGAUGCAUCAGUUUCAACAAUCUUAGGUAAUGCAGGAUUUGCAAGAAAUAAACAUGGAAUGUUUUUAACUGUGUUCUUUAUUUGUUUAACAAUUUUAGUAUGUUCUUCUAACCAUGCAACAAGGUUUUUCUUUAACCUAUCAUGCAGUGGCUUGGCAAUCCUAUUGAUGUUAGGAUAGAAAUCAAGAACAUAAUUUAGACUACUCAAAAACUCUACAAUUGAGUUUCAUCAAGGAUUUUAUCAGGAAACUUGUCAAUAAAAGCAAUAGACCUUUCAAUGGGAGUAAUGGGUCCUUUUGAGAUGUAGUGACCAAGAAACCUGACUUUAGUUUGGAAUAAAGAAACUUUAGAACUAGAAAUGGCUAGGCCAGCUUUUCUAGUUGCCAAAUAAAAAGUCUUUAAAUGUUUGAAAUGUUGCUCAAUUGAUUGAGAAAAAAUCAGCACAUCAUCGAUAUAAACAAUGCAAAAUUCAGAAAAAGGAUUAUAAAUAUCAUUCAUAAUUCUUUGAAAUUCGGAGGGUGCAUUUUUCAAACCAAAAGGCAUUACUGUCCAUUCGUAUUGUCCAAAUGUAACAGUGAAAGCAGUUUUGUAACGAUCUUUAGGAUGAAUUUGGAUUUGCCAAAAACCAGAUUUCAUAUCAAAUUUGGAAAAUAUGAAUGUAGAAUUUAGUUUUUGAAGCAAAUCUUUUUUAUUAGGUAUAAGAUACCUAAUCCAUUUUAAUGCUUUAUUAAGAGGUUUAUAAUUUAUCACCAAUCUUAGGGUUCCUCUUUCUAUUUCAGAAUUUUUAUUGACAUAGAAAGCGGCACAAGACCAAGGAGACCUAGAUUUGACAAUGAGUCCUUUAGAUUCUAAAUCUUUGAUUUCUUGUUGACAAUGUUUUUCUAGAUCCAUAUUCAUUUGAAUAGGACGGGCUUUUGUAGGGAUUUGUCUUUCAUCAAAAGAAUUUUCAUAAGGCAAAUCAACCAAAUGUUGUUUUCGGUUCCAAAAAGCACUUGGUAAAUUAGCACAUAUUUCUUUCUCAAUAAGAUUUUUGAAAUCAGAAAUUUUUCUUUGUAUGAACUCAUUCUUUAAUUGGUUUUCAAUUCUGUGUAAACUCAAAUCCUUCUAUAAACAAGCUAAAUCAGUUUGUUUUGUUUUGAGCAAAACAUUUAUUUGGUUCUGGUACACAGAACAGGCUUUAACAAUAUUCAAAUUCCUAGUUUUAGGUUUUUCAAUAAAAGGAAAAAUUAAUUUUUUUCUUUUUUGCUUUAAAAGAUAUACUAUCGUAAUUGACAGUAUAAGGAGUAAUGAGGUUUAUGAAAGGAGUUCCUAGAAUAACAGCAUGAUGAAUAUCAUUUGUCAGAAGAAAGAAAGUCCUAAAUUCAAAACCAUCGUUAUGAAUUGAGACAUCAACUUUGGAUUUGAUGUUCAACUUUGAAUUGUUUGCUGCAGAAAGCCUUUCAUUAGUCUUUUCAUGGAAUUUCUUUGUAACAAUAUCUGCUUUGAUACAGUUUAAAUCAGCACCAGUGUCAAAGAGAGCAAUGGUGUCAAUUUCGAAAUCUUUAGAAAAUUUUAAAGUGAUUUUAAUCAAAUAUUUUCUAGUGGUGAUUUGUUUUAAAACAAAAAGACAAUCAUUGGGGAUUGAUUCGAUGUUUUCAAGUUGUUGUCCAUUUUCCUCACCAGAGUUUGAUUCUUGAUCAGAAUUGUCUUCCAGUUGUUUUUGUAACAAAAGCUAGAUAGUUUCUGAGUUAUUUUUCUGUUUGUCUUUUAAUUCUUUGAUUUCAAGUUUAAUUUCCUUAAUUUCCUUUUGGAGAUCUUGGAUGUUUGGAGUGACUUUCUUUGUUUUCUGUUUAUCCAAAAUUUCCGUUAGAUCAUAAGCAUUCUUUUUAAUGAUUGGAGUUUUAGAGGUUUCUGGUUUGUCUUUUAAUUCUAGAGUCUUUAAAAGUUUGUCAAGGUAUUCCUUUUGAAGGAUAGGGUCUGAAGUAUGUUUUACAAGUUCAAGAAAAGUUUCUUGUUCUUUGGUCAAAACAUUAAUCUUCUUUAAAAAGGUUUCUGAAUCAGAAUCACUUGAUACAGAUGUUUCUGAGUCAAUCAACUCAUCGACUUGUAAAGGAUCACUGUCUCCUGUCAAGGAGAAAUUUGAAUUAGAGUUAGAAGACUCAACAAGCAAAGGAGUUAUUUUGGAAAGGACUUCUUCAUCAAGAUUAAUCUCUUGAAGUCUCCUAUUUAUCCUGCAGUAUUUUGUAGUGUGUCCUUUCUUGCCACAUUUAAAACAUGCAGCUUCUUUAUAAUUGAAAGAGGUUUUUGGAUUAGAAAAGGAAGAGGGUUUAGUUUUAAAUCCUUUCUUUUAGAGAAAUGAGACUUUUUAUAAGGUCUCGAGGACUUCUUAUAAAAAGGUUCUCUAAAAUCUGGUAAGGGCUUUCUAAGAGUUUUAGACUUGUAAUGUUUUUUGUAAGGUCUGGAGGAACACUUACCAUGACAGUCUUUUGAAGUGGAAGUUUUAAAGGGGUCAUAAUUGAAUUGUUUACAGAAACUGCAUAAUUCUUGCUUAGACUUCCUAAGCUCCCAUUUUAGACGCUUCUGUAAUUUCAAAUCUUGACAGAUUUUUAAACCUUCUUUAUUGACAAAACUGACUAGUUCACCAUAGGUGAGUUCGUCAUAAGAAAUGCGGUUGUCAUGAAGAGCUUUAAUGGAGUUUCUGACUUUUCUCCUAAGAGAGUAGGUAAACAUGCAAGAAAUUUUUCCUUCCCAGUUACAUGAUUUGCAUCAUCCCUUAAGAAAAGUCUAGUAAAGAAAGUGGUUUUAUAAUUCUGGAAUUCACUAAGUUUCCUACAUCUCAAAUUAUAUAGUAACUCAGCGUUUUUAUCUCUUAGGAGAGAAUGAUCACCUAUGAAAUGAAGAGAUAUGGUAAGAAUCAGGGUAGCAACAACAUCCUGAAUUGGGCUAUUGAUUUCAUCAAGGAUGGGUGUUCCAUCCUCUUCAGUUUGGAUUGAAUUUAGAAUGUCGAGUUGUUGCUGUUUUGUGAAAAGAUGAUCCCACCAUCCUUUAAGUUGACCAGUAAAACCAGAAAUAAGAAUCUCUGCAAUGGCUUUGUCAGAGGUUCCUUGUUGAGUUUUAUAUGUAUUGGCUGCCAUGGUCAUCUGUUGCAGUAAUCCUAAGACAUUAUAUUCAGACAUACCAUCAAUAUUCCAUUCAUAGACAGAGGAUGCAUUGAAACGAGAUUGGUUUAAUGCACUUGGUCUAUUAUCGAUGGCAAGAUCUGGAGGAGAGCUUAUAGUUGGGAGAGCAAGUUCCCAAUGGAUUUUAUUAACUUUAGGGAUAGACUCAUCUUUGAAGGCUUCUAUGUCAGAAGAGGUUAUAGAAGAUUAAUCUUGUUCUAGUACACCAAUCUUGCUAGAUUGGGCACUAUCAGGAGCAAUUUGGACUUUAGAAGUAGAAGCAAAAGAAGAUGCUUCUAUACGAUCAAGUUGCUCUUUAAUAGAUUUAGCAAAAUCUGAUUUGGAUUCUUGAACAAGCUUUUGGCUAAGUUUCGAAACCUGAAAAGGUUUGAAAAUAGGUUCUUUAAGCUUUUUCAAGGAGUCAGACUUUGAUGGAGUAGUAAAAGGGACAAUAACGAUUGACUUCUGGAAUUGACUAUCUAUUCGGGUCAACUAUUUUUCGAUUGUAUUUAGAUUAGCAUUGCAGAAAUUAUUCUGUUGGAUAAUGCUAUCUAAAUUCUUCUCUAUAUCAUUAGGUUUUUGGAUUAAUCUUGAUGAAGACGUCCUUUCCAAAAUAACUCAUUUGCUUGUUGAGUCUUCUAACUCUAAUUCAAAUUUCUCCUUGUCAGGAGACAGUGAUCCUUUACAAGUCGAUGAGUUGAUUGACUCAGAAACAUCUGUAUCAAGUGAUUCUGAUUCAGAAACCUUUUUAAAGAAGAUUAAUGUUUUGACCAAAGAACAAGAAACUUUUCUUGAACUUGUAAAACAUAUUUCAGACCCUAUCCUUCAAAAGGAAUACCUUGACAAACUUUUAAAGACUCUAGAAUUAAAAGACAAACCAGAAACCUCUAAAACUCCAAUCAUUAAAAAGAAUGCUUAUGAUCUUACAGAAAUUUUGGAUAAACAGAAAACAAAGAAAGCCACUCCAAACAUCCAAGAUCUCUAAAAGAAAAUUAAGUAAAUUAAACUUGAAAUCAAAGAAUUAAAAGAAAAACAGAAAAAUGACUCAGAAACUAUCCAGCUUUUGUUUCAAAAACAAUUGGAAGACAAUUCUGAUCAAGAAUCAAACUCUGGUGAGGAAAAUGGACAACAACUUGAAAACAUCGAAUCAAUCCCCAAUGAUUUUCUUUUUGUUUUAAAACAAAUCACCACUAGAAAAUAUUUGAUUAAAAUCACUUUAAAAUUUUCUAAAGAUUUCGAAAUUGACACCAUUGCUCUCUUUGACACUGGUGCUGAUUUAAACUGUAUCAAAACAGAUAUUGUUCCAAAGAAAUUCCAUGAAAAGACUAAUGAAAGGCUUUCUGCAGCAAACAAUUCAAAGUUGAACAUCAAAUCCAAAGUUGAUGCCUCAAUUCAUAACGAUGGUUUUGAAUUUAGGACUUCCUUUCUUCUAACAAAUGAUAUUCAUCAUGCUGUUAUUCUAGGAACUCCUUUCAUAAACCUCAUUACUCCCUAUACUGUCAAUUACGAUAGUAUAUCUUUUAAAGCAAAAAAGAAAAAAUUAAUUUUUCCUUUUAUUGAAAAACUUAAAACAAAGAAUUUGAAUAUUGUUAAAGCCUAUUCUAUUUACCAGAACCAAAUAAAUAUUUUGCUCAAAACAAAACAAACUGAUUUAGCUUGUUUACAGAAGGAUUUGAUGAAAGACAAAUCCCUAUAAAAGCCCAUCCUAUUCAAAUGAAUAUGGAUCUAGAAAAACAUUGUCAACAAGAAAUCAAAGAUUUAGAAUCUAAAGGACUCAUUGUCAAAUCUAGGUCUCCUUGGUCUUGUGCCGCUUUCUAUGUCAAUAAAAAUUCCGAAAUAGAAAAAGGAACCCCUAGAUUGGUGAUAAAUUAUAAACCUCUUAAUAAAGCAUUAAAAUGGAUUAGGUAUCCUAUACCUAAUAAAAAAGAUUUGCUUCAAAAACUACAUUCUGCAUUCAUAUUUUCCAAAUUUGAUAUGAAAUCUGAUUUUUGGCAAAUCCAAAUUCAUCCUAAAGAUCGUUACAAAAAUGCUUUCACUGUUCCAUUUGGACAGUAUGAAUGGACAGUAAUGCCUUUUGGUUUGAAAAAUGCACCCUCAGAAUUUCAAAGAAUUAGGAAUGAUAUUUAUAAUCCUUUUUCUGAAUUUUGCAUUGUUUAUAUCGAUGAUGUGCUGAUUUUUUCUUAAUCAAUUGAGCAACAUUUCAAACAUUUAAAGACUUUUUUUUUGGCAACUAGAAAAGCUAGCCUAGCCAUUUCUAGUUCUAAAGUUUCUUUAUUCCAAACUAAAGUCAGGUUUUUUGGUCACUACAUCUCAAAAGGAACCAUUACUCCCAUUGAAAGGUCCCUUGCUUUUACUGACAAGUUUCCUGAUAAAAUCCUUGAUAAAACCCAAUUGCAGAGAUUUUUGGGUAGUCUAAAUUAUGUUCUUGAUUUCUGUCCUAACAUCAAUAGGAUUGUCAAGCCACUGCAUGAUAGGUCAAAGAAAAACCUUGUUGCAUGGUCGGAAGAACAUACUAAAAUUGUUAAACAAAUAAAGAACACAGUUAAAAAUAUUCCAUGUUUAUUUCUUACAAAUCCUGCAUUACCUAAGAUUGUUGAACUGAUGCAUCCAAUUUAGGCUAUGGUGGGAUAUUAAAGCAAGUCGACAGUAACAAAGAACAAAUAGUACAAUAUAUUUAUGCACAUUGGAAUGAAUGCCAGCAAAACUAUUCUACUAUUAAAAAAGAAAUUUUAUCAAUUGUCCUAUGCAUUUCCAAAUUUCAAAGCGAUUUAUUAAAUAAAAAAUUUUUGCUUAAAAUUGACUGCAAGGCUGCAAAACAUAUUUUGGAAAAAGAUGUACAGAACAUUACAUCAAAACAGAUUUUUGCACGUUGGCAAGCUAUUUUAAAUAUUUUUGAUUUUGAGAUUGUGUUUAUUAAAGGCGAUACAAAUUCUCUCCCUGAUUUUCUAACCAGGGAAUUUCUUCAAAACAGAUAAUGCCGCCCAAAAGAAGAGAUAAAGUGAAAGGGAUCCUUACAGACCCGUGUCCCAAACACCAUCUAAAGCCUCCCAAUCUUCUCCACCUAAAGAAAAAUUACUUUCUUCUGCUAUGCCAAUUAAGUCUUGGAUUGACACAAUAGAAGAACAAGCUGCUCAAGAAGCCCAAUCUAAAGCACUUGGCUCCCAAGAGCAGGUAAAUGAAUGCAUGAAAUCCAUUUCUAAAUCCCCUGAGCUUAUGUUUGCCUUACAAAGCUUUUCUCAAAGUCAAAUUUCUCCUAAAGAAGAAAAUUCCAUUUCUAAAGAAAUUUCUAAAGCUUUUUCACAAAAUGUGAUUCUUUCUGGUGAAAGUUCAUCUUCUCAGAUUGUUCUUUCACAAACAAAGCUUACAAAGAAAACUUCGGAUUGGUUUAAUAAAACCCAUUUCCAAAAUAUUUUAUCCAUAGAAGACGGAUUUUAUCAUACUGAUCCAUUUCAAGCAAUUUUAAAGAUUUUUCCUAAAGGCUGGUUUUUCAAACCAUGAGAUUUAUCCAAACCCCAGCCUUAUUAUCAAAGCAUUUUGGAAUUCACUGAAUCAGUAAAAUUCAAACAUUUUUUCCUCAGUGAGUCCCAUUCUGAGCCUGCCUAUUCUACGGCAACCAUUAUAAAAAUUUUGAGCUCAAAACAAUGGGGUGAUCUACUCCACAAAUCUAAAGCUUUUCCUCUAAAUUUUCAAAACAAUAUGAACUAUAGCCUAUCUUUCUCCUAUUGGGAUUACCAACAGGCUUGGUUUAAUACCAUUUUGGAAAGGACUUCUUCAUCAAGAUUAAUCUCUUGAAGUCUCUCUAAAUUUUCAAAACAAUAUGAACCAUAGCCAUAUAUAUAUAUAUAUAUAUAUAUAUGAAUAUCUUUUUAUUUUGUUUUGACUUAAUGCAUUCAAGAAAAAUAAUUUGUUUAAUUAACCUCUGUAGUAAACAAUACUAUGAUAAAAAAUGAAAAAAAAAAUAAUGAAUGUCAUAGAAUGAAUAUAGAAUUUAUAGUUAAAUCAAUUCAAUAAAACUUAUUCUAAUUGCUUUCAAUACAAUUUUUUUAAUUGAUGACUCACUUUGUUCUUUAUUUAAUUAAAUUAAAUAAAUAAGCUAAUUUUAUUUAAUGAAAGAUUAAUAUUGAUUUCAAAGUUUUAUGUUAUUUUAUAAGUGUUUGUUUUGUUUGUAAUUUGAAAACACUAAUUUACCACUUAUAUAUUAAUAUACUAAUUUUAUCUUUUAUUUAAUAAUUUUAUAUGUAAUUUACAAAACUUAUAUUUAUCAUGAUAAUAAUGUCGUAAUUUUAAUCAUAGUAUCAUAGAAUUUUUCAAAUUUCAGAUAGUAUAUUUUUUGGUUAUUGUAAACAGUUUUUUAUAAAAAUUAAAUAGGGGCAUUAUAGUAUUAACGUACUUUUUAAUAUUUUGAUGUUAUUUGGAGCAGACAAGCUACGUUACAGACUGUAUGUAACAGCUCAGUACAAAUUGAUCUUGUAUCAGCUAACUUUUCCUCUCUCCUGCAACGCGUGGAUGCUCCCCAUUUGCUACGUUUCAGACUCUAUAAACAACAAAGUCAUCGACUUGCUGUUUUUCCAAGCAAUCACUCAGCAUCUUGCCACAUAUUUGAGUCAGAGCCCAAACGCCCGAUUUUCGUCCUUCAAUUGAAGGAUGAUUUUGUUUUGGAGCUCGGCGUGGCAAGAAUGCAUUAUCGGACUAUUAUUAACUAUCAUCAUUACAGAGCAGUACCUGAACCACGUGAUCUCCCACCACAAUUUUUUUAAUAAAAUAUAUAUUUAUUUCUUUUAAAAGAUCAAUAACACCCCGACUGUCUCAUAUUACAUAAUCAUACUCUAAAAAGGCCAAAAUAUCCUAAAUAAAAAAAAAUAUUCUCAACUUUAUUAUCAAUCUUCAGGGAUACUACUAUGUUACCACAGAGAUAACAUACCGCACUUUUUUGUCCUUUUAGAUUAAUUACACUAGAAUCCCUAUUUUAUGCUAAAAUUAGACAAAAAAUCCGAUAAUCUUAAAUUUUGACUCAUUAGUCCUACUUGUUUUGAUUUUUUGAAACUUAAAUCAAAAUGUGAGGGUAUUUUUUAAUUAUUAAUUCACACACCAUCAUCAAAGUUUUAAAAAGAAAAUUUACUCCAUACACCUACUUAAAUGUCAAAUAUAUCCUUGAUAAAACUAAUUUUAUAUUUUUACUAAAUUAAUUAAUUAAAAUGAUAUAAAAAAUGAUUGAAUUAUUUACAUGCCCACUAGUUUCAAUUCCAUAUCUCUAGCAAUUAGCAACUAAAUUUUAUCACUAACUCAAAAUUAUCGACCAUGAGAUGUGAAAAAAGGUUCUCAAAUACAUGUGGAGUAUAAAAUGACUUUGCCUUCAAAUUCUUUUAAAAGAUUCUAAACUUAUUUAUCAAGCUCGUAGAUGUAAGAAUAAACGACAAGAAAGUUGCCACCCUCCCUCACACUUUUUGAUACCUUCUUAUUAAACAAUAAAAAAUUAUUAAUUGGUAGAUUAAUAUAUUUUUAUUGCAUAUUGAAAUUAUUUACUAUAUAUUGAAUAAGUAUUAUGAAAAAAAUAUUAACUACAAAUUAAGAACAAGAGAUCAAAUUCAUACUCAUAUUUAUCAUAAAAUAUUGUUUGUAACUAAUACAUGGUUUUACUAUAUAUUAAACUAAUUAAUUAAUAAGAAAGAAUAUUAAUUUAAACAUAUUAAUUCAAAUAUAAGAAUAAAUUAAUUUAUUAGUGAAAUUAACUGGGUCAUUUGACACAAUAUAUUGUAUUGCAUUAGAUGCAUUAUAUUACAGUGUGUGUCAUUAAUGUGUAUUAAAUUGUAAUAUUUAUAUCAUUAUUUAGAUUGCUAUUAAUUUUAAUUUAAUAUUAUUCAAAUUUAUUAAUAUUUAAGAAUUUAUUAUUUUUAUAUUAAAUAUUUAAAAAUAUUUAAUUUUUAUAUACUAAUUUUUAUAAUAUAAUUAAAUAAUGUAGUAUUAUAUUAUAUUUUUAUCUUUAUAUAUUAUUUAAGUAUUUAUUGUUAGUUAUACUAAAUUUUUAAAUAAUAAUCAAUUUUAUUUAUUAAUUAUUAUAAUAUAAUUAAAUAAUAUUAUAUUAUGUUAUAAUUUUUUAUAUAAUAUUUAAGUACUUAUUAUUAGUUAUAUUAGCUUAUUAAAUAAUAAUCAAUUUUUACUUACUAAAUGUUAUAAUAUAAUUAAGUAAUACAUUAUUUAAUUAAAAUUAUAAUAUAAUUAAAAUGUUUUAAUAUUAUUGAAUAAUAAAUUGUAAAUUUAUGGACUUAUGUGUUAAUAUUUUAAACUUUGUUACUUUUGUAAUUUUGUAGCAAACAUUAGGGAGUAUAACAUUAAUAACCCAACAAAAACAUCUUAGCCAUUACCCUUGGUCUGAAUUAAAUCUAACGGUGGAUUAGGAAAAGACAAAAGAAUGUGGUAUGUUACGACCGUAGUAACACAGUUGGACCCCAAUCUUCAUAACAAAGUUGAAUAAUAAAUCAAGUGAUAUAAAAAAAUCGAGUAAAAUAAUAAUUCAAAAGUAUUAGCAUUUUAACUUAAAGGCUUGUAGUUCAAUAAUAUCUACAAGAGAAUGAGUUUGAGCCACGUAAAAUUUAUUAUAUUUAAAAAAUAGUAAAUUUAUCGAUUGUAUAUUUCUACAUACAGUAAAUAAUUUUUUUUAAAAAUUAAAUAUGGGCAUUUUAGCAUUAACUUAUUUUUAUAUUUUGAUGUUUUUUGGAGUUAUUGCAAUUGCGGCUUCGGGUGAUUCCUUUCAUUCGCUUGCUCUGUAGUAAUAGCUACUACCACGCAGAAUGGAACUGCGAGAAAUAGAAGAACAGGAAAACGAUGUCGUUUUACUGAAGAAGAAGAAGACGAAGAUGAAACUGUGAAAGAAGAGAAAUCGAGAGGAAAGAAAAGAACAACUCAAAGAAGAAGAAACUGAAGAAUUAUUGCAGGAUCCACUGGAGGCUUUUGGUGGAGACAUAAUGUUGAAGAUACUUCAAAACCUAAAGGCACGCAGCGUAGCACCGACUCUCCUUGUAUCCCGUGCUUGGAACGGCGUUGCUUCAAGCGACACGCUUUGGACUCCCAAGGUUCAUUUCCUUUCCUAUUCUUUUUUUUCCCAAUCUUUUUGCCUGGUAAAUGAAUUUAGGUUUGUUUCCUUUUUUAAAAUUAAUUAAUUAAUUUAGUGUUUUCUUCGGAGAAUAUGAGAAUUGGGUUUUUUUUUUAGUUUCACAAUUGGGUUUUUGUUUUAAGUAUUUUUGGUUGUUUGAAAUAAUCAUAUCAUGAAUACAAUUGAAUUUGAAUUUAAGCUUUUCAUGUGAUCAUCGAGUUUUAUGUUCCUAGUUUACAGGAAUUUGUAUUCAGCGCUGAGCUGAGGUUUUUGUUAAUCUUUUAGAAAGAUAAGAAUAUUAAAUUAAUUAAAUAUUCAUCUUAAAUUGUUAUCCAUGCAUGUGUGGUAGAUGUUUACGAAGAGAUGAGCACAGCUAAGCUCAGUACUGGAUCUAAAUCCAGCUUACAGGAUUUCUUGUCCGCCAGGAGCAUUAUAUGAAUACUCGACUUAUUGUUUGACUCAAUUUACUACUCGACUUGGCUUUCUUGACCAACUUGAAUUCGUCUGAGUAUUCUCGAUUUAAGCUGAAUAUUUUUUGUCUCGUAUCUAUUUGUCUUUGCUCACCCCUUAAGGGUAUAUCUAUGUAAAGUGACUUAGUUGGGGUAUAUUGUUGGUAUAUUUUAUUUUUUAAAAUCCUGGGCCCUAGGAAGCCCUUUCUUAUCAUUGAAACUAGACCGUGGCUAAAUUAUUGGUUUAUUUAAAGGAUUGGGGUAUAUUUUUAUAUAAAACCAAACUGAAUUGUGAAUGCCACUGCACGUUUUUACAGCCUUAUAGCCUAAAUUGCUUAUUCCUUCUGAUUGCAUGAUUUGGGAAGAAUUUUUUUUUUUUAACUUAACUUCAAUUAUUUUCUCUGCUUUAUUUGAAACCUAACCGGAAAGAAUAUCUACCUUUUUUUUUUUUUUUUUUUUCAGUUCUCCAGGUAACUUAAUCGGUCAUGCUUCUACUUUGAAGAGUAACUGAGUACGGAUAAUUUACUUGAGUUUCCAGCUGAUGGCAAUGCUGAAUCCUACAAAGAUAUGGCAAGAGAAAUAUUUGAGAGCUUAUUAACAGUACCGGCCAGGAACACGAUCCUGCAUAGCAACAUCAUAUGCCAAUGAACAGAAAAUGCGUCAAUCAAGUUCGUAGGGGAAAUACUUGAGAUAUGCCCAUCACUACAAACACAAGUUAAUGGCAAAGGUGAUACUCCACUUCACGUUGCGGCAAAAUUCGGCCAUUUUAAUAUAGCAGUUAGAAUUCACAAACCUUAAGCAUACAAUCUGUUUGGCUAGCAGGAAAGUGACGAAGGAAGAAAGAAAAACAAACUGAAUAAGAGAAUUUUAUUAAUCUCGAAUCACACACUUACAUUCAAGCUUUCAUCAACUUAUAUUGCUGAUUAACAGAAGUAACAACCUCUGUAACAGCUGUCAAAUAACUAUUGGUUAAGCUAAGCUAAACAAUAACAAUCUAACUAAUUUGUCCAACUCAGCUAUCCAGCUCAUCAAUCCUAGUCAAGUGAAUCUCAGCCAUUGAUAUGCUGCUGUUGAUUAAGCAUCUCAACACCCCUUCUCAAGCUUAAUGGUUGUGGAACAACAUUAAGCUUGUCUCUAUAGUAAUUAAAAAAAGAGUAAGCCAUAGGCUUUGUAAGCACAUCUGCAAUAUUCCACUCACUUGGUACAUACUUGAUCUCCACUUGUUUGCCCGUUACCUUUUCCCUUAUGAAAUGCACAUCCAACUCUAUGUGCUUGGUUUUGGCAUGAUAUACUGGAUUUGUUGCUAGUGCAGCUACACCAUUGUUGUCACACCAGAUUAUUGGUAUUUGGCUACACUUCAGUUUAAGCUCUCCAAGUAAAGCUUGAAUCCAAACAAUUUCUGCACAAGCUGUUGACAAUGCUCUAUACUCUAACUCUGUGCUAGACCUUGCUACAGUUUGUUGCUUCUUGGAGGACCAUGAAACCAGAUUCUGCCCAAGAUAUACACAAUAUGCUCCAACUGACUUUCUGUCAUCCACAUCACACGCCCAAUCUGCAUCUGUAUAUGCUGUCAGACUAAUUCCAUCUCCUGCUUUAAACAUCAAUCCAUAAUCUUCAGUUGCCUUUAAGUAUCUUAGAAUUUUCUUACAAGCAACCCAGUGUUUCUCAGUUGGUGCAGCAAGAAAUUGGCUCAACUUAUUAACUGAAAAGGCAAGUUCUGGUCUUGUAAGUACCAAAUACUGUAAAGCACCUAUUAUGCUUCUAUACUCAGUGACAUUAACAAUCAAGUUAUCAUCAUUCCCUGCUCUUCUUAGUUUCUGUCCUGUACUCAUUGGAGUAUCACUUUCUCUGUAAUUUUCCAUAUCAGUUCUUGUAAGCAAAUCUCUUACAUAUUUUGCCUGUGAAAGAUGUAAGCUACCCUUUGCAUCAUGUGUAACCUCAAUACCAAGGAAGUAACUGAACUCACCAAGAUCUUUUAAAGCAAAGGUAUCUCCAAGGUAUUGGAUAAAUGUUUCAAUUACUGUAUUGUUAUCACCAGUAAUUAAUAUAUCAUCUACAUAUACUAACAUAGCCACAAUACCUCCAAGUUCAUGUUUGAUGAACAAAGAUGAGUCUGCUUUGGAGUUCUGAAACCCCCACUGCAACAGUGCUUUCCUUAGCCUGUCAAACCAGGCUCUGGGAGCCUGUUUCAAACCGUAAAGAGCCUUAUGCAACUGACAAACAUGACCAGAUGGAGACUGAACAAAACCCUCAGGUUGAAACAUGUAGACAUCUUUAUUGAGCUCUCCAUUAAGGAAAGCAUUGUUGAUGUCGAUUUGUCUUAUUUUCCAGCCCUUCAUCACAGCAAGACUAAGGAUAAUUCUCACAGUUGACUGUUUAACUACUGGACCAAAGGUCUCAAAGUAGUCAAUACCAGGUGUUUGAUGAAACCCUUUUGCCACCAGCCGUGCUUUAUACUUAGAAACAGAACCAUCUGCAUUAUACUUAAUGCGAAAAACCCAUUUACACCCAACAAUUUUAGUAGCUUGAGAAGCUGGUACAAGAAUCCAAGUCUUAUUUUCCAUAAGUGCAUUAUACUCUGCCUGCAUGGCUGCUUUCCAUUUGGAAUCUGAAAGAGCUUGAGAAACUGUGGAAGGCUCUUGUUCUCCAAGAACAGAGGAAUAGGCAUGAAAUUUUGGCUUAAAUACACCUGCUUUGGCUCUUGUAAUCAUUGGGUGAUUUGGCAGUGAAACUUGAGUAGAGGAUGGUUGUUGAUUUGAAGUGUUUUGGGAUACAUAAGGAGAGGUGUGGGAGGGUGGAUGAUUUGAUUGAGAUGGUUGAAAUGGUUGAGAAGAAGGUGAUAAAGAACUAGAUGAGGAGGAAGAAGCUGAAGCUGCAGGCAACUGAAAUGGUUGUAUAAUGGUGUUACUUGAGCCUGAAGGGUCAUGAAGUGGAACUGACACUGAAGAUACCUUAAACAUAGGAUAUCUAUAUUCAGAAGCAGAGGAAGAAGGUUGUUUAGAGAAAAGAGAGUCAGUAGAGAAAGGAAAUUCUGACUCAUUAAACACAACAUGCCUAACAACAUAUACAACACCUUUUGAGCUUAGGCAUUUAUACCCUUUGUGAUAUGAGCUAUAACCAAUAAACAAACAUUUUGUAGUGUGAUAGUUGAAUUUGUGUUUGUUAUAGAAUCUCAAGUAUGGAAAACAGGAACAGCCAAAACACUUUAGAAAAUCAUAGUCAUGCUUGUGUUUGAAAAGAAUCUCAUAGGGAGAUUUAUUUGAUGGUAGAACAGAAGUUGCCAAUCGAUUGAUGAGAAAAGCAGAAGUUGAGAAUGCUUCCCACCAGAAACUGAGAGGCAAUUUAGCUUGUACAAGAAGAGUCAAACCCAUCUCAACAAGAUGUCUAUGUUUCCUCUCUGCUGUCCCAUUCUGGUGAUGUGUGUGAGGACAUGAAUGUCUGAAUAAAAUGCCAUGUUUUUUAAGAUAAUUCACAAAGGAUCUGAAUUCACCCCCCCCCCCAAUCUGACUGUAGGACCUUAAUGACUGUUUCAAAUUGUUUUUCAACUUGAGUUCGAAAAAUGGCAAAAACAGAUAAAGCUUGAGACUUGGUUUUCAAAGGAUAAACCCAGGCAUAUCUACUAUAAUCAUCAAUGAAACUGAUAUAGUAUCUAUAACCAUUGAGAGAAGUAAUGGGUGCUGGACCCCAUAAGUCAGUAUGGAUGAGUUCUAGAGGUGAGGUUGUUUUGUGUUCAGUUGCUCCAAAAUGCAGUUUAUGAACUUUGCCAUAUUGGCAGGCAUCACAAAAAUCAGGAAUUUGAAUUUUAUUGCUUAACUGCAAAUGUUUACAACUGGUGAGUACAUGUUUCAAGACUUUUGAACUAGGAUGACCAAGUUGCCUAUGUAGGAUAUUUAUUGAAGUACUGGAAACUCUACUGGAAUGAGACAACAGACACUGUUGAGAGGAGUGUUGAACAACUUUAGCUUGAAUAUUUGAAAAAGAACAAGACUGCAAACCAUCUGAGCAAUGUGGCACCAUAGACAUAGGAACAAAACAUGACUCUUUAUUUACAGUUGAAAAUAAAGCUUGAUGAGUUUUACUUCCAGGCUCAAGUUUCAGCUUAUACAGACCCUUCAUAGCUACACCCUCCAGCAAUACUGUCCUCUUCUUCUUGUCCUUGAGAAAGCAAGUAUUUCCAUAAAAUUCAAUGAUCAAGGAAUUAUCAGAAGUGAGCUUAGAAAUGCUUAAAAGAUUUUUGGUGAUGUGUGGCACAAAUAAAAGAUUUUUGAGCAAUAAUCUAUGAUUUCCAACUGCUAAAUGAGUGCUUCCUAUAUGAGAAAUAGUAAGGCCAUGUCCAUUACCAAUUAAAAGCUUUUCAUUACCUUCAUAAGGCUCACUGAUGCUGAGAUUAUUGAGAUCAUUGAUUAGGUGGUGAGUUGCUCCACUAUCCAGGUACUAGUCAUCAUCCAUUACUGCUUCUGGUGUUGCCAUAUAAGCUGACAUAUUUCUUUGACCGUAGCCUUGAUUGAAAACUUGAUUCUGAUGUGGAUACCUUAUGACUGGAAUGAAAUCCUUGUUGAACCUAUCCUUGCAGGUAGCAGCAGUGUGUCCUAUGAUGAAGCACACUUGGCAUCUAGGCUGAUAUGGCUGUGAAAAAUGACUAGGCACAUGACUAGGCAUUUGAGUUCUCCCACCUUGAUUCCAAGAUCUUCCUCCAUGCAUGUUAUUUCCUCUUCCACCUUUCCUUCCUCGAUAGAAAUUUCCACCUUGAUUCCCUCUAAAAUUUCCUUGCAUCAUGUAUCCAGAAUUUUUAGAUCUUGAUGCAUCUUGAUUGAAACCAGAUCUUGAGUUGUAUGUUCCAAAACCUUUCUUAUUAUUGUUCCCUUACUGAACAAAAUUUGCAGCAAACGCCAGAUUUGCAUCCAUAGUUCAGCUAAAGCUUGUUGUUCUAACAUUCCCUCAUGUGUCAUUAACAUAGAGAGUGAUUCUGAUAAAUCGAGAUCUAAUCCUCUUCCUGUGAUCAAAACUGCUACAGGAUUGAAUUCUGAACCAAUUCCUCCUAACACACUCAUCAUAAAGUCAUAGUCACUCAUUGGUGCUCCUGCUGCUGCCAUGCUAUCUGCUAUGCCUUUCAUUUUGUGAAAAUAGUCAUAAACACUCAAAUCGUUCUUCUUUGUCAACAUCAUUUGAUUCUUCAGUUGCAAUGCUCUGGUUUUGUUUUGUGAGCCAGAAAGUUUUUCCAGAGCUUUCCAAACUUCAAAGGAAGUUUUGCAUCCGAGAACAAUUCCGAGAACACUCUCAGUCAUGGAAGAGAGUAGCCAACCUAGCAACUGCUGAUCAGUUCGCUUCCACAUCACAAACUCAGAGUUCGGAAUCCUCUGAUCUGUGUAUGGUGCUGUGAUUGAACCAUCAAUAUAUCCUUCUAAUCCAUUUCCCUGAAUGGAUGCCAAUACUUGCAUUUUCCAGAUCAAAUAAUUUGAUCUGUCGAGCUUAAUUGGUGUAGGAAAGGUAUAGGAAACAGUUGUGGUUUGAUUUAAGCUUGAUGAUGCCAUCUAGCUCUGAUACCAAGUUAGAAUUCACAAACCUUAAGCAUACAAUCUGUUUGGCUAGCAGGAAAGUGACGAAGGAAGAAAGAAAAAUAAACUGAAUAAGAGAAUUUUAUUAAUCUCGAAUCACACACUUACAUUCAAGCUUUCAUCAACUUAUAUUGCUGAUUAACAGAAGUAACAACCUCUGUAACAGCUGUCAAAUAACUAUUGGUUAAGCUAAGCUAAACAAUAACAAUCUAACUAAUUUGUCCAGCUCAGCUAUCCAGCUCAUCAAUCCUAGUCAAGUGAAUCUCAGCCAUUGAUCUGCUGCUGUUGAUUAAGCAUCUCAACAAUAGCGAAUGUUCUUAUGAAAAGAGCAAAAUUAGCUCAACAUGAAGAUGAAGAGCUAGAGAGCGGGUUAGGAGCUGCCAGGCAGAUGAUUAGGAUGACGAAUGAAAAGAAGAAUACUGCAUUGCAGUCUGCACGAGGCAGUGUUUCAUGGCAAAGUGGAUGUGUUGAAAAUACUGACGAGAUAAAUACCUGAAUAUCCAUAUUCUGUAAAUAAUUGCGGCAAAACGCCGCUCCACAUGGCUGCUGAGUAUGAGCACUUUUCUCAUAAGAUGCUAGCCUUAUUAGAAAACUGCACAUCAAUGUCCCAUGAAGGCCCCUACGGAAGGACAGUUUUACGUGAUGCAGUAAUGCAGUUGGAUUUCCGUAAGUUUGAUUAUACCCUUUCAGUGCGAAUUUGAAUAUUUAGAUCUUUUCCUGCAGGUUUUGUUCAUGCUCUUUCAUGCCCACGGGUCUGACAGAAUGAUUCUCAAGUAAUUAUAUUUAGUUGGUCACCAAAUUUAAAUUCUGAGAGGCUGGUGGUGGAUAAACAUUGAAUUUGAAUUAUAAUUUUAUUUAUCUUUUGGCUCUUUACACUCAGAAAUGAAUUAUCAUGCGAUGCAACAAUUAUUUGAAAAAAGGAAGAGUCUGAUCAAAGAAACAGACCAUUAUGGGUAGACUCCAAUUCAUUACGCUGCAUAUCAUAAUCAAUAUCAACAAAUACAUGUGCUAUUAGAAAUUGAUCAAACUGCUUCAAACAUUACUGAACAAAGAUCGAAAGAUGACAGCUCUUCAUUCGGCAAAGGGCCGAGGGCAUGCCAGAACAGUUGAAAGAAUUCUUUCCCUUACACCAGAAUGUUAUGAACUGGUCGAUAACAGGGGAUGGAACUUUUUUCAUUAUGGAAUAGUCAUUUUUUUUUUAAUGAUUUAAAAACUCAACUAAAAUAUCCGUUAGCGAGGAGUCUUAUAAAUGAGGGGGAUGCCAAGGAGAACUCUAUAUGAUUAGGAAGACUCGAACUAACUAUCACACUGUCAAUAGGCAAAAUGUUAGUGUUAGACACAUUUUGAAAUAUGGCUAUCCUAUCCUGAGCUCAAGGUAAUUAAUUUGUUAAUUCUUUCAACUUAUAAAUCCAGCUUUCUUUUUCAUUACUUUAUUAUUAUUUUUUUUUUUAGUUUAUGCAAUUAAUUCAUAUUCACACUCAAUUUACAGGAGGAAGAAUUUUCCAAAGAUGUUGGCGGAGGACAAUAUCAAGAUGGUGCUAUAUUCAUGACGACAGUGCUAAAUUGCUAAGACCAGAUCCAAAUGCAAUGGCACGUGGAGUAGUGGCUCGACCGGGUUAGCCCAAAAAAUAAUUCAAUAUCCCUUAAAUUUUAUGGUAUUUUUAUUUUUAAAUCUUUUUCUUUCGUGUCCUUAAAUCAAUCUUUAUUAAAAUAACUUAAAUAUAUUUAUAGUUAAGUUAUUCUGGUUUGGACCCUUUAAAAUUCAAUAUUAAAAUAGUAAUUUGUCUUUUUACCAACUUUCUUUUGAGCAAGUUUCUUGAUGUUGCAAUGUCUUUUGAAUUGUUUUUUUUUUUUUUGUUAUGUUCACACAGAUAAAUACGAUAAAUUCAUAAUCUAACCCUGCCUGGUCAAAAGAUUAUCUUGACGAUCCUAAAUAUGAUUACAAAGAUAUGACAGCGUCCGAUGUUGUAGUAUAGUGAAAAUUACCCUUUAGGACAAUGCUUUGCACCCGCCUUGAGGAUUUUUCUCUGAGUUCGUAUUUGUUGGUCCGAUAACAAAUUCUUCGUUGUAGGAAGCAACUAUUUGGUUUUCCGGCUGCAGCCACAAGGUUAUGAUUGUAACUUUUUUUUUUAAAUGAGAAAGAAUAUUGUUGUCAAGCUAUUGUUCAUCACCGUUGAGGCUUUUGAUGGGUGUUGUUGUUCAGGCUGAGCUGGUCUUUCAAAAAAGUUAUUUUGUCUCAAAUUUCCAACGUAAAUGGCCCAACAAAUUUGUGCCUUUCUGUAUAUUUAUUAAUAUGAAUACGCUUCAUAAUUGUGAGACUUAUUUUUUUUGUAUCAGUUGAUACAUUAAAAAAAUUAGAGAAAAUGACUAACACACCCUCAAUGUUUAGGUAAAAGGAUAAAAAUUCCCCAACAUUUCGUAAAAGAUAUUUACACCCUCAUUCACUAACGGAAAUAGUUACUUUUAAUAGAAAUAGUAAUUUUAAUAUAUAAUUACCAUUAUACCCUUCUAGCACAUAAAAAAAAUUAUUAAUUGUCCAAUUUGUUUAUAUAUUAUUAAUAAAAUUACAAAUAUACCUUCAUUACCUAAUUCCUCUCUUUAAAUUUUUAUCAAAUUAUCUCUUCAAGCAAAAUAAAUUUAAUCUAUUAUCAAUUUUUAUGUCUAUUGGAUAUGUUACUUAAUACAAUUAAGAUAAGAUUUUUGUAAUUAUUGUUGUAACCAGCCUUUUUUUUUAUUUUGUUGAUUAUACAAGUUUAAAUGAUUGACAUGUAGAGAAUUGUUAUUCUUAUGGCAUUAAUAACUAAUUUUAUUUAUUUUAUCAAUUUUUAUGUCUAUAGGAUAUGUUAUUUAAUACAAUUAAGAUAAGAUUUUUGUAAUUAUUGUUGUAACCAGUUUUUUUUUAUUUUGUUGAUUAUACAAGUUUAAAUGAUUGACAUGCAGAGAAUUGUUAUUCUUAUGGCAUUAAUAACUAAUUUUAUUUAUUUUUAUUCUUGAGUAAUGGAUUAAAUUUAUUUGGUUUAAAGAGAGAAUUUGAUAAAAAUUUAAAUAGAGGAAUUGGGCAAUGGGGGUAUAUUUAUAAUUUUAUUAAUAAUAUAUGGAUAAAUUGGACAAUUAACAAUUAUUUUUUUAUGUGUUAGAAGGGUAUAACGGUAAUUAUAUAUUAAAAUUACUAUUUCCAUUAAAAGUUAUUGUUUCUGUCAGUAAAUGAGGGUGUAAAUAUCUUUUUCAAAACGUCAAGGGAGUUUUUGUCCCUUUGUCUAAACGUUGGGGGUGUGUUUGUCUUUUUCCCAAAAAAUUAACUUAGAGAAAAAGAAGAUUUAACAUUUUUUUUCAGGUCAAGGCAGCUGCUUCUCGAAAAAAUACUGUCAGUGAUUUCUUAGGCUUCUCCGAAGGCUCUUUUCCUUUUGUUUAUCCUGGAGUUCCAAUUUUCAAGGGUUGUAUUUUGUCCGUUGUCGGGCGAGUGGAGCUAGUUAAUACUCGACCCUAGGGAUUGAGUUAGUAAUUUUUUCCCCAUUGAAAAAACUUCAUCGUUUUGCCUUUGUUUUUCUCAGCGGUCUGUCACCCCAUGAUUGAUUUAACAUUUCUCUUGCCAAUUAAAAGAGUAAACAAACGUUAACUAAAAAACAUGUCGUGUGCAAAAAGUCAACAGAUAGAUGCACAAAAACUCUAUUCUCCUCCACAUAAAAGUGUAGCAUUUAGAUAAUAAAGUUACUGUAUUCAAGUGAUUGUUCAACGCCAUUGUGUACAGCUGUUCUGGCUGAUUUAGGCUUUUAAUGAAACUAUAUUGACUCAUAUUUCUAACAAAUGGACCAUGAUUUCAAUGUUAAAAUACUGAACCUUUCAAGGGUAUAGGAAGAGAUGUAACUUUGAACUCGCGGCCUUAGUGGACUUGAGACUGAGUGUGUAAAUACAUUUUGUAUAAACUAAACAAUUGUAACACUUUGAAGUUGUCGAAUGGGAACUGCAUAAUAAGAUUGUUCCAGUGGAACCAUUGUGAUACUCGUGUAAAUCAAUUAAAGGUUCGUGGAAGAAUAACGACAUAUGUUAAACUAAGGUAAAGAAUCUCCAUAUACAUAAAUAAUAGUUAAUUGAUUAAAAAAAAGGUAAAGAAUCUCCAUAUACAUAAAUAAUAGUUAAUUAAUUAAUAAAUCACUUAGGGUGCGUUUAGUACAUUAUAUUGUAUUAUGUUGUAUUUUAUUAUUUUAAUACUAAUGUAUUGUAUUAUGUUGUAUUGUAUUAGUACCGUAUUAUAAAAAUAUUGUAUAAUAUUUGGUGUUAUACUGUACUGUAUUGAUUAAUGUUGUACAAUGUUUGGUGUCAUACUGCACUGUAUCGAUUUGUUUUGUGAUUAAUUUAAAUUAAAUAUUACAUUAUACUAAUAUUUUAUAUUAUAUUAAUAUAUUUAAAUUGUUUUAAUAUUUUAUAUUAUUAUUAAUUUUAAAUUAAUAUUAUUCAUAUUUAUUAUUAGUUAUAAUAAAUUAUAUAUUUAUUAAUUUAUAUUAAUAAUUAUAAUGUAAAAAUAAAAAUAAAAAUAAAAAUUAGAUGAUAUUGUAUUAAAUUAAAAAGUAGUUAUUAUUAUUAUUAUUAUUAUUAUUAUUAUUAUUAUAAAGUAAAAGCAAAAGUUAAAAGAAAAGUCAAAAGCAAAAGCAAAAGCAAAAGCAACAAAAAAAAAAAGUAAGCUAAUGCACAGCCCUUUAACCCAUUCUCGUUUUUUCAAACAUAGUCUUAUCAUUAAUUUAAUGUAAAUAGUAUUUUAAUAUCCCGUAAUACAAUGCACCAACCAUACUCUUAGAUAUUUUUCUGUCAAAUAAAACAUAUAAAUGUCGAUAAUUAAUACAUGAAUGACACAUUCCAUGUAGUAUCAUUUUAAGAAGUGAUUUAAUAAGUAACAAGAAGGCUAAGAGGCAACAUUGAAUCACUUUUCUUUUGUAGAAUUAAUGAAGUACUCAUAGAGUAUUCCCCUAUUAUUUUAUUGUUUGCAGUCAUUUGAGAGUCACUUUCUUUACCCAACAAACAAAAAGAGCAGAACUGUAUAUGGAAUCCGAUCGAAAUGUGAUAAGGAAGGCUGCAGUAUUUAAAGAUUGAGGAUAUGGCUAUGCAGACUUUUGCAAUGUUAAGGACAAAACAAUAGAAGAAACCAUGGUCAACUUUAAUAAUUAAUUGGUAUAUAUAUAUUUUUGUCUGGGUUCUUAAAAAUAUUGCGCCACAGUUUAAUUAAUUAUUAAUUACACAUACAAGCACACAAUUGAGAAAUUGAUUAGUUUGCCAACGAGAAUGACUAAUCUCAAUUUAUUUAUUUAUUUAACUAAAAGAGCAUGAGGAAGAAAUCAAGGUUAAAAAUGUUAAUUCUUGGUUUGUCAAAAGAGUAAGAAUUAAUGUCGAUACUUACCUUGUCAAAAAAGCAAGAAUUUAAGAAGUGUGAAAAAUACUACAUUAAUGUUGAUUCUUGGCUUGUCAAAAGAGUAAGAAUUAAUGUCGAUACUUACCUUGUCAAAAAAGCAAGAAUUUAAGAAGUGUGAAAAAUACUACACUUUUCAAGUCAUAUAUACAUACAUGUCAGGUUAGAAGAAGAUCUAUGAGUACCUCCGAGAUACUGGGUACCGUUAUCUAAUAGAUCAACUUCGCCAACAUGAAUCCUGUUUCCAUUGAGAUUGAGGAAGCUCCAUUAUUGGACAGCAAUGGUGAAAUUAAGCAGCAAAUGGACCUAAAUUUUUUCAAAGCUGCAUCUGCGGGCAAUUCAGAACCGUUCAAAGACAUGGAAAGAGAUGUAAUUGAGAGAUUGUUAACAGCAAAGGCCAAAAACACAAUCCUGCAUAUCAACAUCAUAUCAUCAGAAAGAGAAAAUGUGUCAACGAAGUUCGUAGAAGAAAUACUUGAGAAAUGCCCAGCACUGCUACUACAAGUUAAUGCCAAAGGCGAUACUCCACUUCACCUUGCAGCAAAAUUCGGCCAUUUUGAGAUAGUGAGAGUUCUUAUUGAAAGAGCAAAAUUAGCUCAACGUGGAGAUGAAGAGCCAGAGAGCGGGGUUGAACCUUUCAGGCAAAUGAUUAGGAUGGUGAAUAACGAGAAGAAUACAGCACUCCACGAGGCAGUGUCUCAAGGCAACGUGGACGUGGUGAAAAUACUGACAAGAGAAGACCCUGGUUAUCCAUAUUCUGCAAAUAAUUACGGCAAAACGCCACUCUACAUGGCUGCUGAGUAUGAGAACCGUUCUGAUAUGUUGCGUGGCCUUUUGGAAAACCGCACAUCAGCGUCCUUUGAUAUGGUGCUUGCCCUGUUAGAAAACAGCACAUCAGUAUCUCAUGAAGGCCCCAACGGAAAGACGGCUUUACAUGCUGCAGCAAUGAGAUCUUUUGCCGGUAAGUUUAAUGAUACCCUUUCAGUGAAUUAUUAGAUUUAGUGAGUUAUUAAAUUAGCGAAUUAUUAAAUUUAGUGAAUUAUUAACUAAAUCUAAUUAUACCCUCAAAGAGAAUUAUUUAACUACUAUUCUCAAUUCCGGUUUUUCUCCUCACUCAUCAUGAAUCAAUCAUAAUUUCUGAAAAUCACAAUAAAUUAUAAUGAUCUCAAUAAGCAAAUUUAUUUUUCAUAUAUGAAAAUACAUACUUGUUUAUAUAUAAUGCAAAUGGAUAACAUGCCAGUCUUUUAAAAAUAUUAUAAAACAAAUUCUUUAAAAUUUCUUUUGCCAUGAUCAAACUUCACAUUUCCUUUUAAAUCACUUACUUCAAUUACCUUCAUUCAAUUACUAUUCAAUAAGACUCUCACUUAACAUUUAUAACUUUGGUUUUCAUGUAAACUUCCUUCACCCACUUAUCUCUUAAAUAUUAUAUCUACAGUGUCCACUAAGCGAGUAAAGAAUUCAAGAAACUAAGCAAAAUCGAAAAACUUUCUUUCUUUCUUCAAAAUCAAUUUGCUCGAAUCCACUUUCUUAUUUUCCGAAAAACAUAAUGCAUAUUCAUGUUAAUGCCAAUAAAUUUUUACACAUACAUAUAUAUGUGUAUAAAUCAUAUUUGACACAUAACAACACAUUGCAUAAAUACAUGGACAGACCAUAUAAAUCCAUACCCCGUACAUAUCAAAAUAAACUUUUGAAACACGUAAAAUAGAUACAUAUUUUUUAUCGUGAUUAAGUAACAAAAGUGUAUUACACCAUCGGUCUAAAACCAAUAAUAAAACGCUCAUGAGAUAUCAUCAUAUCCUCAUUCAUGAGUUAAUAAAAUAUCCCAAAAUUUUAAAUUACCAAAUUACCCUUGAAAAUUCUAAAUUACCAAAAUGCCCUCGCUGGUCAAUGAUGACCGGAAUUCGAGCGGCGAUGAUCAAAUAAGUCAAAACAGGAACUUCAGCUCGCUCUGAAUCCAAAGGUGGCAGCGGUGUGCUCCGACGCGUAGCCAUGGUGCCCGAUCGAGUUUCGACAGCCGUGAAACUUCAACGGCUGAUCGGCGACAAAUCGGCCACUGUUUGAUGGUCAGAAAUUGAAGUGACUGCCAUAAACGACAAAUCCCAGGUGACGACAUGAUCGAAAUCAGGUAAAAACUCGCCGAUUUGAGUUUUCGUCCUCCAUGACUUAACACGGGCUUGUGGACUGGUCAUAGGCUGUUUUCCAGCAACAAUGAUGAUAGGGGAAUGACCGCGUCGUCUGGGAGUUCGGUUGAUACCCUCCAUCGCCGGAGAUGUGGCCAGAAUCGGAAGCACCGAUUCAGGUUUCGUGAACGGGUUGACCCGACCUGUUUCCUCUCUCCUCUGAGCCGAUCGCCACGUUCUCUCUCCCACUUAAUUUACUUAAUUCACUUAAUCCAGUUAAUGACUAAAUAUUCUUAGGAGAAUUAAUUUUUUUAUUACUGACAAAAAUACUCUUAAUUUAUGAAGAAAUUAAGUGCUGUUAUGAAGGAAUUAAUUUUUUUACUGUGAAAUGCUCCUAAAAAAUUAAUCUUUAGAACUGUAAAUAUAGUGAAAAUUGGUCUUUUGGAUAACUAAGAUAGGGAAAGUUGGUUUUUAGGAUAAUUAGAUUUACCAAAUUGGUCUUUAGAAUAGUGCUUCAAACGUGUCUUAGUGAAUUUUGCAAAAAUUGUGAUUUCUAGAUGCAAACUCAGGGAAAUGAUUGCAAGUUUUUAUUUUGCUAAAUAACAAAGUUACCGAUCUGAAGCCAUUAUUCAUCACUCAUUGUGUGAUUGGUGUUGGUGUUGUUCUAGACCUCUGGCUGGUUUGGAAUUAAAAAAAAAAAAAAAAAAAUCUAUUUUUUUCCUCAUAUCUCCAACAUAAAUAGCCCCCCAAAUUUAUGCCCUUUCUGAAUAUUUACUUUUAUUAAAAAUUUCAUUAUUAUUUGAUUUAUCUUCUGUAUUCUCAGUUGAUACUGCAUUACCGAAAUUACUUGAGAAAAAGAAGAAUCUGAUCAAAGAAACAGACCAAUACGGCUGGACUCCAAUUCAUUACGCUGCAUAUUAUGGAAAUUACAGGACGGUAAAUUUGCUAUUAGAAACUGAUCAAUCCGCUUCGAACAUUGCUGACAAAGAUCGAAAGAUGACAGCUCUUCAUUUGGCAGCGGGCAAAGGGGAUGCCCGAACGGUUGAGCGAAUUAUUUCUGGAAAUCCAAAAUGUUACGAGCUGGUCGAUAACAGGGGAUGUAAUUUUCUCCAUUAUGCUAUGGUUAGUUUUCAUGUUGGACAACUAAGAAAUCUUCUUGAAAAUAAUCCGUUAGCGAGGAGUCUUAUAGAUGAGGGGGAUGCCGAGGGAAACACUCCUCUCCAUGUGCUUGCUGCAGUCCGACCAAAAGAAUUCCAUGAUGUUAUGAAUAGGAGUACUCAAGCCAACUAUGACGCUGUCAACAAACAAAAUGUUAGUGUCAGACACGUUUUUAAUUAUGGCUAUACUGAGCUCAAGGUAAUUAUUUAAUUUGUUCCUUCAACUAAAUUAUUAAAUUUUAUUUUUUUACGCAAUUAAUUAAUAUUCAAAUGUAAAUUAAUUACAGGAAGAAAUCCAAAAAUUAUCCAAAGAUGUUGGCAGAGGACAAUAUUCAAAAGGUGUUAUACGCAUAAGAAAAGUACGAAAGUAUGUUACUAAAGAAGAUUACAAGGAUACGAGAGCAUCACAUUUGGUAGUGGCUGCACUCAUAGCAACGGUAUCCUUCGAAGCAGCUUUCACCAUUCCUGGCGGUUACAGAAGCGAAAAUGGAACUGCAAUCCUAAGGAGAAAUAAAGCUUUUCAAGCAUUUAUAGUAGCAGAUUCCAUUGCCAUGGUCUUUUCUCUUUCUGCCGUCUUUACUCACUUCUUGAUGGCUCCUAAAAUUGAAAAAACUAAAGAUUUCAAUCAGGGUCUGCUCCACGCUUCCAUUUGGUUCACCGUAUUUGCCAUGGGAGCAAUGGUGAUUGCAUUCGUUACGGGAACGUAUGCAAUGUUAGUACCUUCUUUAGGCCUUGCUAUUAUCACUUGUUUAAUUGGCUUGAGCUUUUUCUUGCUUGUGAUUUGGAUUUCUUGCUUGUGAUUUGGAUUAUGGGAUUGUAGUAAGUCACCAUCUUUGUUUAUCAAUAAAAUGAUUGGUUUUCAUUUAACAUAAACGUUAAUUAAUUUACUCAAUCUUUGCUAAUAAUCAAUCAUUAUUUUAAUUGUACAUUAAUCACUGAUGCUUUAAUGAACAUCAAAUUUGAUAUCCAGACCGGUCUAUUUUGUUGUCAAUAAUUAGAUUGAAUUGGUGAGAGGAAAUCAAAAUCAAAUUUAAUAUUUCAAGUUGUUUGUACUUUCUUAUGUUGAUGGAAUAAAAUCUUGAUUGCUUUUUCAAAAAAAAAUUGAAAAAAUUUAUCUAUUUGUAUAGUGCGUCAUGAUAAAUCAUCAAUUAGACAUGAGUAAAGAAAAUUCAUGAUGCGUGUUUAAGGGUGGUAUAUAUUUAUAUUUUGGCUUUUUUAAUAAGUUUUAAAUAGGUUAAUAUAUUGCCAUCAGAAUUUUAUUAAUAUUUACAAUAAAAAAUUUAUCGGAAUUAUUUUUAAUACAUCUAAUAUGGCACAGUCUGAAUAUCUACCCUCACAUAAUAUCAUAGUGAUAUUUGCUCUACUCAUAUUAAUGGAGAAGAAAUUUGUUAACAUGUAUAUGUUCAUAAUAUUGAUUUUGAUGAUAACAAACUUUAAAUGUUUUUGAUUAAAGUGUUGGAGCUAUUCAUGAAUAAACGAAAGCCUUAUAAUCAUUUCAAUUAUAUUUAUAAAAGUUGGAUAACUGUUAAACUUGAAAUUGGAAAAUGAUUCUCUGUAAUAUCUGGCUAAAACUAUGAUUCUGGAAAUAAACGGUGAACCGUUUAUUUUUAACGGUUAACUGAUUAAAUCCAGAGAGUAACGAAUUGCUUAAGCUCUAACCGGUUAACAAAAACGGAAAACACAAAAUGCUGAGAAGCCAACUGGAAUUAAACUGUGAACUGUUUAUUGAAACGGUUAACUGAUUAAAAUCCAGAAUGGAAAACUGUGUUCAUCUUGUUACUGAAAACAAACGGUAAAAGUUUAACUGAAACGGAUAAGGCUAACUUGUUCUAUAGGUUACUGGAAACAAACGGCGAACCGUUUAUUACAAACGGUUAACCGAUAAAUUCUAGAGAGGUUAUUUCGGGCAAAUCUUUAACCUUUUAAUGCAAACGGAUAGCUGAAGUUUAUCUUGCAGGUCUCUGGAAUUUAACGGCGAAAGGAUAAUCCUAAACAGCAAACCGUUUAUUAGAAAAUUGGCCCAACGGUAACUUUGACCAGCCUAAACGGUUAACCGUUAAUGGUUAACAGCGAACUGUUUGCGAGCAGACAGUCUAUAACGGCUAGUUUUUCAGCUCCAACUAUAAAUAAGCUCAUUUAAAUUCAAACAAGGUUGAUCACAACACGACCAUUGAGCUUAUAUUCGAGAAUACAAUCUUCAUAGAGCUUUAAAACACAUUCUUACUUCAUUUAUUCACGCAUUGGGCAUUGAUUUGUAAUCUUAAAUAUUGUGUGAGAGAAAAAUUAUUUUUAAUCUUUUAGUUUGAGUGAUUGUAAGUGUCGGGAUACACUUGGGUUAAGAGAUUGGGGAUAAUCUCUUAUUGUAAAGGUUCAUUGACACCUUGAAAGUCAAGUGUAAGCAUUUGAAGCCUUGGAGGUUUGCUUAGUGAAAUCCUCAAGUCCGGAAAGCUUGAAGGCGUAGACGUAGGUGAGGUUGGCCGAUCCACGUAAAAAUCUUCGUGUUUAAAUCUCUCUUCCUUUAUCUUUUUAUACUGUAAUUGAUUUAAUUGUUAUUCCAUUAAAUUCAUUUUAGAUUUGCAUGAUAAUUUGUUAUAGAAUCAAAUAAUUUUUAGAAUCCCAAUUCACCCCCUCUCUUGGGUUACACACUUAUAUUUUAUUUGGUAUCGGAGCUUGGUUCUCUUGUUAGGACUUAACCAUCUAGAGUAAAAUAUCCAUGGCAACCCAAAAUGACUCAACCUUUAGGGAAAGACAGUCCACAACUAGACUACCGUUCUUUGACUGAAAUGACUACCCAUAUUGAAAAACUAGGAUAAGAAUUUAUUUACAAGCACUAGAUUAUGAAAUUUGGGAAGUUGUAUGUGAUGGUUCGUUUUUGCCCCUAGCUAAAAAUGAAGUAGGGAAAGAUAUUCCAAAACCUUCAAGAGAAUGGAAUGAAUUGGAAAAGAGAAAAGCUUCUCUAAAUUCCAAAGCUAUGAAUGCUUUAUUUUGUGCACUUGAUAAGAAAGAAUUUCAUCGAGUAUCUAGUUGUUAAAGUGCCAAUGAAAUUUGGCACAAACUUGAAGUAGUCUAUGAAGGCACAAAUCAAGUGAAAAAGUCGAAAAUUAGUAGGUACACUCGACAAUAUCAGUUGUUCCAAAUGGAAUAAAAUGAGAGUGUGUACUUUAUGUAUACGAGAUUUACGGACAUAGUAAACACCCUAGGAGCCCUAGGAAAGACCUUUUCAAAUAACGAGAAAGUUAAAAAAAAUCAUUAGGUCACUUCUAAAAGAAUGGAGACCUAAAAGAACUGCUAUUGAAGAGGCCAAAGAUUUAAAUACUUUACCUCUUGAUGAUUUAAUUGGUUCUCUAAUUUCAUAUAAAGAAGAUUUGGCAACAGAAAAAGGGCAUGAGGAGAAGAAGAAAAGCAUUGCUCUCAAAGCUUCAAAAUAUGAGAGUGAUGGGGAGAGUGAACCGGAUGAUAAAGAGUUGGCCAUGCUAGCAAGGAGGUUCAGAAAAUUCUUCAAGAAAACCGGAGAGCAAAGAAAAUUCAGAAACUUCAAGAACCAAAGGGAGAAGAAAGAGGUAAUCACAUGCAAUGAAUGCAAGAAGCCUAGCCAUAUAAGAUCGGAGUGCCCACUUAUCAACAAACUUAAGAAGAAAGCCAUGGUUGCAACUUGGGAUGAUAGCGAGGAAGAUUCAAGUGAUGAAGAAGGGUCACAAGAAAUAUCAAACCUAGUGCUUAUGGCAAUAGGAGAUGGUGAUGAUCUCAAUGAGGUAAGUGAUCCCACCUAUGAUGAAUUGUAUGAUGCUUUUAAAGAAUUGCAUAAUGAGUUGAUGAAAAUUGGUAAAAAGAAUGUAUGUCUUAAAAAGGAAAUGACAAAGCUUAAAAAUGAAAAUGAAUCUCUAAAUGCAAGAAUUAUAUGCCUAGAAGUAGAGAACAAAACAUUGCAUGAUGAAAUUGCAUUUAUCAAAUGAGAAACCUAGCAUCAGCAUUUAGAAUCACACAUAGAUGAUUUGAAAAAUGAAAAUGAAAUGCUUAAGAAAAAUAGCAAUGAGUUGAAUGAGAUUGUUUUGAAAUUUACAAAUGGGCAAAAGAUGUUGGAUAACAUGCUUAAUUCACAAAAAUGUGUGUUUGACAAAGGAGGUAUUGGUUAUAAGCCAAACUUGAAACAAAAAUAUUAUAAAAACUACUUUGUGAAGAGUAUAUCUAGUAACAAACAAAUUGUAUGUCAUUUUUGUAAUUAAGAUGGUCAUAUAAAAAAUAGAUGUCCAGUAAAAAGAAAUGUAUGUUAUAGUAUGAAAUGCAUUUGGGUUCCAAAAGGAAUCACUACUAACUCUCAAGGACCCAAAAAGCUUUGGAUACCUAAAACUUGAGAUUUUCCUUGUAGGGCUUGAAGAAGAAGAAAAAUAAAUGGUACUUGGACAGUGGUUGUUCAAGGCACAUGACCAGAAACUAUGCAUGGUUCUCAAGCUUCACCAAAAUUAAAAAUGAUAGAGACGUAUCUUUUAGAGACAACUCAAAAGGAAAAAGUCUUCGAAUUGGAAAUGUUGGUAAAGUUUCCUCAACUCUAAUUGAGAAUGUAUGUUUGGUUGAGAACUUGAAACACAACUUAAUUAGUAUUAGUCAAUUAUGUGACGAAGGUUAUAAAGUUAUCUUUGAUAAAUUUAGUUGUGUUAUUGAGAAUUUAUGUGAUGACAAGAUCUUAUUUAUUGGGAAUAGAUAUGGUAAUGUUUAUAUCAUUGACAUAGAAUGUGCAUCUACUCUUGAUAAAUGCUUUUCGGCAUUGCAUGAUGAUAGUUGGUUAUGGAAUAGAAGGUUAGGACAUGCAAAUAUGGAUUUGAUUUCAAAAAUUUCGAAAAAUGAUUUAGUUAAAGGUCUUCCAAAAAUUGGUUUUCAAAAAGCGAAGAUUUGUGAAGCUUGUCAAUUUGGAAAACAAAUCAAAACAUCUUUCAAAAAUAAAAAUCAUAUUUCUACUCAAAACCACUUCAACUUCUUCACAUAGAUUUAUUUGGGCCCUCUAGAUAUGCUAGUCUAAAUAGCAAAUCUUAUGCAUUUGUGAUAGUGGAUGAUUAUUCUAGAUAUACAUGGGUAUUAUUCUUAGCUAAUAAGGAUGAUGCUAUUGAUGCCUUUAAAGUGCUUUGUAAGAAAAUUCAAAAUUCAAAAUUCAAAAUGGUAUGGUAUUGCAUGCAUUAGGAGUGAUCAUUGAGGAGAGUUUAAAAAUCAUGCAUUUGAGAUUUUUUGUAAUGAUUUUGGUAUUGAGCAUCAAUUUUCAUCACCUAGAACUCCACAACAAAAUGGAGUUGUUGAGAGAAAGAAUAGAUCUAUUCAAGAAAUGGCUAGGACUAUAUUGAAUGAAAAUUCAUUGCCUAAGUAUUUUUGGGCCAAGGCCGUUAACACUGCUUGUUAUGUUUUAAAUCGUGUGUUGAUUAAACCUAACCUUAACAAAACGCCAUAUGAGCUUUGAAAAAAUAGAAAACCCAAUAGUGGUUAUUUCAAAGCUUUUGGAUGCAAAUGUUUUAUUUUGAACACAAAAGAUAAUCUUGGCAAAUUUGAUCUAAAAUCCGAUGUGGGUAUUUUUCUUGGAUAUUCAAACUCAAGCAAAACUUAUAGAGUUUAUAACAAAAGAACUCUAGUUGUAGAAGAAUCGAUGCAUGUUACAUUUGAUGAAUCUAACCCUUCCUCUACGGAGAAAGUUGUUGUUGAUAAUGAUGUAGAUGAAGACUUACAAAAAGAAUCAUCAAAAGAUAACCAAAAGAAUGCAUCUCAUAGGAAUCAAGAUGAGCAACAUGAAGAAAUGAAUGUAGAGCAAAAUGAAGGUACUUCUUAAUCACUCCCCAAAUAGUGGAGGUAUGUUUCUUCUCGCUCUAAAGAUGUAAUUUUAGGAGAUCCCUCACGAGGUGUUACAACUAGAUCAUCAAUUAAGAAUACUUGUGAGCAUAAUGCAUUUAUUUCUCAAAUUGAACCCAAAUCAUUUGCGGAUGCGGAAAAUGAUCAAUCUUGGAUUAUGGCAAUGCAAGAGGAAUUAAAUCAAUUUGAAAAAAAUAAUGUAUAGGAAUUAGUUCCUAAACCGGAACAUCAAUCCGUCAUAGGUACUAAAUGGGUAUUUAGAAAUAAGAUGGAUGAAUCUGGUGUGGUUGUAAGGAAUAAAGCUAGAUUAGUGACUCAAGGUUACAACCAAGAAGAAAGAAUUGAUUUUGAUGAAACAUUUGCACUCGUAGUUAAACUAGAAUCAAUUAAAAUGUUAUUGGCAUUUGCAUGUCAUAAAGAUUUCAUUUUAUUUCAAAUGGAUGCGAAAAGUACUUUCUUAAAUGGUUAUAUUAUGAAAGAAGUGUAUGUAAAACAAUCCCUUGGUUUUGAAAAUGAAAAAUUUCUAAAUCAUGUUUAUAAGUUAUUUAAAGAUUUGUAUGGCUUAAAACAAGCACCUAGAGCAUGGUAUGAUAGGCUUAAGAAUUUCUUGUUAGAAAAUAAUUUUUUAAUGGGUAAAGUGGAUACUACUCCCUUUGUCAAACAUAAGAACAAAGACAUAUUUGUUGUUCAAAUUUAUAUUGAUGAUAUUAUUUUUGGUUAUACUAAUGAAUUGUUGUGUAAAGAAUUUUCAUCUUGCAUGAGUAAUGAAUUUGAAAUAAGUAUGAUGGGAGAGUUGAAAUACUUCCUUGGGCUGCAAAUAAAACAAAAUGAGGAAUGAAUUUUCAUAAAUCAAGCCAAGUAUGUAAAAGAUCUACUCAAAAGAUUCAGAAUUGAUGACUCAAAGACCAAAAAUACUCUGAUGAGCACAACAACCAAGCUUGAUAAAGAUGAAAAAGGCAAAGAAGUGGAUAUCAAAAUGUAUCGAGGUAUGAUCAGAUCUUUACUUUAUUUAACUGCAAGUAGACCCGAUAUCAUAUUUAGUGUAUGUUUGUGUGCAAGAUUUCAAUCAUGCCCCAAGGAAUCCCAUUUACUUGCUGUAAAACGAAUCCUUCGCUAUUUAAGUGGAAUUAUAGAUCUCGGCCUUUGGUAUCCUAGGGGAACUCAUAUAGAUUUAAUAUGCUAUUCAGAUGCGGACUUUGCCGGUUAUAAAGUUGAUAGGAAAAGCACUAGUGGAACUUGCUAUAUUCUAGGUCACUCACUUGUUUCAUGGUUUAGCAAGAAACAAAAUUAUGUUGCACUUUCAACUACCGAUGCUGAAUAUAUAGCUGCAGGAAGUUGUUGUGCGCAAGCUCUUUGGAUGAAACAAACACUUAGAGACUAUGGUAUUAACCUAGAACAAAUUCCUACUAAGUGUGAUAAUACUAGUACUAUAAAUCUUUCAAAAAAUCCCAUUUAACACUCUCGAACCAAGCAUAUAGAAAUAAGACAUCAUUUCUUAAGAGAUCCUGUUCAAAAGGGAGAUAUUGCAUUAGAUUUUAUUUUUACAGAAAAAUAACUCGUCGAUAUUUUUACCAAACCCCUUGGCGAAGAAUAAUUUUUGAAAAUUCGGCAUGAACUUGGGAAGAUGAAAUUUUUGCAUUAACUUCUCUAUUAAUGUUAUUUAGUGUAUUGAAUUGAUUGACUUAGUGAUAAUUUGAUCAUUUAAUAUUUAUGAAAUGCUUAAGCAUGAUGUUCAAGUGAUAUGUUUGCUUUUGAUAAUUCUUAAAUGUUUAUAUGAAUUAAUUGCUUGAAUACAUGUUCAUGAAUCAAAAUGGCUCAUAAAACAUUUUUGGAUCAAUUAAAUGAUCUUGGAAUGUAUUAUUUGUAAGCCAAAAAUUAAAUCAAAUGUGCGCAAUUAUAGAUGAAAUAAACGGAUAACUGUUUCCAAUAAACGGUGUACUAUUUUUAUUCCAGAAACUAGAUCAUGAUGUCUGACUUUUACCCUUUUACUGUUUGACGAAAUCGAUAAACCGUUUAAAGCAGAGAGCUCUCUGGAAAAUUACUCCUUUACCGUUAAAAGGAUAACCUUUCACCGUUUCCCAUUCAUUAGUCUCUGGAAAGUUACUCUCUAACUGUUUAAAUAAACGGUUAACCAUUUUCUUGCGACAUAAAAACUGUUCCAAGGGUUUCCUCUCUCUUCUCAUUUGCCCUCUUAUUGUUUCAGCCAUUGUUGCGCAGCCGAAGCUUUCUCUAUCGUCAAACCUCCAUUUUUCUUGAUUUCCUUGCCAAAUCACACCUAAAACAUCUUUUCACAUCAUCUUUAUAUCAUUUUUACCGAUUCAAAUCUUCAAAUUGAGCCUGAAAUUAAAAAAUCCCAAAUCAAAACCCUAAGGGCAGCCGGUUAGGUUUCGUCAUUUUUGACCUAAUUCGUGUCCUUUUUCAACCCAAUUAGGCUUUCAAAUUCCAUCCUCCACUCUUCCUUGAUCCCAAAACAAUUAUUUUUCGUCCAAAGUCACUGUUCUCAAAAUCCCUCAUUCUCUAUGUUCUUUACCAUGGCUGAGUCAUCUCGGAGAACUCGAAGGAGGAAAGAUACGCCUCAACAGAAUCCCAUACCACCACAGGCAGUCUCUGAAUUCGCAAGAAUUUAUUUUCCCACACCUUCAUUGGCCAAGCGUUUCGAGGACCGCUUCAAUGGCAGAAAGGUACUUGAUUCGUUUUAUGUUGACAUAGAAGACUUUAGAACCUUAAUUGUGUGUGGUAAAAGUGUUAGAAAUAUACUUCAACCUUGGGAGUCCGCCAUUGAUUUUGAUGAACGAGUAUAUCCAAAUUAAGUGCGAGUUUUCUAUUCGAACAUAGAAAUCUCUGCAACUCGCCUAGAUAGGAUAGUUACUCAAGUUGGCGGUGUUCAUAUUGAAUUUGAUGAUGAAGAUCUUAAUGGCUUUCUAGGUAUAUCUAGUGAUGGUCAUAAAAUUUGUACAUCUAAGAAAGCUCUUUCCUUUGAUGGUUUUUGUCAUAAUGAUGGAGUUCGUAAUAUUUGUCAGCGUGAAGAUCUGAGUUAUGAGACUUGUCACUUACCUUUUAAAUCUCAACUUUUACCUCUGCAAGUUCGCAUACUUUACACAAUUUUACAGCAUAUAGUGACACCUAGGAAGGGUCACUCGAAUAAGGUUACGAGGUUAGACGUUGGCUUAUUAGAUAGCCUCAUUUCAGGACGACUCGUUAACCUCGGCUAUGUUAUUGUGAGGCACAUGUUGAGUACUCCCGCGAUUAACCACCGCUUGCUUCCAUAUGGCAGUAUCAUUACUAAGAUACUGCGACGCUUUGAGGUGCCUCUUCUAGAUGCCGGUUAUACGGAGACUAGACGGAUUGGUCCAGAGGACAUGACUAGUAUCGAUUUUUCUAGAAGAAUGGCAAGUGGAUAAAGACUAAAAACUCCAAAAAUCGGGAUACUUUGAUUGCUCCUGAGGACGAUCGGAUGCUCAACGAUAUCUAUCCUUCUUAUCAACUUCCAGAUUUUCGAUUAGGAGCUCAUCCACCUCCUCUACGUCGCCGUUCUGUCCUCCAACCUCUAGCUGACUCUGACUCUGAGGAGCGUGAGAUGGAUGCUGAUAUUCCAUCCACUUCGAUGCCACCUCAAGCUCCAGCUCCAGCACAGCCUUCUGCUCCCGAGCCCUCUGUUGUUCCUAAGAGGCCCUCCGUUUUUGAGCCAUUUCCAGCUCCCGAGUAGCCUCCUGCUUCAGUUCAGCCCCCUGCUUCGGCCUCCUUGCAACAGUUGGCGGAUGAUGUUCGCCGGAUUUCGGAGAGGCAGCAGCUGAUUAUCGAUAGAUGGGACACCUUCUCCCACGACCAUCAGCAGCUUCGUUCGGAGUUUCAGACCUUCCAGCAGCAGAGCAUUGAUCAGCAGCUUGAACUUAUAGCUGGACAGCGCACUCUUCUUCGUUAUUUCGGUUAUGAUCCAGGGAGCACAUCUUCACCACCUUCAUAGUUUCUGAGUCUCAUCUUUGCACAUACAUUUCAUGUUUUGUUUGUUUGUUUGUUGCUAUUUAUAUUUGGGUAUACAUUGCUACUUCUCUAUGAUUUUGAUGAUGGAUUGUUUUUGUGAUGUUCUUGAUGUUGGAUGAUUUGAUGUUGGCUGAUUUGAUAUUAGAUGAUGGAUUUGUUGGUCUAUUGGAUGAUGAAGUUAUUGUUAAUAUAUUUGGAAGUGUUUUUAAUCUCAUUUUGUAUUAGUGGAUUUGUUCCAUUUUAAGGGGAAACUCUGCCAAUUUUUUUUUGCUCGCCAAAGUUGGGUAACUUCUUUCUCACCUCUAUACUUUACAGAUUUCUUUUCCCUCUUUUCUUUUUGAUGAUGAAGGUGGAGAGAUCAUGUUAUGCUCCUGCAUUUUGUGUAUAUUGAUAAAGGGGGAGAUAAUGAAAUAAAAAUAAAAUUCACUUUUAAAAUGCAUUUUACUUUUAAAACGCUUUUUGAAAUGAAUUCUUUUUCAAAACGUUUCCUUGAGCAAAAAUCUGUUUAUUGGAUAUUUUUUUACAAUUGGCCAUACAUUUAGGGGGAGCAUAUAUUAAGGGAGAGCAAAAUAUUGAAUGAAAUUUGUCAUCAUUAAAAAGAGGGAGAAUGUUAACAUGUAUAUGUUAAUAAUAUUGAUUUUGACGAUAACAAACUUUAAAUAUUUUUUAUUAAAAUGUUGGACCUAUUCAUUAAUAAACGAAAGCCUUAUAAUCAUUUCAAUUAUAUUUAUAAAAGUUGGGUAAUUGUUAAAGUUGAAAUUAAAAAAUGAUUCUCUGCAAUAUCUGGCUAAAACUAUGAUUCUGUAAAUAAACGGUGAAUCGUUUAUUUUUAACGGCUAACCGAUUAAAUCAAGAGAGUAACGAAUUGCUUAAGCUCUAACUGGUUAACAGAAACGAAAAACACAAAAUGCUGAGAAGGCAACCGUUUACGAGCAGACAGUCUAUAACGGCUAGUUUUUCAGCUCCAACUAUAAAUAAGCUCAUUCAAAUUCAAACAAGAUUGAUCAUAACACGACCAUUGAGCUUAUAUUCGAGAAUACAAUCUUCAUAGAGCUUUAAAACACAUUCUUGCUUCAUUUAUUCACACAUUGGGCAUUGAUUUGUAAUAUUAAAUAUUGUGUGAGAGAAAAAUAAUUUUUAAUCUUUUACUUUGAGUGAUUGUAAGUGUUGGAAUACACUUAAGUUAAGAAAUUGGAGAUAAUCUCUUGUUGUAAAGGUUCAUUGACACCUUGGAAGUCAAGUGUAAGCAUUUGAAGCCUUUGAGGUUUGCUUAGUGAAAUCCUCAAGCCCGGAAAACUUGGAGGCGUAGACGUAGGUGAUGUUGGCUGAACCACAUAAAAAUCUUCGUGUUUGAAUCUCUCUUCCCUUAUCUUUUUAUAUUAUAAUUGAUUUAAUUUUUAUUCCAUUAAAUUCAUUUUAGAUUUGCAUGAUAAUUUGUUUUAGAAUCAAAUAAUUUUUAAAAUCCCAAUUCACUCCCCCCCUCCUCUUGGGUUGCACACUUGUAUUUCAAAAUUUACUCUUAUCCAGUUUAAUUGGAAGGCAAAUUGAGUCCAAUAAUAAUUGAGACUCAAAGGUUAUACUAAUAGGAUAAGAACAUAAGGACUUAUAUAAGUAAAUAAAAUUUUACCAUUCAAUAGAGCUAAUGACACAUCACCAAAUGAGUUGAGUUAAGACGGAAAAAGACCAAAAGGGGGGACGUUAAUUUGAAGGAAUUAUUGCAAACAUUAAAAACUAAUAAAUGAAAGGCCAAAACUAAGUUACGUGUAACGUAACAUACAAUCAAGAAAUUAAAAUAUCUAUAGACACCCUUAGACUUUAUGGAAACUACAUUAAUAGAAUUAAAAGAAAUACUUUUAAAUCUCAAAGAAGAAAUAAAAGAUAUAAAACAAGAAAUAGGAAAAAUAAAAAUAGAAAUGUCUAUAAUUCAGAUGAGUCAAAAGAAAAAUAAAAAAUUAGAAAAAUUUGAAAUACUAAAAUCAGGAAUAAUUGGAACAAGUUUUAAGAAACCCAUACAAAAACCACAAACAGGCAACUAUGAUACUUGGUUUAUGGAAACUCAAUAUCCAAAAAUAUUAAAAGAAACAGAAGAAUUAAAGGCAGAAUUAAAGAAAAAAGAAAAAGGAAAAGAAAAAUUAGAGAUAAAAGAAACAACUCCAAGUGAUUCAGACUAAUGGAAGAUACAUUAGAAGAAUUAACUGAAAAUUUUAGUGAGAUAAACCUUAGUGACUUAGAAGAUUUUGAAAAAGAAUAUCACAUAAAAAUGAAUACUGCUGGAGGACCAGAAAUGAAGCCUAAUAUAAGAGAACCAAGUCAUAGGUAUACAACGAACAAAAAGAAAAAUAGACCCUUUUUUAAAUAUGUACCACCCGUUAAAAAUACCCCUUGGAAAAAAGAAUAUAAGCCUAAUAAUGAUAAAUUAACGCCAAUAAGCAAUGCAGGAACAUUUUUAGAUUUAGAUUGCAAAAUAGAACCUCGAAAAGCUAUAAUUGAAUAGGGAAUGCAAAUGAAGUUAUUUUUUAUAUACAAUGGUUCUAAGGAUGAUUCGAAUGUAGAAUCUGAAGCAGAAAAGAUAAAUUUAUUCGCUGACAUCCUAAUAGCCAGUUUUUCAGGAAAUGUAUUCAACUGGUGGAAAGGACUAAGCGGAGAUACACAAAAAUUGAUAAAAGAUUCAACUAAAACAGCUUUAGCUAGAGAUAAAGGGUUAGGAAUUGAAAGAUUAAUUGAAUAUAUCGCUAGUGAAUUUUUAGGUGAAGAUUGGAUACAAAAUACUGAAAUAGAAACAAGAAAUGAAAAAUUAAAUGCAAGAAUGAAAUUAAUGAAUUUAACUAUUUGUAACAUGUGUUUUGUAAAAGAAUAUACUUGUGAAUUUAAUAAAUAUUAUUAUGAACAAUUCUACAGUCAAGAAGACCAAAGUAUCUAUAAAAAUUUAUAUUAUUCCAAGUUACCAUAUCCCUUGAAUGGAUAUUUAUUAAUAAAUAUAAGAAAUAUAGUGUUACUAAUAAACUUCCAGAUACUUUAGGAUCUAGAAUAAGAUUUUUAAAUAUAAGAUUAAGUGAAAUAUGCAUUCAAAGAAAUCUAAUGAAAAAGAGUAAAAAUAUAGGAGAAAUAUGUUGUGAAAAGACAGAAAUGCCAACCCAAUGGGGUUGUUAUACACCUUAUAAACGAAAGAGAAAGUUAUAUAAAAAAGAGAAAAAAUAUAAAAAAUACAAUAACUUUAAAAGAAAAUACAAGAAACCAGAAAGAAAGUAUUAUAAAAGAAAGUAUUAUAAAAGAAAGUAUAAAAAUCAAAGAAACAAAUUAGAUAAAUCCAAGUGUAAAUGUUGGAAUUGUGGAGAAAUAUGACAGAUUAGCACAGAUUGUACAAAAAAGAAGGUUAGACUCUUAAGAGAAGAUUUUGAAAACAUAAGAAAUGACUUAGAAGAAAUAAGUGAUAUAUUAGAUUAUGAAGGAAAAGAAGUUUAUGUGGAAAAAGGAUCAGAAUAUGAGUCAGAAUAAAAAGGAAAUAAUAGAGAAAGAAGAGAUAGAAGAAAUUGAAGAAAUAGAAAAAGAAGAAAAUAAAAGUGGAUAUAGUCUUGUUGCCACUUUUAAUAAAGAAAAAUAUAAUAAACUUUUGAAAAUAAAUAUGGAAAAACCGAAAUAUGGGAUAUUACAUAGACUUAGAGAUAUAUUCAAAAGAAAACGGAUAAUAUUACAUGAAUAUUAUGAACAAGAAAAGGCUGUAACAAUUACACAAGCUGAAAGAAAUAUUAGAUUUAGUUUAAUAAAUAAAAGAUCUAUAGAUUUAGCAUUAAGAAAAAUAAAAAAUGAAUCAACAAAAGAAAAAAUUCAAUAUGUAUAUCUAGCAUAAAUUCAAAUAUUAGUAAAAUCCUUUUUCAAAGAAGGAAUAGAUAGUCCUAUAGUCUUAUCACUACAUGAUAAAAGGUUUCAUGAUCCCAGUAUAGGACAUUUAGGAACAAUAGAAGGAAAUUUAUGUUACACUAAACUAUUAUUUACAUGUCAUCCUAGAUAUUGUGUACACAUAAAAGAUAAAAAUAUAGAUGAGACGCUAAGCUUACACUUUAAACUACUAAAAAAGAACUUAAUGAAAGAAGGAAAUAGAUUAAUGACAAUACAUUAUUCUGCAUUAUAUAGUUUUUGUAAUUCGAACUAUGGAGAAAUAUAUGGAAAUAAACCUUAUAUAGAAAUAAAUAAAGAAAGUGAAGAGAUAGCAACCCUUAUAGAACCCACAAUCCAAGACUACAAAAUUCCUAUAAAUUAUGAACUGAACAUAGAUGAUAGAAAGUAAUUUUUAAAUGAUAAUAAUGAAAACUCCAUCAUUCCUAUAAGUUUUGCAGGAAGGACUUUAGUAAGAGGAAGUUCAUCUAGAAGAUUAAGCACUGAUAAAUAAAUAACUAGUAUGGAUAAACAAAUAACUAGAUCAAUAACAACUAAUAAUGUAGUAAAAAUACUUGGACAAUACUUUAAUGGAAUAUAAUAUACGACAAAAAUACAUAUACUAGUAGACACUGGAACGAGCCAUAAUUAUAUGAACCACACUAAAAAUAAAAGGACUCUUAAUAAAAGAAAAAGAAAUUCCAUAUGAAUACACUGAUUUUAAGGUAAUAAACAUAUUUGUAAACAAGAAGUUAAAGUCCCUAUAAUUACAGAAGGAUUUAGAAUAAUAGUAUCUUGUUAUAUAGACUUAUUCAUGACCACAGACCCAGAAAAACAUAUAGUGCUAGGAAAUAGUUUUUUAAAUGAUUUAGAAUACUAUAAAAUUGAAAAACAUAAAAUAACCUUACAAAUAGAAGGUCAAAGAACAGUGUGUGAAACAUGUUAAAACAAGCUUAUAUAAAAUACCCUAUGUCCGUUUAUACACAAAUAAACAUAACAGAAAAAGAUAUAGAUACAUGUGCCUUAAUAGACACUAGUAGUGAAAUAAUAAUUAUGAAACCCUUUUUAUCAAACCAAUGGAAACCUAAUAGAAAGUUAAAAAUCAUUAGAAUAACAAGAGAUAAACAACAAGUAAAUCAAUCUUUGAUAAAUUUUGAAAUACAUUUAGGAAGUAAAAUAGUACGUAUUAAUUAAAUAUUUCAAUAUGACCAUAUGGAUUGUGAUAUCCUCCUAGGAAAUGCCUUCCUACAACAAUUCCAGUACUAUCAACAAACUCCUUAUAUGAUCACCUUAAAAACCCCUUGUAAUCAUGUCCUUCACAUCCCUCGUGAAUUUAAACCCUACCGAGUUCAGCCAGCCCAGCAUGGUGAUAAUAUUAUUUAUGAAAAAAUUAUUUAAUCUUGAAAGGACAUAGUUAUAAUAUACAACUAGAAACAAUAAAAUCACAGCUUGAACAAGUCUAUAAAGAUAACUGAUUAGCAUUAUGGAAACCAGACCAUCCUAGAACAAAAAUAGAAUUAAUUGAAAUAGAAUAAUAAGGCUUAAAUCUAUGAUGUAUACAGAAGAAGAUAGAGAAGAGUUUAAGAUCCAAAUAAAAGAGUUAUUAAAUUUAAAACUAAUAAGAACUAGUAAUAGCCUUCAUAAUAGCCCAGCCUUUAUGGUUAGGAAAAGAUCAAAACAAGUAAGAGGAAAACCAAGAAUGGUUAUAAAUUAUAAGGAAUUAAAUAAAUAUACGAAGUUUGAUGAAUAUUUUCUUCCAAAUAAAGAAGUAUUAAUAAAUCUUGUAAAAAAUAAAACAUACUACUCAAAAUUUGAUUGUAAAUCAGGAUUUUAGCAAAUAAAAAUGGAAGAACACAGUAUUCCUUAUACAGCCUUUAGCACCCCACAAGGACAUUAUGAAUGGAUAGUAAUGCCCUUUAGACUAAAAAAUGCCCCUCAAAUCUUUCAAAGUCGAAUGGAUAAAAUAUUUAGAGAUUAUAAAUAUAUCAUAGUCUAUGUUAAUGACAUAUUAAUAGCAUCAGAAACAUUAGAAGACCAUAGAAACCAUUUAAGAGAAUUUGUUAAUAUAUGUAUCAGAGAAGGUAUAGUUUUGUCAGAAAGAAAAGCAGUCGUAGAACACAAGAAGAUAGAAUUUUUAGAAAUGGUUCUUGACAAAAAAGGAAUUAGACUCUAGAGCCAUAUAGAAAAAAAGAUUACAGAAUUCCCAGAUAAAUUGGAAAAUAAACAACAAAUACAAAAAUUUUUAGGUUGUUUAAAUUAUGCAGAAGGAUUUAUAAAAGACUUAGCAAAAAAGAGAAAUAUACUUCAAAAAUUACUCAGAAAAAAUAAUACUAAAGGAUGGAGUGAAGAACAUAUGGAAACUGUAAAGAAUGUAAUGCUGCGUUUACUUUUUGGAUUGGAGUGAGAAUCCUGAGGAGUGGGAAUCCUUGGAUUAGGAGUGUGGAGUGGGAGUGAGAGUAUGGUGUUUACUUAGAUUAAAUGAAAGUAUGGAUUGUCAAUUAGAAUCCCAAUUAUUUGUUUACUUUGUCUUAGAUUAGGAGUAAAUUGUUUUAAAUUACAAUUUUAUCCUUAUGUACAGAAUUAUAAUUUGUAAUUAAAAAAUUAAUAAAAAAUAUAUUUGGAAAAUAAAAUAAAUAUUUUAUUAUAUUUAUAAAUUAAUAAUAAUUACUAAUAUUCUUAAUUAUGUAAAUCAUAAUUUUUUAUUAAUUUUAAUUUAAAUUAUGUGAAUAAAAAUUAUUAAUAAUAGCAACACAAAUGAAAUAUUAUUAUUGAUAAUAUAGUACAAAAUUAAUAUUUUUUAGAAUAAAAUAUUUAUUAUUAUUAAUUAAAUAAAUAAUUAAUAUUUAUUAAAAUUAAUGUUUAAUAUUAUUAAUUUAAAUAUAAUAUUUAUUUAUUUUAUUAAAUUUAAUAAAAUAAAUAUGAUAUAAUUAUUAUUUUUAAUAAAUAUGAUAUUAUUUAUUUUAUGAAAUAUUAUUUAUUUUAUUAAAUAUUAUUUAUUUAUUUUAUUAAAUAUUAUUUAUUUAUUUUAUUAAAUAUUAUUUAUUUAUUUUAAUUUUAAUUUUAUAAGGAUAAAAUGGGAAGAGGGGGGAGUGGAUUCCCACUCCCACCUCCCCCAAUGGGAGUGGGAAUCCCACUCCCCACUCCAAAUUUGGGUGGGACCCACGGAUUCCCACUCCCACUCCCCCCUUUUUUAAGGUAAGUAAACACUGGAGUGUGAGGAAUCCACACUCCACACUCCCACUCCAGAAAGUAAACACUGCCUAAAAGAAGAAUGUAAAAACCUCCCAUCAUUAAGGUUACCAGAAGAAAAUGAUAAGUUAGUAGUACAAACUGAUGCAUCUGAUUUACAUUGGGGAGCAGUACUUAAAACUGAUAUAAAUGAAAUUUGCCGAUAUACUAGUGGAACAUUUAACCCAGUACAAGUCAAUUACCAAGGUCAUGAAAAAGAACUCCUUGCAAUAUACAAAGGAAUAAAAAAGUUCUCAUUAUUUUUACUCUAGAAAUAAUUUAUUAUAGAAACAGACAAUUCUUAGGUAAAUUGGCUUAUUAGUAAAAUUUUGCCAAAUGAACCUCACUACAAGAGAUUACAUAGAUGGCAAGCGUAUUUGUCAUAUUAUAAUUUUAAAAGGAACUAAUAAUUUUCUUGCAGAUUUUCGAAGCAGGAACAUAGAAUUCGGAGACUGAAUACAGAAGUAAAUAAAACCAUAUCUGUGAUAAACACAGAAAUACAAAGGCUCAAAGCAGAAGCAUCAGACAUGCUAGAUACUAUAAAUUACAUGAAAGAAGCCACAGAGGCUCAUGAGAAGGGAAUACAUUUGUUAGAGUCAUACAUAAACGACUUAACAAAAGGGCUUUCAAUAAAUACUAACCCAAUAAAAAUAGGAAGCAGUAGUGGACCUCUCCCACAACAAGAACCAGUCUGUGACCCAUCCUUCAACCGAACCUUGUCCAUUGAAGUCGAAUCUCCUAAAAAGACUUCUACAAAAAAGUUCAUCAGAAUAAACAGCACUUCCUCAGAAGAAGAAAAAAAACUUAUUACCCUAAAUCCAAAAGAAGAAGAAUAUAAAUAGUUUUCCACAUGGGUGUACUCUACAUGUUCCCACAAUAAUACCAUUUUCAAGGCACCUGAAAAAAAUAUAUACCCCAGGAUGAUAGCUAUAAAAGGAGCAGAUCCUCUCCUCAUUGGAAGAAUAGCACAGUAUGGGUUAGUAUAUCCAGAUACAGAUUUAAGAGAAAUAGUCAGUUUAGAUGAAUUAUUAGUCAAAGAAGUUUCAAAAUUUGCCCAAAAAAGGCCUAUAUACCUAAAAUUUUACACUAUUAGCCCAAAAUACCACCAAAAUGUUGAAUAUCAAGCGUUUUACAUGAUCUCUGUGGGGCACCUUACAAAAAAUUUCCAAAUAGAAGUAGGAACUGAAUAUACAAAUAUUCCUCAAAUAACCAAAUCAUGGAUCAGAACCCGCAGAGCCCGGGGAAUAAAGGCGAUAUGGAGUAUUGCCAAAGACCUUUAUAAAAGAAACUAUAGAACAAUUAUCCGAUUUCAGAAUUAUAUCCUUGUAACCUCAGAGGAUAGCCAUACACCUUCAAAUAUUCUUUUAGAUCUCAUCAAUGAAAUCAGCACCAUGAGAUUCCCUAGUAGCCAUGAAACCAUACAGCAAGCUUGUCAGCUUAUGGAAAUAAAGAUGCUCGACAAAUAAAAGCAGCUCAUGGCAGACAAGAUAAAAAGAAGAUGCUCGUAGCAGACAAGAUAAAAAGAAGAUGCUCGUGGCAGACAACUAAAAUGCUAAAAGAAAAGAAGAAGACAAGAAGUCAAGAAUUGUAAUAAUAAAAUAUGAAAUAAUGAUGUAAGCUGAAAACCAAUAAUGUAAUAGAUACGUAAGCAAUGAGGUCAUAGACCAAUAAUGUAAUAGAAUCUCUUUCAUAUAAAUAAAAAGAAUGAGGAGAAACACACACUCUCACUCAGACGUUUUCAGACAUCCUUCAUUUUUUCUCUGAAAUUAUUAACGAUGGAUCACUAAACACUUGCUUGCUCGAAAUCCUAAAUCAAAACAUCAUCAACCAAAAACAAAAACCAUCAAAGAAAAAGAAGAGAAACCUAAACUUAUCCAACACUUCUUUAUCAAGACGAUCGAAAUCCAUACAGUAAAUCCAUCUGAGUCCACAUAUCCCGCUGAGGCAGGACGCUGUAAGGGCACAGGACAAACAGGCUGCAGGUUACUGGAAGGAGAUCAGAAGGUAAAGGAGAAAGGAUAAAUCAGGUAAUAAUACUCGACUUUUAUCUCUUGGUGGAAGUUUGUUGAUGGUUGUUGGUGGGAUAAUUUAUGGAGUAAGAGCAAAACUUUUAAACUGAAAAACUUUCAAACUGAAACAAACUUUUUGUUUAUAACAUGGAUCACAAGUUUUAUUUAGGAGAAUCUAAAGAAUACAUAAUAAAUCCAACCACUAAAAUAACAUACAAUGAGUACAUGAUGAUAAUAGAUUUUAAUAUAGGAUCAUAUAAAUAGAGUUCAUAUCUGUUCAGUAAAUAGGAACUCGUUAGAAUAGAAGACUUAUUAGCAGUACACUCACUUAAUUUACCUCAAGAAAUAAAACGGAAAAUUAUAGAAAACAUUGAAAUAGACAAUCUAAAACAUAAUAUAAUUAUGCCAACAAUAGAUGAAGGAAUUGAUAUAGCAAAAGCAUAUUUGAAACAUAAAGAUUAUGAAGCUGGACCUUCAUAUACCUAUAAUUCAGAUAAUGAAGAAUUUGAAAUAUAACUUAAGAAAUAUGAAAAGUAUAUAGGCUGGAAACCUCUUUGGGUUGCGGGCUAUUGGUCCAAAGUGCUAUUUUAAUAGCUGUACCUAGGGGUGUAACAACGCCACGCACUUUUCUAUUAUUAAUAUUUAAGUUACAUAAAAAUAUAUGUUCUCUAUGUUUCUGAAUGAACAAUAAUUUGUUGAUCAUAUGUGUUUAUUUAUUCAUAUGAAUCAUUCUUCGCAUUAGUAAGUUAAUUUUGUAAUUUUAAUAACGCACGAAUUAAUUUUGUAAUUUUGUAAAUUUAGUAAUUUUGAAAUUUUGAUUAUUUGAUUUAAAUUUUAAUAACGACGAAAUGGUAUCAGAGCCACGGACUCCAUGGAUCCUAUAAGAACUAUAGUAGACAGUUUGCAUACAUUAAAGGUAUAUGAUAAAGAAGAUAUAAAAAAUUUAAUAAAAGCAAUUAAAACUGAUAAAAAUAAUAUAAGAAAUAUAGAACUUGAACUAACCCAGGAGUUUAGAGAAAGAUUUAUAGAUACAGUAGGUGGUGAAAUUUUAAUAGAAAAGAAAAUAAAAUUUAUAGAUGAAUUUAUAAAAUUUUUAAUAUAUUGGUAUAAAAUAGAAACGCUAUGAAUCAAGCUGUUAAUACAAUACAAGAAUUGGCAAGUAGUAUAGAUCAUUUGUUUUUAGGAUGGGAAAACAUAGUAAAUACAUAUAUAAAUUUAAUAAACCAAAAAAUAGAUUUAUUAGAACAAGAAAGGAUAGGAAUAAUAAAUUUAGAACCAGAUGUCUAUUAUGAAUUUGUAGACUUAUAUGAAUUUGACAAUCAUUUGUUAUUGUUCAAGGAAAUAAAUAAAAUCCUAGAAAGAAUAAAAAAUAGAUGUAUGAGAGAUGGAAGAAGACAAAUGCAUCCAUAACUAUAAAAAUUGGAAAUAGAAAAAAAUUAAAGGAUCUAUAUGAUAUUAGCCAAAAGGAAAUAAGACAAAAGCAAUAAGUUACAAUAGAUGUAACUUAGGCACUCUCUAAAUGAAAUGGUUGAGGAAGCUCAAACACAUGAUGGGCCAACUUCUGUUCAGCCCCUCCAAAUUUGGAAGGGCUUUUAUGAGCUCAGACUUGAGCCUGGGCUUGUCCAAGCUCAGCCCGUUCUCCCUCCCUGUUUGGUCCCACUACUGAACAGAAAGGAAUUCCAACUCCGAAUUAGCCUAAUCAUCUGCUCUCUGCCGAAUUCCAUGGAAAUAUGUGUAAACCAAAAACAAAAUCAAGUUUGGAUUCCUAGAGAUUGUGCAAAGCAAGCACAUGAGCCGCUCCAUGGCCCAAAAGGCGAUUUUUGGACCAUGAUAAAGCGGGCAAGGCAAACGCCAAUACCUACCAUUAUACUUUUAGGUAAAAUCUCUAAAUCUCUUAACCUUAGUCGUGAGAUUUUAUCAAUUAAAAUUACAAUUUAGGUGACGUUUUGAGAUAAUACUAUAACAGUUAUUUUUAAUUAAAAUUAAUUACUCUAAAAUAGACUACCAAAAUAUAUGCUUUCAAAUUCAAUAUUCACAAAUUCAAAUGAAUUAGGUUGUAUGAUAUAUAUCACAGAUGACUCACUUCUAUAAAUCAUUUAAUCUAUCACAUAUAACGUCAACUGUACUUGAUUUGGUUUGCCUUAGCCAUAUGCUUAUACAUACUAAUUUUAAUAGGAUAAUUGAUAAGUCCUUAAUAUUUAUCUAAGAUUAAACUACCUCAAAGACUUAGCCGAGUGAUUUUUAAGUAAUUUUACUUUAUUAAUUACCCGAAUUCAAAUCCUAUGGAAGGCUGAGGGAGAAAAAAUUGAUUGGGUUGGCUGAGGUAGAUUCUUUUUAAGAAGCACUAAUUAGAAAAAAAAUUAAUAUAUUUAUAUAGAUGGCAACUAGAGUUGUCGAUAAAUUUUUUUUUAAAUAUCUUUAAUAAAUUUCAACAAAGUAUUCAAUAUGAGAGAGAUUUGAGAUGAAUUAGAAUGAAACUAAAAAAUAGAGUCUCUUUGACAAUAUAUUAGUAGUGCAUUUAUUAACUAUGAAUCCUAAUAGGCAAGAAUAAAAAUGAAUUGGAAUAAAAAUGAAUUGGAAUCAAAAUGUAGAAGAAUAAAUUGUUUAUUUCAACUGCAAGAACCGAGAUCAAAAUCAACAGUAUUCCAAACUUGAUGUGUUUACUUUAUUUUAAAAUUAGAAUAGAUGAUUGUAAGUUACCAAAAUGGAGUAAAAAGAAAGUUGUAAUUUUCAAUAAAGAUGAACGAUUUUUACUCUUUAUUCUCAUUUCUCCAUUCUUAUUCCCGCCUCUUCCAUCUAAAUGAAAUUCUUACUCAUUCCUAAAUUUAUGAGACUCACUUAAAAUUUAUUUAUAUUUCUUUGUAUUUUUAGCAAGUAAAUAUUAUUAAUAAUUCUCAUUCUUCUUUUUUUUUUAAAUCCCAAAAUAAACACAUGAUAUUUUUUCUAAAUCUAAAAAAUAAACACGUUAAUGACAUUUAUUCCAUCAACAAAAUCAUGUGGUUGUCCUAAAAUUGAUCUAAGAACCCACAUUGACAAUUUGUUUCCUUCUAACUUUAUUUUAACUUUCAAAAGACACGAUUCCACUCCCGCAUUCAACUAAUGGCAAGUGGAUAGUUGCCGGCUGUGAGGAAGUCACUUUCGGGGUGUGUUUGGAAUUGAGGUGUUGUAACUUUUAAGCUACAAUUGCUGUGAAAAAAAAGUUGUAACUAUGAAACAAAAAUUAAUAAUAUGUAAUAAAUAUUAAUUUUAAAUAAUAAUUUUGACAAAAUUAUUGAAGAUAUAAUAGAUUCUCUAUUAUAUAAGUGAAAAAUCAUAUUAACAUAACUUUCAGGUUACAACAGAUAGUGUUUACCAAAUACUUUACUGUUAUAACUUUUAAGUUAUAUCUGUCCAACAUCAAUUCCAAACACACCCUGAAUUUAGUGAUUGUCACGCUUGUGAGUUAUGACUAGUUGAUAACAAAAAAGGAAAGUGGCUGAAAAAUCAAAUUACUCUUUUUUUUUUAAAAAAAAAAAGAAUUUUGACCGUAGACUCUCUAGUCUCUACUAAUUGUGAGCAAGAUUAGACAUGUCACCUGUAAUUGUAAGUCGCAUCAGGGGGCCUAUCUCCCUAAAAAAUAACCAAAACGCACAAUAAAAGAAAAGAAACAGAGAGGGGGAUUUGUGAAAUAUUGAAAAUUACGGUCAUAAUAAAUUUUAAUUAAUAUAUGUACUACAACUACUAUAAACAAUAACAGAUAAAUUAAGAAUAUUUAUUAUUUAAUGAUUUUUUAUCAUUCUAAUUUUGACUAAUAGAUGAACUUAGUAAUUUUGAUCAAUUAAUGAGAUAUUUCUUUUUUUUAAACCUUUAUACAACCUUUAUACAAUUUUGAUCAAUUAAUGAUUCUAGUAGACUCAUAUCACAAAAGAAGACCUUUGUGAUCAUGUUUGGGAGUUUCAUUUUAAUAAGGUAUCUAAUUUUAGUAUGGUGCUUGUUAUACAUUAUUAAGAGAGUCUGGUGAGUGGAGACUCACCUCUUGAUUUCAGUCUGCCCAUUGAUGUAGUGCCAAAUUACUGGAACUUGCAUGAGCUUGAAAAGCGAACGUAUAAUACUUAUACGUUAAUGUUUUGACGGGUUAAAAGUUUGAUCACUUGUACCCUUGGUAAUGAGAUUUCAAAACCCUGAGGAACAAAACUCAUGAUUAUAAUCUGCCUAUCUGUAAGGCAUGGCUCAUAAUUCAGGCACUCACUCAUGUACUAUUCCCUUGACUAGUCACGAGUAAAUCAUACGUUGGUGGUACAGGACCCCUGCUUGUGUGCUUCAAGAAUGAAGUACUGCUGGGUUUGCCAAAUACUUUCAAGAUAUAGCAUAACUUUCCAAUGAGAAAGCUCGACCAAACGAAAAAACAGGAAGAAUCACAUAUUUUAAAUAUGUGUUCUCUUUGGAUCCUAAGAACUCAUCUUCGGCUUUGUUUAGACAAUAUUUAUUUGAAUUUUAGUUGGACCCAUAAUAUUUUUGGUCCAAUAGUGUUAAAUUAGUUUUUCACUUUUAAAAUGUAAAGAAAAUAUAUGAAAUUUACUCAAAUUAUCAGUGCAAUUAGAUUUCUCAUUACAAGUUAUUAAUAAACAAAAGUAAUUAAAAACACGAUCAGUUGUUAAUACUUAUGUAACUUACACAGAUCCCAGUAUAUAUACGGUGGACAUGUUCGGCCGUUCGGCAAACAGUUUUUGUUUCCUCUCAAUUAGUUGGUAAAAACUAUAAACGAAAGAGCGAGACAGAGAAUAUUGAAGCAAAACCAUCCAUCCAAUUACACCAGCAAACAAGAGUGAAGAGCAUUUAUUGUUAAAAUGUGAAUUGCUUAAAUAAAAACCUUAGUUUGCAUGAACUUUAUGUAUACGUAUAUAUAUUACACAUAUAUAUAAUCCUUCUUUAGUACGGGCGUAGUUCAAUAAAGUUAGUGCAUAACGUUAUAAAACCGCAUAGCUUAAAACCGUGUUCGCAUUAAAACAAAUGAAGGCAUCCACACCUGAAAAUGAUUACAUAUAUAUGUGUGUGUGUGUGUCACUAAUGUACAGAUAAAUUCAUUGCAGUCAACAGAUAAACAAAUAAUUGAUUUCUCAUACUGACGUGCUAGGAAAAAUAUCAGCAUACUAAAGUAUCAUGUAAUGAUUUAUACACAUCCUUUUAAUAUGUACACGAUCAAUUUAGAUGUCGCUAAGGAAUUUUUGUUCUUGCUAGGUAAAUCAUAAAUUUACUCCCAGAAGACUAAUUAAAUAGAUUUAAUUUAGGUUCAAAAUACAACCAGCAAUGUAACAAAUCCACAUUAGAAAAUGAUUCAUGGUCACCUAUUUGCCAAAUCUUACCCAUUCAAGUACAAAAUCUGAAAGAUGAACACAUCAGCAACACGAAACACAACCAAAUGAACACAACCACCACAUAGGGUGGAAUCGAAAAAAAAAAAAAAAAAAGCACAUAAACCUGAAACUAUACAUACUACUUGAUCUAGACAUGGUAUUGGAGAUGUUCCCGAUAGAGCUUGAGCAUGUUGGAUGCAUGAUUAAGAGAUGCUCUUUAAUAGAGUCUCUGAUGCAUUGUGUUCUCAUUAUUCGUUAGUGUGAACUAUGAAAGUAAAAAGUUUGUUCAACUAUUUAUUCUAUCAGAUUAUCUAUAGAUUGAUCUCCAAGUCUGUUAUGGACUAGUUGUUAUACUAUUAUGUUAUUGUUGGAAUGAAAUUAUAUCUCUAUGAAAAAAUAAAGAAAUUUUUUUUGGCACAUUUGUAUUCACCUGUUGGUAUUAACGACAUUAAUUCUUUUUAUACAAGUAAGAGGGGGGAGAAGAGAGAUAUGCUAGAAAGAUUAAUAUAUUUACAUGACGGGUCCAGCUACAUUGCGUCGGACGGUGCCUUACAUGACACAUAUGUAAUAGACACCUGAACUUUAUAAUUCUCGUUUUAGAAGCAAAUCUUAUUUAAAUAUCUAAUAUACUAUAAAUAGUACUAACAAAAUUUGAUACAAUCCAUUUAGCAAACAUGAACACAACACAAAAAAGUAGAUUUAGAUUAUUAAAUUUGACACGAUAAUUAAAUAGGCCGUACCCUUUUUAACACAAUUUUUUGGCUUCUCGAGUUAGGUUUAUAUUCUUGGGAUAAAGAUCCUCUCCUGAUCUGAGCUCUCAUGAGCUUUUAAAAAUCUUGUUCCAUUUGUCUUUAAGUAAUAGUGUAUGGGUAGAAUUUAAUUUUUUAAUUUUUUAAUUUAUUAACUACCAAUCACCUACAUGUAUUUUUUCUCAGGAGGAGAUCAGAUCAAGAGAGAAUCGUUAUCCUAUAUUCUUGACCUAUCUACUCAGUUAACGAAACAAUUACUUACGAAGGAUAAACAUUUAUGUGGUGUUCCAUUUCAUAAAAUUCUAGAUGCUUUUAAAACCUGAAUGGUGUAAAUAUGUAAUAUAUCAAUAAAUAUGUAUAUUUUUUAUGAUAUCAAUAUAUAAUACUAUUUAGAUAUAUAAAAAUUGUAAAAUUUUUAUUAAAUAGGAGCAAAAAUGAUUGAUAUAAAUCAUGUUAAAUGAGUGUUAAUUAAAUAGAUUAUAAGGUAUCUCGCGACACAAUUAUUAAUUAAUAAGUUACGUUGUGUCAAUUGUUAUUUUUCAUAUCAAACUUAAAAUUUUAAUAUUUUAACAUAAUUAUUAAAUAAAUAUUUUAAUAUUUUAACAUAAUUAUUAAAUAAAUAUCUAAAUCACUCUAAAUUUUACAUGGCACGAAAACCACUUUGUCAUCGGUUUUGCCACCUCUAAUAUCACAAUAAACAACCAAGUCAUCAACUUGUUGUUUUGCCAAGCAAUCACUCAGCAUCUUGCCACGUAUUUGAGCCAGAGCCCAAACGCCCGAUUUUCGUCCUUCAAUUGAAGGAUGACUUUGCUCUGGGGCUCGUGGCAAGAAUGCAUUAUCGGACCAGUAUUAACUAUCAUCAUUACAGAACAGUAUCUAAACCACGUGACCUCCCACCGCUUUUUUUUUUUAAAUAGAUAUUUAUUUCUUUUAUAAUACCGAUAACACCCCCGACCGCUCGUUUUACAUAAUCAUACUCUAAAAAGGUUAAAAUAUCGUAAAUAAAAAAUAUUCUCAACUUUAUUAUCAAUCUUCAUAAUAAAGUUGAAUAAUAAAUCAAGUGAUAAAAAAAUUGAAUAAAAUAAUAAGUAAAAAAGUAUUAACUUUUUAACUUGUAGGCCUGUAGUUCAAUAAUAUCUACGAGAGAAUGAGUUUGAGCCACGUAAAAUUUAUUAUAUUUAAAAAAUAAUAAAUUUGUCGGUCGUAUAUUUCUACAUACUGUAAAUGAUUUUAAAAAAAUUAAAUAUGGGCAUUUUAGCAUUGGACUCGACUAGCUUACAGAAUCUGUAAGGUACAGACUGCAGCAUCAGCCGUUGGAUGUGGUUGGAUGUGGAGUGAGAAACUAAACAAUAGAAAAUCGGAUGGUGGGAUGACGGGAGAUGUUUGUUACAGAACCUGUACCAUAGACAGGUCCUUUAGCAUUAACAUAUUUUUAUAUUUUGAUGUUUUUCGGAGUUAUUACAAUUACCUCAUUUUUCGCAGCUUCUGGUCAUUCCUUUCAUUCGCUUGCUCUGUAGUAAUAGCUGCUACCACACAGAAUGGAACUGCGAAAAAGAGAAGAACAGGAAAAUGAUGUCGUUUUACUGAAGAAGAAGAAGACGAAGAUGAAACUGAUAAAGGAGAGAAAGCGAGAGGAAAGAAAAGAAAAACUAAAAGAAGAAGAAACUGAAGAAUUAUUGCAGGACGCACUGGAUGCUUUUGGUAGAGACAUAAUGUUGAUGAUACUUCAAAACCUAAAAGCACACAGCGUAGCACUGACUCUCCUUGUAUCCCGUGCUUGGAACGGCGUCGCUUCAAGCGACACGCUUUGGACUCCCAAGGUUCAUUUCCUUUCCUAUUCUUUCUUUUUUUUCCCCAAUCUUUUUGCCUCGUACCUGAAUUUAGGUUUGUUUCUUUUUUAAAAAAUUUAAUUAAUUAAUUUAGUGCAUUCUUCGGAGAAUAUGAGAGUUGGGUUUUUUUAGUUUCACAAUUGGGUUUUUGUUUUAAGUAUUUUUGGUUGGUUGUUUGAAAUAAUCAUAUCAUGAAUACAAUUGAAUUUGAAUAUAAGCUUUCCAUGUCAUUAUUGAGUUUUAUGUUCCUAGUUUACAGGAAUUUUUAUUCAGCGCUGAGCUGAGAUUUUUGUUAAUCUUUUAGAAAGAUAAGUGUUGAAUCAAAAUAGAGUAAAAACUCUAAUUGAUCAAGAAGAAGAAAAACUCUCUUUAGAAUAAUCUCACAAAAUUGCAAAAGAGAAGAACUCUAAAGAAAACUUUCAAAUGCUUAUAAUAAAGCUUUGAUUGUUGAAUUAUAAAACUCAAAUACAAAUGAGGUAUUUAUAGAUUACAAGAAACAAUCUAAACCACUCAUUAAAAUAACCACAAACUAAUUUAAACCAUUGAAAUUAAACAUGGGAAAAAUACCUAAUUUUCACCUAACUAAAUUGAUGUAAGCAAUGACAUCAAAUUAAUUUAGGUGUGGACUUAUUUGGGCUAAUAUUGACUUCUCAACACUCCCCCUCAAUGUUAGCCCCCAUUCUUUGAAUCACGCCAAGCUGACGACGGAAAUGUUCAAACUUUCCAACACUCAAGCUUUUUGUAAACAAGUCAGCAGUUUGUUCAUCUGUCUUAACUUGCCUCAUCUCAAUCUCUUCUUGCAGAACUUUUUCCCUAACAAAGUGGUAAUGCACUUCCACAUGUUUAGUUCUUGCAUGAAAAACAGGAUUCUCCGCCAGCCGAAUUGCCGAUUGGUUGUCACAAUACAACAGAACUGCAUAAUCUACUGGUUGAUGUAGAUCAUUCAUUAGUUGUAUCAGCCACGUGCUUUCUUGAGCUGCCAUUGCUGCUGCUCGGUACUCUGCUUCCGUAGUUGACAAGGACACAGUCGGUUGUCUCUUGCUACACCAAGAAAUCGUUCCAGAUCCAAGGGUAAACAUAUACCCAGUAGUUGAUCUGCGAGUAUCGUGAUCUCCUGCAUAGUCAGCAUCACAGUAGCCAACUAGUUUGCAAUUUCCACCUUUCUUGUAUAGAAGACCAUAGUCUAUUGUACUCUUCACAUAUCUGAGUACUCGCCGAACCGCUUCUAAAUGAGACUUCUUCGGAUUUUGCAUGUAUCGACUCAUCACGCCAACUGCAUAAGAAAUGUCAGGUCGAGUCAAGGUUAAGUAGAUUAGACUACCCACUAAUUGUCGAUACAUCGAUGCAUCUUCCAGGUCUUUGCCUUCAUGUGCACACAUCUUGGCAUUUGGUUCCAUCGGUGUUGAGAUCGGCUUACAUUCUAGCAUCCCAAACUUCUUCAACAAAUCUUUGGUAUAUUUCUGUUGACAAAGAAAUAUCCCUUCUUUCGUCUGAUCAAUCUCUAGCCCAAGGAAAUGCUUAAGUUGUCCAAGUUCUUUCAUUUGAAAACGAACUGACAAGUUCUCCUUUGUUCGGAAAAUUUCUUCAACAUCAUCUCCAGUGAUGAUUAGAUCAUCUACGUACACGAGCACAAUAGCUAUCCUUUCUCCAUUAGCUUUAGCAAACAAGCUGGAGUCUGCAGAUGUUACUGAAUACCCACUUUGAGUUAGAAAUUCAGCAAUCUUGCCAUACCACGCCCUGGGUGCUUGUUUUAGUCCGUAAAGAGCCUUUCGCAGCUUACACACAUACUCAGGAUGACCUCGGUUCUGGAAACCCAUCGGUUGAAUCAUGUAGAUCUCCCGAUCCAGCUCUCCAUGGAGAAAGGCAUUCUUCACGUCCAUCUGCCACAAGUUCCAACUUUUGUUGGCUGCAAGUGCAAGUAAGACUCGGACGGUUGUAAGUUUUGCCACUGGACUAAACGUUUCGUCAUAGUCUAGUUCAUAUUGUUGAGAGAAACCACGAGCUACCAAUCGAGCCUUGUACCUCUCGAUUGACCCAUCUGGACGGUGCUUUAUUUUGUAAACCCAUCUGCAGGAUAUGGGUUUCACAUCUUUUGGCUUUGGCACGAGUUCCCAGGUCUAAUUUUGCUCAAGUGCAGUGAUCUCGUCUUUCAUAGCUGUCAUCCACUCAGAACUCUGUGACGCUUCUUCGAACGUCUCAGGUUCUAUUCCAGUUGCUUCUUCAACUAUGGCUGCAUUAGCGUAUUUGGGAUUUGGCCUCCGGGUUCUUGUUGACCUUCGUAAUGGAGUUGAUUCUUCUGUUUCACUAGGCACACCUUCUUCAUCUGGUUGUCGAUACACCCCAGAUUGCCAAGGAUUUAGAGUUACUCUUCGUUCGCUAUCACUAUCGCAUAGAUCUCCAGCUGAGCUUAGAUGAAUUUGGACAGUAUGCUCCUCCAUCUUUUGUUGUAGCAUGUCUCCGAAUUCUUUCGAGUCUGGCAGUACUUCUUUUUCUGAGGUCCACCAUGAGGAUGCUUCAUCAAACACCACAUCUCGUGAUGUGUAGCACCUUCCAUUUACUGGAUCACAACACUUCCACCCUUUUCGCUGAUUGUCGUAUCCCACAAAGAUACAUCUGACUGCUUUCUUAUCGAUCUUGCUACGUAGAUGGUCAGGAACAAAUACAUAGCAUACACAGCCGAAUACUCGAAAAUAGCUAACUGUAGGUUUCUUGUUCCACAAUUUCUCAAAGGGUGAAACAAACUCCAACCUUGGUUGAGGAAGCUUGUUGAUGACAUGAGCUGCAGUUCUCAUACCUUCGGCCCAAAAUCUUCCAGGUACAUUCUUCGCAUGUAGCAUACUCCGGCAAAUUUCAGUAAGGUGCCGAUUCUUCCUCUCUGCUACACCAUUUUGUUGUGGCGUAUUAGCACAAGUAUACUGAUGACGUAUUUGGCAUUCCCGUAGGUAUUGAGAAAACUCUCUCGAGCUAUACUCACCCCCGUUGUCUGUGCGCAAGCAACGAAUCUUUUGCUCCACUUCUCCUUCGACUAUCUCUUUGAACUCUUUGAACUUUGAGAAUGCUUCAGAUUUUUCUUUCAUGAAGAAAGCUCAUACAUAUCUGGAGAAAUCAUCAAUGAACGUAACCAUAUACCGCAUUCCGCCAAUUGAUGGUUGCUUAACGGGUCCAAACACAUCAGAGUGAAUUAACUCUAAUGGUUUCUUUGCUUUAAACUUCGACUCCUCGUAUGGCAAUUGAUGUGCUUUACCAUAUUGACAUCCCGCGCAAACAGUAUUUGUUCUCACGUCAAGUUGAGGAAGUCCCUUAAGCAUCGACUUCUUCACCAUCACACUUAGCUUGGAAUAAUUAACAUGACCUAGCCGCAUGUGCCAUAGAUCUGCCGUCUCAUUCCUUCUUGUCUUGUCUACGUAUGCAGACUCAGCUGACAUCACAUAAACUGACUCCAAUCGCCGUCCCUCCAUCGUAGGCUUUUCUGAGAUCUUUAGGUCUCGGAAUACCUUCACAUUUUGUGGACCAAACAAGACAUAGUGCCCUAAUGAUGUCAAUUGAGCUACGGAUAGCAAAUUUUUCUUCAUUCCUGGAACAUGGUAGACAUCUUGAAGUGGCACUUGGUUGGGACUAUAUCGAGGUGUAACGAUCGCUUUACCGAUGUGAGCUAUCGGUAACCUUGAGUUGUCAGCUGUUACCACCACACGAUUUCCCUUGUACUCAGAACAGUUUUGCAACUUCUGUCUAUCACCCGUCAUGUGAUUUGAGCAGCCUGAGUCUACGAUCCAAUCAUUCUCGUAGUUAAUCUUUUCUGGUGUUGUUACCGUGAGAGCUAAUUCUUCUUCCUCCAUAGCGAGUAAUGCUUCGGCAUCCCAGCUAUCUUCACUAUCUUCUUUAGAACUAAAAGUAGCAAUAUUGCUUUCGGUAGACUUCUUUUUGGACCAACAAUCUCUCUUCAUGUGGCCCUUCUUCCCGCAAUUGUAACAUUCGCCAUCGAACUUUCUAUUACUGUCGCGAUUCUUCGAAGCUCCCCCUGGACGAGAGCCAUUCCCUCCCUGAUGACUUUUUGUCUGUUCACCAGUCUUUCUAGAUCCGCCUUUGUUGUGCUGUCUUGAACCACCUCUGCUUUGGUUGGUGUAAAGCGCUUCCUCUUCACCCUUUAGUGAGACUCCUCCCAUUUUCUUGGCCAUAGCUUCUUGGCCUGUCAGUAAAUUUUCAAACUCAACAAGUGAUGGUUGUGUCGGCCAUCCUUGUACAGCGGCUACAAAGCUUCGGUAUUCGGGUCUCAAGCCAUGGACAAUUAUUCUUUUUAUCCUGGCUUCCCCAAUAGCAGCUGUCGGAUCUAAUUCUGAAAUUUCGCGGCAUAUCGACUUCACCUUGUGAAAGUAUUGGGCAACCGCCAUGUCGCGUUGCGCCAUUGAUAGAAGUUCAUUCUCGAGAAGUUGCAAUUUUGUAUCGUUCCUCUUCGAAAAGAGUGUAGCGAAGGUGUCCCACGCUUCCUUCGGUGAUUUAGCAUCCCGAAUGUGCUCCAACAUUUCUUCUUCUAUUGUGGUCUUUAAAGCAAACAUUGCUUUGCCUGCUUUAAUUUUCCACUUCCGCAAGACGCCGUUAGCAUCUUCUGCUGCCGGUUGUGUAACUUCACUACCACCGACAACCUCCCACAAGUCUUGACCUUGAAGGUAAGACUCUAUACACGUUGCCCACGUGUUAUAGUUUUGGUUGUUGAGCUUCUUGAUUCCUCCAACAACUUGAAGAUCACCCAUCGUAUCGACAAGACUUUGACUACACCGAACAAGCUUGAGUGACUAUCGUGCAGAGUAAUACACUACUCUUGACACAAAGAAGCUCCCUCUCAAGGUUUGUGAUAACCCCAGCAAUAAUCUCAAGAAAUCUUUUCUGAUGUGGAAGAUCAGUCAAAACUGCAACCACAGAGCAUACUCGGAAUUUCAAGAGACUUUACAACCAAUGCUCUGAUACCAAAUGUUGAAUCAAAAUAGAGUAAAAACUCUAAUUGAUCAAGAAGAAGAAAAACUCUCUUUAGAAUAAUCUCACAAAAUUGCAAAAGAGAAGAACUCUAAAGAAAACUUUCAAAUGCUUAUAAUAAAGCUUUGAUUGUUGAAUUAUAAAACUCAAAUACAAAUGAGGUAUUUAUAGAUUACAAGAAACAAUCUAAACCACUCAUUAAAAUAACCACAAACUAAUUUAAACCAUUGAAAUUAAACAUGGGAAAAAUACCUAAUUUUCACCUAACUAAAUUGAUGUAAGCAAUGACAUCAAAUUAAUUUAGGUGUGGACUUAUUUGGGCUAAUAUUGACUUCUCAACAAUAAGAAUAUAAAAUUAAUUAAAUCUUCACCUAAAAUUGCUAUCCAUGCAUGUGUGGUAGAUGAUUAUGAAGAGAUGAGCACAGCCAAGCUCAGUACUGGAUCUAAAUCCAGCUUACAGGAUUUCUUGUCCGCCAGGAGCAUUAUAUGAAUACUCAACUUAUUUUUGACUCAAUUUACUACUCGACUUGGCUUUCUUGACCAACUUGAAUUCGUCUGAGUAUUCUUGAUUUAAGCUGAAUAUUUUUUGUCUAGUAUCUAUUUGUCUUUGUUCACCCCUUAAGGAUAUAUCUAUGUAAAGUAACUUAGUUGAGGUAUAUUGUUGGUAUAUUUUAUUUUUCAAAAUCCUGGGCCCUAGGAAGCUCUUUCUUAUGAUUGAAACUAGACCUUGGGUAAAUUAUUGGUUUAUUUAAAGGAUUGGGGUAUAUUUUUAUAUAAAACCAAACUGAACUGUGAAUGCCAAUGCACGUUUUUACUGCCUUAUGGCCUAAGUUGCUUAUUCGUUCUGAUUGCAUGAUUUGUGAAGAUAAAUAUAUUUUUAACUUAACUUCAGUUAUUUUCUCUGCUUGAUUUGAAACCUACCCGGAAGAGAAUAUCUACCUUUUAUUUUUAUUUUUAUUUUUUUCAGUUCUCCAGGUAACUUAAUGGGUCAUGCUUCUACUUUGAAGAGUAACUGAGUAAAGAUAAUUCACUUGAGUUUCCUGUCUAUUUUAGUGCGAGGAACUGUGGUUGGGGGAAGCGCACAUACCUCGUUCAGCUGUAGUCCAGGGGUUAUGAAAGCUGGCCGCAUAUUCAUUGUCUGUCACGGAUGGAAAACGCGUGAGUGCUGAUCAAUCUCCCUUUGUUCUCCUGUCUCUCUUUUGAAUCACUCACUCUCCAUAUGCAUGUUUGAGCAAGCUAUCACCAACUAUUCUUUUUUUAAAAUUUUCUUAGACUCGUAUCAUGAAAGAAGACCUUUGUGAUCAUGUUUGGGAGUUUCAUUUUAACGAGGUAUGUAAUUUAGUACAGUGCUUCUUAUACGUUAUGAAUUAUUGGUAAGGUCUGGUGAGUGGUGACUCGCCUCUUGAUUUCAGUCUGGCCUUGAUGUGCUGCCAAAAUUACUAGAACUUGCAUGAGUUUGAAAUGUGAACAUAUAAAACAUUAAUGUUUUGACGCUUUAAAAGUUUGAUCAUGUGUAGCCUUGGUAAUGAAAUUUCGGACCAUGAGGAACGAAACUCAUGAAUUAUAAUCUGCCUAUUUGUAAGGCAUUGCUCAUAAUUCAGGCACUCACUCAUGUAACUAUUCCCUGGACUGGUCACAAGUAAAUGAUAAUCCUGGUAAUCCUAUAUUCAAACAUUUCUUAGCAUGCAUCCAAGGCAUUUGUUGUGUGUCCUUUACUUUACUGUGCAGCUUUCUACUAUUUUGUUGGAAACUGAAAUGAUCAAUUGAUCGGAUGAAUGCCUUUGAAUGCCAUUUUGCCUUCAGGUGGUACCAGAGUAUUGGCUUAAUCUCGACCCCUACUGGAAGGGUACUAGCCCCUAAUGCACCGUUACUUUCAUGAAGAUGGGAGUCAAACUGCAGAUCCUGGUGACAAGGUAUGGGGUGGGCAUGAAUGCUGUUACUCUAUAGUUACCAGUGUUGUUGGUGAAGGAAAGAUUAGGGAGCACUAUGUUAGAAUAAACCGCUGCUGGCCGCAUAUGCUUGUCUCUAGGAAGAAGGACUGGGGCUGGGAAAUGUCGAAUAUCCUCUACUGCUACUCCAGUGUUCCUGAUGGCCACAGGGUUGGUGGUACAGGACACCUGCUUCUAUGUGUCUAGAAUGAAGUGCUGCCGGUUCGCCAAAUAGACAUAGAAAUAUAGAAUAACUUUCCAAUGAGAAAGCUUGACUAAAGUGAAAGACAGGAAGAAACACAUACUCCAAUGUAGUGUUUACUGCCGUUUAUCAAUUGACUUUUCUUUUUCCCUUUUAUUAAAAUGAGGCUUCUCAUCGGAAGUCCUUUGUUGUAAAAUGUCAUAAGUGGUAAUUGGUACUUCGUUAUUUUGCGGAAUAAAAUAGUUACAAAGUGUUUUUGGAUAUGCAAUGGACUUUACUGAGAAGUUUUUUUGCUCUUGUGCAUGACCCACGUGGCUGCUUCCCUCAACAGAAACAUAUUUAUAGACUAUUUUUUUAAUCUUUUUAUUUUUAAAAAAAAUUGGGGUACAGACAAAGUUUAAAUUAAUAUUUUUUACUCUUAUUUUUCCGGAACCCAAUUUAUAGAUUUUUUUCAUUUUUUUUUAAUUUUCUAAAAAGGUUAAGUUGUGGUUAAAAUUUAAAUUAAUAUUCAGUUUUUAUUAUUCUAUGAUUCAAGUGGUCAAUAAAAUAAGAUCUGUUGAUAUAUAUUAGAUCAAGCACCUCUAGCCCUAGUAAUAUAUUUUUACAUUAUAAAUUAAUGUUGCGGGUAUAAUUAGGUUCGGCAACCUAGCAUUUCUCAUGAGAGCCUGCACAAGGGUUUUUUAUAAGAGUUUAAGAAAAAAAAAGUUUAUAUCAGAUUUGAUUCUUUUUUUUAAUAUAACUUAUAAAUUAAAAUAGAAAAUAAAAAAGAAUUGAAAAUUUAAAUCCCUAAUUCAUAAAUUAAAUGAUGAUUAAAAAAUAUAAUAUUAUAAUAUUAAACUCUAUCUUAAGUUUUAAUUAAUUAAAGGAUUUUUAAAUUAGAUAAUUUAGUAUUAAAAAUUUAAAACUUUUAUUUACUUCAUUUUUUAUUUAUUAAUUUAUUUUAAAUGGUUAAUUUCUUUAAUUGAAUGUUAUUAUUAAUUUAUUAUAAAUUUAUAAUAAUUUUAAAAAAUUAAAAAAUAUGUGGAAGCUCAACUCAGCCUUUAUAUUUUCCUUAACAUGAAUUUGCGCAUGGGCUAGAAAAGUCAAAUCCGACCCAUCAAUUUGCCAUCCUUACGCACAAUCUGAUAUUUUGAUGAAAUUAAGAGGAAGGACAUAAUCUGCAAGCAUUUUCAUACAGGUCCUUAUGAGAAUGUUGAGGACUUGUGAGAGAUUGUUACACCACCUUAGCCCUUUGUAUGUUAAGAUGAUUGAGACAAUGUUCUAUUAUGCGGUAGAGUAAUAAGUCUUACAAUGGGAUUCAUAGUAGUGUUAAAGUAAAAUAUAUUAAAUUUGAAAGUAUAAGUAAAUUUUAUUAUAAAAAUAUCUCAUAAACUCAAUAGUUCAUGAAAUAACUUCACACAAUUUUUUUAUAAAAAUAUAAAUAUGUAAAAUAAUUAGAAUUUUAUCACUUGAUAAUCAAAUCAAUUUUAUAGUAAGAUCUAUAAUAUUAUCAAAUAAUAGAUCAUUCUACUGAGGUGGUGCGUCCACCAUAUAAGUUUUUGUCUCUGCGUUUCUGUCACAAGACCCUAGGGCAGGGAUUCAAAUGAAAAUGGUACAAAUUGUUAUUCUUAUUUGUACUUUACCAAAACUGAGGAGAACAGUGGUCAAUAUCCCGAAUAAAGGAAAAUUACAAGACGACGUGUCCAGUUGCCUACAUUCAUCAUCACUGCUGAGCACACCUGAAGAAGGACGAGCUCUGUUCCCCAUCCUCUUCGUGUCACUCACUCACUGUCUCUGUCUCAGUAUCACUGAAUGGAGCUGCAAGAAAUGGAAGAAAAACUGCAAAACGGGGACGUUUUAUUUGAGGUGAUGAAGAAGAAGUCGAAGAAUAAGAAGUUGAAUUAUCACAGGACCCACUUGAGGUUUUGGGUAGAGACAUAAUGUUGAUGAUAUUUAAGAACCUCGACGCACGCAGCGUGGCACUAUCUCUCCUCGUGUCCCGUGCUUGGCACGGUGUCACUUCCAGCGAUUCGAUUUGGUCAUCCAAGGUUAAAUUUCUUCUUUCUUUUUUAACCCUUUGGCUUGUAAUAUGUAUUUGAACUUGGGAUUAGUUUAGUUGUAUUGAUUUAGUGCUUUCCUUGGAGAAUUUUGAUCAUUGGGUUGCUCUAAUUUCACAAAUGGGUUUUUGUUUUGGGAAAAUGGGAGAUUGCCAAUUUCCCCCUUAUUAAAAUCACUAUAUACCAAUUUCCUCCUUACUAUUUUCAUAAUGACCGAUUUCUUCCUGCCGUUAUAACAGUAACAGAAGCUGCUCAAUUUUUAAGUACUUUACCUAUAUUCCCCUAGUGUCCAAAUGACAGGAGAUUGGCGCCAAUUUUCUUAGCCCUAGUGGAUAAAAUUACACAAUUACCCACGUGUUUUAAUUGAUAUAUAACAAAGUGAAAUUUUAAAAGUGUCCUUACUUUUAGAGUCAAAAAGACUUAAUUGCCAUUAAUGUAUGGAUUGAAAAAAUAAAUAUUAAUAGGAAGAAUAACGUUUAUUUUCUAAUUUCAUGAAUCAAGCUAUAUAUACUCGUAAAACACAAUUGCAAUAAGCCAAAUUUGCGUCACUUCUGUCAAACCACAUUCCUUGCACAAACAUUCCCAAAAUAUUCUAUCCUUUCAACCAUCUAUGUCUCCAUGGUUAUAAUCUUGCAAAAAUAUAAAUACCCAAUCACUUAUUACAAAAAGAAUCCAACAAAACCUUACCGCAUUGCCCAAAAAAAAAUUAUAUAUCUUCAUUAUAAUCAAAAUCAGGGAGUAAUUGUUUGAUGCGUCAAUGGCAUAUAAGCUAAAUGCAAUCAUAAUAUAAGAAGAUUCCAUCAUAGGUAACAAAAAGUAAAUACAAUAUUCAAAUGGGUAUGGAUUUUGUUGCCACAUACCCAACUAAUGAAGCCACCUUUACCCCCUGCUACAAUAGUUAACAAAACUAAUUAGAUAUCACAUUUUACUAGAUACUACAUGCAACCACCAAAGCCAUCGGGCUUAGAAGCUGAUGGUUGAGUUGCAUUCAACCUAUCUUUGCUCUCUUUUCUGACUUUUUUUAGAACAGGCUCGGUAUUAAUAACCCCAUUAUUGUUGUUGUUACCAGUUCCUUGAUCGUGCCCUUGUCUAGCCCUCAUUUGCCUCGCUAUAAUAUAUGCAGGUUGUUGUUGUUGUCCAAUUGUACUUUGAGGUCCAUAUAUUUCUAAAAAAUAUUAAUUUAGUUAUUAUUCAUGGACAUAAAAAUAAGAAAUUAACAUAGAGGUUAAAUAUUACCUGGUGCUUGUGCAACUACUUGAUUAAUUUGUGCUUGUGAAGCCUGCAUAGACCUUAAUUUACUUUGCUCCACUCUAAUGUAUGUAGAUAAUUGUUGUUGUCCAAUUAAUUGCUGAGCUUUGUUUGUUCCUGAAAAAAAUAUUAUUAUUACUCACAAACAUCAAAUAUGGGCACUUUUUAAGGUUAGUCCGCUACUUGCUCCUACUGGUAGAGUUUCUCGUUCUGCUAGCACUUGGUAAUUUGCAGAGCUUGAGCAAACAUCCUUCUCCUUUUACAAUGUCAAAAGCUAUGUCAAUUCAAUAAAAUUUUAAAAUUUUAUUAAUAUUUAAUUUUUAUACCUUGUAAGCUGGGCAUUUUUUUUUGUUGUGCCCCAUUUCAUGACAUAUGCUGCAUUUCACAGUGAAUCUUCUCUUAUAGAAUGGUUUCUUUUUUGCUUCAUUCACUUCUUUUCUUCUAUUCAACUUAGGCCUCCCCGAUUGAACUUUUUUUUACAGGAGGCUUUAAAACUGGCCUAUCAAUUUUAGGCCAAUUAGUUCUGUCUGCAAGGGGAUUAAUUGUUGCUAAAUAAGUAAGCGGAUAUGCCUCCCUUGUUAAGCUCUUGUCAACAUAAUCAGAUGGCUCGCCAUGACUAUGUAAAAUUCCAGCCAUGGCAUGCUUGCAUGGAAGCCCACUCAUCUGCCACCCACCACACUCACAAUACCAUUUGUUUAUUGCUAUCAUUGCAUCAUCAAAUUCAGUUUUGUUAGUGGCUCUUGCUGCUUUCCAAAAGUACUCCCUUAAAAUCUCAGCUGAAUGUUUUCUAAAGUUGGCAUAUACAUGUCUUGCACAAUAUCUAGUUUCAGAACUUGGAAAAACAUCUUGAAGAGCAUGAAUUAAACCUUUCUGUCUGUCAGACAUAAAUGAGACAACCAUAUCAUUGUGGAUAUCCAUAUGCUCUUUAAAUAGUUCUAGAAACCAUGUCCAACUCUCCCUCGAUUCACCCUCACAUAUACACACAGCCAAAGGAAAAAUACCAUUGUUUGCAUCUAAAGCAACAGCAGAAAUCAAAAUGCCUCCAAAAGAUGUCUUUAAGUGGCAACCGUCUAAACCAAUGAAUCCUCUGCACCCCUUCAUGAACCCUUGCUGUUGAGCUCUGAAACUAAUGAAAAUUCUCUUAAAUUUAUUCUCAUUUCCAACCAAUUCUUGACUAAUUUUUACUGUUGCAUCGUUGUUAGUCAUAAGCAAAACAUUGGCAUAAUCAUUUAGUAGAGCAUAUGAGUUAAUAUAAUCACCCUCACACAUUUUUAAUACCCUUUUCUUGGCCCUGUAUAGCCUUCUCCUAUUUGUAGCAGUACCAAAUCUACUUAAUAAUACAGAAGCUAUAGAAGAUGAAGAAAUCCCAGGAUUUGACUUGAUUGCACCAAAUAAUUUCUCAGCCACCCAUUUGCUGGUUGUCUCAGGGUUCUUAAUAAUCGGUAUGCACGUGUGUGCUCCACCUUUGAUUGUUUUUAUCAUGAAACUAAUUUUAUCUACCACCAAUGAAGCAUGAAUUCUCCACUUGCAUCUUUUGUUUGCACAUAAAGCAGUGACUCUGGCCCUCUCAUUCUUCUCCCUAUGUAGAACACAACCUUGUUGGAUUGCAAAGUCCUUAAGGACACUCCUGAAUUCAUCUACAGUAGAAAACACUUGCCCAACCUCCAAUAUGAUUUCUUCAUCAACCAUUUGUCUGAACCUUUGUGCUCUUAAUUCUCUGGCCAUCAUCUGAAUACUAUCUUCAUCUAAGUUCAAAUGAAAAUCAUCAGGUGAAGUAUCAUCAUCACCACUUUCAUAAUCAGAUAGAAGUGCCUUAUCAUCAAAAUCAGAAUUAUCACUGGAUUUUAUUAUGUUUUCUACAUCCUCAUUGCCAAUAUUCACAAUUUCCCCAAUUUCAUCAUCAGUCCAAUUUAUAGAAUCCACACUGUUGGCAUCGUCAUUGUCCAAUGGUUCAUUAUCAUCAUUAUCUAAUGGUUCGUCAGUCCAAUUAGUAGCUUGUUCAUGAUGAAUUGCAUCUGCCAUUGUGGGUUUAUUGUCUUCCUCAUAAGCCUCAAACAUCCAUUUAAGAGUAUUUUCAGAAGAAUUUUCAGGAAUAAAAGAUAUUUGAUGAUUUUCAAGAAUGUCUGAUUGCAUUGCCUCCGAUGGCAAUGACUUCGUUUCUAGAAGCAAUAAAGUAAUUUUUCUAGAUAGCAUUAGGUUCACAAAACUCAACAACUCCAUGUCAGUCUCUAGUAACUGCUUAGCACCUGAAGAAGGAUUUUGAGCCAUUAUCAUGAACUUUUCAUCAUCCAGCCGAUGUCUAUUAACUACUUUCUCCAUAACAUCAUUAAUCAGAGCCACCAAGCUUAAACAUUCUAUCUCAUAUUCAACUAGGUCCAUUAGUUUACCAUCAAAGUGAACCUUGACAUGUAUUUGAUCCAUCUGUCAAUAUAAAUAUUCAAAUCAUGAUACUUAGAAAAGAAAAAUUAACAAUUUUUUUAAUUCAGACACAUGAUUUAAAAUAACUAACAAUUAAAAAAAUGAUUUUCUUUAACACUUAUAAAAAAGAAUACCUUAAAACAUAAACAAAACCAAAUUUUCUUUUCCCCAAUUCAACAUCAAUCCGUACACUGAAAAAGAAAACGUAAAAUGAGUUAUUCCUUAAAAUAAAACAACUGGAAUACCGAUUACUUAGCAUCCAUAUUAUUUAUAGGCCCAAAUAUGCUAAUAAGAAAUUUUUUCUGAAAAUACCCAUAACCUUAUCACUUCAGCAUCAACAGACAACAAUUAGUAAAUAAAGACAAAAAUUUCGGUUGUAUUAAAUGUGUGAUUUUAACCAUUCACUAACCUGGAAUGGUAAUAGAAUCAUCUCCACUUGUACACAAAUGCUUUAGCAAAAAGACUGUUGAAAAAGAAUUGAUUUUAAAACUUUCUCUCUGACACCCGAAAUGAUGAGAAGUAAAGAAAAUGAAAAGUCACUUUCUCUUUUGGGUAAAUUUACUUAAAAAAACCUUUUAUUUUCAUCUAAGUUUAUAUUUUAUUGUGUUAAAACCUAAUUUUUUACAUCACAUGUCAGAAUAGAAUUUAAAAUUCAAAAAACAAUAGUUAAAUGACCUUAUCCUCAUUUUCAAUUAUUGUUAUAACGGCAGGGUGGUAAUUGGUCAUUACAAAAAUAAUAGGGUGGUAAGUGGUAUAUGGUGAUUUUAAUAAGGGGGAAAUUGGCAAUCCAAUGGUUAUAUAUUGUAAAUGUUUGUCUAACUUGGCGUGUGGUUUGAGAAAGUCUUGAUUAAGCUUGUUAAGUACUUGUUUGCUGUGUGAAAUAAUCUUAAUAGUAAUCCAAUCAGUUUUGUAGUUUAACCAACAUGGGCAUCAUUACCACGAAUUCAGAAUACCAACAUUUAUUUAACCAACAUACUACGUUCUGACCAUGCAUUUGGUUUGGAUUGUAAUUCAGAAUUGGUAGACAUUGUGAGUGCGAUGGUAAAUAGCUACAAAUUUCGUAGAACAUAUGGGAUUGUUGAAUGUAUGGGAAAGUGUCUGUGCAAUCUUCAGAUUUUAUACAAGUAAUCCUCUUGAUUUUUCUGCUUCCAAAUUUAGUAUUAUUUAGUAUAUAAUUAUUAUUUUGUUCUAUUCAAUUGUAUUAAAAUGAUGGAAAUAAUAAUUAUUAUUAUUUUCUGCCAUAUUGAUUUUCAAAUAAUUAUAUUUAGUUGGUCACUAAAUUCAAAUCCUAGAGGGUGGUGGUGGAUAAAAAUUCAAUUUGAUUAUAAUUUUAUUUAUCUUUUGGCUUUGUACACUCAGAAAUGGAUUAUCGUGCGAUUCAAAAAUUAUUUGAAAAAAGGAAGUCUGAUCAAAGAAACAGACCAAUAUUUGUGGACUCCAAUUCAUUACGCUGCAUAUCAUAAUCAAUAUCAACAGAUAUAUGUGCUAUUAGAAAUUGAUCCAACUGCUUCAAACAUUUUUGACAAAGAUCAAAAGAUGACAGCUCUUCAUUUGGCAGCGCCCGAGGGCUUGCCAGAGCAAAUGAAAGAAUUAUUUCUCUUGCAGCAAAAUGUUAUGAACUAGUCGAUGACAGGGAAUGGAAUUUUUUUCAUUAUGCAAUGGUCAUUUUUUUUAUUUAAAAACUUUCCUAAAAAAUCCCGUUAGCGGGGAAUCUUAUAAAUGAGGGGGAUGCCAAGGAGAACUCUAUAUCAUUAGGAAGACUCAAGCCAACGAUCACACUGUCAACGAGCAAAAUGUUAGUGUUAGACGUCUUUUGAAAUAUGGCUAUCCUACGCUCUAAGAUAAUUAACUUGUUAAUUCUUUCAACUUAUAAUCCAGCUCUCUUUUUCAUUACUUUAUUUCUUUUUCUUUUUUCUUUUUUAAGUUUAUGCAAUUAAUUCAUAUUCAAAUUCAAAUUACAGGAGGAAAUCCAAAAGUUGCCCAAAGAUGUUGGCAGAGGACAUUAUCCAAAUAGAGUUAAUAAUUUUUUUUCCUCCAUUGAAAAAACUACAUCGUUUUGCCUUUGGUCUUCUCAGCGGUCUGUCACCCCAUUUCUCUUACCAAUUAAAAGAGUAAACAACCGUUUAUAAUUUUUGUGAUUGGAGUUAAUAAUUUUUUUUUCCUCCAUUGAAAACAGGCAGCCACUAUGUUACAUUUAGUGUAAGUAACAGCCCACCUGCAUGGAUCGUUGGAUUUGAGAAUCUGAAAUCCAAUGGAUAAUAUUGAAUUUAACGAAAAAUAAAUUACAGGUUGCAUUGGUCCAAGUUUAUUUCAAAGAAAAGGUGGGCAACCUGGGGCAACAGUUAAAAAAAAAAACAGCUGAUGAAAUUGCUGCUAAUCAAAUUUAAAAGGGAAAUAAAUCAAAGUAUUGAUUAUAGACCUUAUUUCCAUCUUAAAUCUAUUUGUUUUUCAUGGUGUCUCAAUGUGUGAUAAAAAUUAAUAUUAAUUCAGCUUUUUUUCUCAUUUGUAAGCAUUAUUAUGCUCUUUCUUCUAAAUAAAUUAUCUAAAGUUUGUGGUUAAUGAUACGUUGCAAAGUUUUAAUUUCUGUUUAAAGCUUCAUCUAAUAUUGUUUUUCAUAGAGCUUAGGGACAAGUAGAGUUUUAACGGAAAAAAAUUGAAUUAAGGUUGUCAAUGAUAAACUUUAUUAAAAAUUUUAAAAAGUACUUAAUAAAUAAGCUUUUAAAGUUAUAUAUAUUAUCAAAUAAAUGAAAUAAGAUUAUAUAAUAAAUCAAGAGUAUUUUAGAUAAUUGAAUUUUUUUGGAAAAAAAUUCGCUAAGAGUUUUAAAAUUUGAAUUUUUAAUAGUGAACAUAAAAUAAUUUAUUUAAUCCUCAAAAGGUCUAUUCAAAAUUCAACUACGUAACACAAAAAUUUUUAAUAAGUUUUUUGGAUUAGUUAAGCAUUUUUUAUUUUUUAUUUUUGAAAAGAAAUAUUUUUUUCAUUAAGUAAAUAAUACUAAACAUGCAUUAAAGUGUUAGGACCAGAAGCCAUAUAAAUAAAAUCAUGAAAUUAUAUGUUGUUAGAUGGAUAUUUUUCAAAUUUGCUUUAGUUUUUCUUUUCUUUCCUACUAGGAAAUUGAAAUGAUGGCCACAACUUAAAUUGUGAAUGGAUUAAUGGGGGAAUAUUGAAACCCAUUUAAUUUGGAUCGUGCGAAAGGAAAAAAAAAAUUAAUUUUGAAAUUGUUGUAGAGAACUGUACAAUGACUUGCCGUCGACAGCUUGUGUAACCGGAUUACAACCGGUUAGUUAAAACAUUUUACAUGCCUAUUUAAACGCCACGUGCUGCUCUUAUAUGGGUCUAUUAGUCAUGUCAUUGCUGUUACUUACAACUGUUGUAACUGUAACUUAACGGGACCCUAGGUUUUGCCUCUGUUUUGGACACGGCUAUGAUACAGGGACUUUGAGUCCCUGUAUCAUUGAGGAGGUCAAUUUAUGGACCCUUUGUUGUUUGGCUGCCACAAACAACUUUUAUGACUGGCAGCAACCGGUUUUUCAGCCGGUUGCUGCCAUUAAUAUGUAUUUUUUUAUUUAAAUAAAUUAAAAUAAAAAAUAUUUAAAACGAAUAAUAUUUAAAAAAUAAUAAUAAUAAGAAGUAGAAAAUAACAAGUAAAGUAAAAAUGAAAAAAAUAUUUUUUAUUAUAAACAUUUUUAAAAAUAAAAUAAAAUGUGUUAAUAAAAAGACAAAAGUUUUAUUCAUCUUCUAUGAAAUCUAUCUAAUGUUUAACAUUUUAAGUUUCAUAUUUUAUGUUUUAUGUUUCAUGUACUGAUUUUUCAAAUACCCUAUGAUUUUUCUUUUUUGUCCCUGUUUCAUGUUUACGUUCUAUGUUUCAUGUUUGUUGUUUUAUGUUUCAUGUUCACUGUUACGGAGAUACUCAUAUUUUAUGUUCGUUAUUGCAUAUUUUAAGUGAUCUAUUUCACGUUGGUUGUGCAAUGUUUCAUGUAAUAAUUUUUCAAAUACCUCGAAAUUUUUCUUUUUUGCCCCCGUUUCAUGUUUACGUUCUAUGUUUCAUAUUUGUUGUUCUAUGUUUCAUGUUUUAUGUUUCAUGUUCACUGUUACGGAGGUACUCAUAUUUUAUGUUCGUUGUUGCAUAUUUUAAGUGAUAUGUUUCAUGUUGGUUGUGCAAUGUUUCAUGUACUGAUUUUUCAAAUACCCCGAAAUUUUUCUUUUUUGCCCCCGUUUCAUGUUUACGUUCUAUGUUUCAUGUUUGCUGUUCUAUGUUUCAUGUUCACUGUUACGGAUGUACUCAUAUUUUAUGUUCGUUGUUGCAUAUUUUAAGUGAUCUGUUUCAUGUUGGUUGUGCAAUGUUUCAUAUACUGAUUUUUCAAAUACCUUGAAAUUUUUCUUUUUUGCCCCCGUUUCAUGUUUACGUUCUCUGUUUCAUGUUUGCUAUUCUAUGUUUCAUGUUUUAUGUUUCAUGUUCACUGUUACGGAGGUACUCAUAUUUUAUGUUCGUUAUUGCAUAUUUUAAGUGAUCUAUUUCACGUUGGUUGUGCAAUGUUUCAUGUAGUGAUUUUUCAAAUACCCCGAAAUUUUUCUUUUUUGCCCACGUUUCAUGUUUACGUUCUAUGUUUCAUGUUUGUUGUUCUAUGUUUCAUGUUCACUGUUACGGAGGUACUCAUAUUUUAUGUUCAUUGUUGCAUAUUUUAAGUAAUCUAUUUCGUGUUGGUUGUACAAUGUUUCAUGUACUGAUUUUUCAAAUACCCCGAAAUUUUUUUUUUUUGGCCCCCGUUUCAUGUUUACGUUCUAUGUUUCAUGUUUGCUGUUCUAUGUUUCAUGUUCACUGUUACAGAGGUACUCAUAUUUUAUAUUCGUUGUUGCAUAUUUUAAGUAACGUGUUUCAUAUUUAUUGUUCAAUGUUUUAUGUAAUAAUUUUUAAAUACCUUAAAGUUUUUCUAUUUUGCCCCCGUUUCAUGUUUAUGGCUCAUGUUUUAUGUUUCAAGUGCAGAGUUUCAUAUUUGAUGUUUAUGUUCAUUGUUACGGAGGUACUCAUUAUUAUAUAUUUUAAGUAAUGUGUUUUAAAUUUACUAUUCAAUAUUUUAGAUAAUUAUUUUCCAAACACCCGAAAAUUUUUAAUCCACCAUUUUAUAAAGUGACUUUAACAUAAGCAUUAGAAGAAUAUUAAGGUAGUGUUUACUUUCUGGAGUGGGAAUGUGGGGUGUGGAUUCCUCCCACUCCAGUGUUUACUUACCUUAAAAAAGGGGGGAGUGGGAGUGGGAAUCCGUGGGUCCCACCUAAUUUUGGAGUGAGGAGUGGGAUUCCCACUCCCAUAGGGAGAGGUGGGAGUGGGAAUCCACUCCCCCCUCUUCCCAUUUUAUCCUUAUAAAAAUAAAUAAAUAAAUAAUAUUUAAUAAAAUAAAUAAUAUCAUAUUUAAUAAAAUAAAUAAUAUCAUAUUUAAUAAAAUAAAUAAUAUCAUAUUUAUUAAAAAAAUAAUUAUAUCAUAAUUAUUUUAUUAAAUUUAAUAAAAUAAAAAUAAAUAAAUAAAUAUUAUAUUUAAAUUAAGAAUAUUAGUAAUUAUUAUUAAUUUAUAAAUAUAAUAAAAUAUUUAUUUUAUUUUCCAAAUAUAUUUUUUAUUAAUUUUUUAAUUACAAAUUAUAAUUCUGUACAUAAGGAUAAAAUUGUAAUUUAAAAUAAUUUACUCCCAAUCCAAGACAAAGUAAACAAAUAAUUAAGAUUCUGAUUGACAAUCCAUACUUUUAUUUAGUCUAAGUAAACACCUUACUCUCACUCCCACUCCACACUCCUAAUCCAAGGAUUCCCACUCCUCAGGAUUCCCACUCCAAUCCAAAAAGUAAACGCAGCAAGGGAUUUAACAACACUCAUUGUACGAAUACUAUUUAUUUAGUCUUAAAUCUAACCGUUUCACUUGAAUUUCGUGCACCGAUUUUAAUCUUUCAAUAGUCAUACCUUAUACUACAAGUGUUCGUUUUAGACAUUCAAUAAUAUUAUUUUGUAAAUAUUUUUCUUCUAAUUUUUUAUAAAUAUAAUCACUUUCGAAGUAUUUGUAUUAUGAAUAAAGGUAACCAACAAAAUAAUAAUAUUCCAAUCCGAAUUUGCUUUUAAGUGUUUUAAAUCUUUCGUUUGGUCGGAGAACUAUCAAAGCCUCUUAGUGUGUUAUAUUUAAUUUUAAUCUUUGAAAUAUAGCACUCGCUUUUUAUUAAAGAAAAGUACAAUUGAAUAUAUAAAUAUUUGAUUUUUGGUUGUUAAUUAUUAUAUCAAUAAUCCUAAUUGUUUUAAUUUUUGUAAUUAUGAUUGAAAUUCUAGUUAAGCAAUGUAUGCCUUCAAUUUGUUGAUUAAGGCUUGAAAAAGUAGUAAACCCAAUUAAUGACUUUCAACUAAGUUAUAGUGGAAAUUAAAAUUUUUCACAUUUGAGUGAAAUUUGUGAAAGUGAACCAUUAAAGUGAAGAAAUAAGUGUGCUAAAGCAAAAUAUGACUUAACUAUUAAGUUUGAUUAAAAAAAAACUAAAAUGAGUAAAAUACUAGUGGUUGCAAUAAGUGGCCUCACAAAUAAAUUCGGAAGAGCUCUUAUAUUCCACUGGCGCUUUUUAUAGCCAAAAUCUCCACUAUAAAUAACCUUGCAACCAUUUUUAAUUCUAUUAAUUCCCACACAAAUUUAUAGGCUUAUUUUCCCAUCCGCUAAAUCAAUUUAAUCAAUUUAUUUUUUUUAGUAAUUAUAGGGAACACAAUUUAAUGAAAAUAAAUCAAAUUAACUAUUCCUAUAUCAAACAUAAUAGUUUCUACAUAUUAUAAAAAUCCACCAAAAUCUAGUACAUUACACUAAGUGCAUCAUACAAUCUUAUUACAAGUAUCAUCUCCGGAAAAAAGUAGAUUGAUAUAUUGCAUAAAUUUACGGCAAAUAAAAAGAGGAAGAAAGGUAAGUAGUUUUAAAGUAAAAGCUCAGCACAACUUAUUAACAACGUAUUUAUCUUCUUCAAAGGCACUAAGAAAUUCAUCCACUGCCCAAGUUUUUCCAACUGUCGUCAUGGCAACACCAUCCAUGCUUAUAAAAACAACAGCAAGUUUUGCAAAAGUUAUCGAAUCCAGUCCAAGGAGAGCUCCAAAGAAAAGCACAAAUAGAGAAAUGGGUUUGCUGAGUUAUUGGAAACCUUUACCCCUGGAGAAAACAGAGCAAUUUUCCAUUUAAUGAUUGUAUUCAACUGUUCAUUAGAUACUUAAAUCAUCAUAAUCGCCAACAACAACCUAUGCGCCACAAAAUUAACAACACACACCAAAUUUGUGCUUUUUGGAUAUGCCACAACAACCUAUGCGCCACAAAAUUAACAAUACACACCAAAUUAACUGCAAAUAAAAGCCAAAUCAUUGACCCCUUUUUUUUUCCAAAAAAAAGGAGUCGCAUAAAGGCAGGAAAAUAAUUUUAAAUGAAUUUAACAUAGCAACUACUUUCAUUACUGGGAUCAAGAGAAAAUCAUUACAUUGUAAGACUGCAAACUUGAAAGCUUUCUAUUGAAGAGACACGGACAUGCUGCAUAUGAUGCACAAUCUCUGCCUCAAAUUACCAUGAAUGGUUCUAGAAAAGAAACCUCAAACUAUGGUUAAGGUUUUAGCUACUGUUCAGACCACAAACCUACAAUAAUUAGUAUCUAAUGCUUCCCCAAAAAAACUAAGAAAAGUACCAAAAAAUGCUGCUGCAUACUCUGAAUCAAAGUUUGCUUCUAUUUCUCUAUAUUUGCCGUUGAAAAUCUUAAUUAUAAUGCUUGUACCGUCAACAUCUACUCAAUAAAGAACAAUAAAGAAGUAAAAACAAAGAACCCAUCACUUUCCAAAUCCAAAAAUUUUCUCUCACUUUCUCGCCAACCAAGCACCCCUUUUCUUUCUCUCAAAACCUCGUCUUCCCACUCAAACUCACUCAAUUUCAACUCAAAUUCCACCAAAAUUUACCUUUAAGUUGAAGAUGAGGUAGCUAAUUCGCCGUCUUUCUCGCGUCGUCGACUCCUCGUAGUACAGUCUCCGCGCUCGAACUUGAAGACAGUAGCAGCAGCUCAAACUUGAAUAAUAUCGGCAGCAGCAGCUCGAAAAUCCCUAGUUCGAUUACCACCACCUACUUAGCAAAAAUAAAAGCUGGUGACAAUUCCUCACAAAAUGAAAAAGUAAAACCCACAUCCAAUUUCACCAAACAUAAGUAAACCCAGAAAAGAUUUAAAGAAAUUAAGAAAGAAAAAUUGUUCACCAAAAUAAAAGAAAAUUAAAAUCUUGGAAAUAUAAGAAUAAUGAAAUCAUAUGCACAAGAUAAAUAAUAAUUACUCAAAAUUUACCCAAAUAUAAGAAUAAUACCAGUGAGCCAAUGUCGAUCCUCAGAUCUCGUUAACAUAUAUGCUCAGAUCUCGUUAUAGGAGCAACUUGAGAGUGAGAGAGAGAGAGAGAGAGAGCAGCAGCAACAGCACCACCACCACCACCAAUCGAGACGGAGCACAAACGCAGCAGUAGCAACAUCACUAGUCGAGAGAAGCAGAGGCACAACAGCAGUCCAUUUUGGUUGAAGACUGACAUGGAGAGAGAGAGCUGUGACGAACUGUGGUUGAAGAACUGUGACGGAGAGAGAGAGAGAAAGAGAGUUGUGAAUUUCGAUCGGGAUGAGGAGAUAUGGCUUGGGUUUUUUAUGUACUGUAGCUACCCCUUUAACCGGUUGCCUUAUUUUUUUCUACUUUUAUUCAUUUUUUCUCUUUUUUUUUUUCAAAUUAAAACCACAACCGUUGGAUUCAAACAAGCUGAAUCCAACGAGUCAAAGGCAGCCCUUGCACCAUACAUGGAUUUUAUGCCCUGCAUGGUAGCCGUGUCCCUCUGUUUUUCUUAGCGGUCUGUCACCCCAUGAUUGUGUCGAGGGCAAAAAGUCAAUAGAUAGCUGCACAAAAACUCUAUUGUUCUGACUAAUUUAAGCUUUUAAUGAAACUAUAUUCUCUCAUAUUUCUAACAAACGGACCAUUAUUUCAAAGCUGCAUUUAGGACUCGUUUGGAAUUAUUUUCAAGAGGUUUAAAAGUACUUUUAAAAAUUUAAAAAUUAUUUUUAGUGUUUAGUAAAAAAAUCAAAAUCACUUUUAUCAAAAUCAACUCUUCCUACAGUUGAUUUUGAAAAGUAGAUAAGGAGUAGUUUUUAAAUUUUGAUUUUGAGAAUCAAUUUUAUCAUUUAAUAAAAUUCCAUAAAUAUCCUUAAAAUUAUUACCUAAACCCAAAAUUAUCCUUAUUCAAAUUGAAAAAAAAAAUAUUUUAAUUAUAAUUCAUCAAUAUAAAUUUAUUAAUAUCAAUUUAUUGGUCGAAUUAUUAUUAAAUUUGUUUCACUAUAUUAUUAAUUUAAUUAUCAAUUAUUUUAAGAUAAAAAAUAAAAAGUAAAAUCAAUAUAUUAUAAAUUUUAUUUUUAGUAAAAUUAUUAUAAUACACAAUUAAAAAUAUUGUGUGUGUGUGUGUGUGUGUGUUUAUAUGUAUAAGUAAAAUUUAUCUUAUAUUAUGUAUAUUUUAGUCAUUUAUUUUCUCUCAGUAGUUUAACAGUAAAAUUUACCAAAUGUCCAUAAUUACUUUCAAAAUUCACAAUACUUCUUAAAAUAAAUUUUACCAAACACUUAAUUAAUUCUCUUCACAGCUAAUUAUUUCUACAGCACAGCCAACAACAAUUAUUUCAAAAGUUACCGCAUUCCCAAACUGACCCUUAAAAUAUUGAACCUUUCAAGGGUAUGGGAAGAGAUGUAACUUUGUACUCGAGGCGUCAGUGGACUUGAGACUAAAUGUGUAAAUAUAUUUUAUACAAACUAAGCAAUUGUAACACUUUGAAGUUGUCAUAUGGGAAUUGCAUAAUAAGAUUGUCCCAUUGGAACCAUUGUGAUGCUCAUGUAAAUCAAUUAAAGGUUCGUGGAGGAAUAACUACAUAUGCUAAACUAAGGUAAAAAAUCUCCAUAUACAUAAAUAAUAGUUAAUUAAUUAACAAAUCACUUAGGGUGUGUUUGACACACUAUAUUGUAUUAUGUUGUAUUUCAUUAUUUUAAUAUUGGUGUAUUGUAUUAUGUUGCAUUGCAUUAGCACUGUAUUAUAACAAUGUUGUACAAUGUUUGGUGCUAUUCUAUACUGUAUUGAUUUUUUUGUAAUUAAUUUAAAUUAAAUAUUACAUUAUAUUAAUAUUUUAUAUUAUAUUAAUAUAUUUAAAUUGUAUUAAUCUUUUAUAUUAUUAUUAGUUAUAAUAAAUUAUAUAUUUAUUAAUUUAUAUUAAUAAUUGUAAUGUAAAAAUAAAAAAUAAAAAUAUUAUAUAAUAUUGCAUUAAAUUAAAAAGUUAUUAUUAUUAUUAUUAUUAUUAUUAUUAAGCAAAAGCAAAAGCAAAAGAAGAGAGAGAAAAAAAAAAAAAAGCAAGCUAAUGCGGUAGUUGCUACAUUACCACACUCCCUUUAACUCAUUCUCAUGUUCUUCCAAACAUAACCUUAAUAUUAAUUUAAUGAGAAUAGAAUUUUAAUACCCCAUAAUACAAUGCACCAAACUUAUCCUUAGAUAUUUUUCUGUCAAAUAAAACGUAAAAAUGUCGAUAAUUAGUAUAUGAAUGACACAUUCCAUAUAGUAUCAUGGAAGGCCAAGAGGCAACGUUGAAUCACUUUUCUUUUGUAGUAUUAAUGAACUAUCAAUUGUACUCAUAGAGUAUUCCCCUAUUAUUUUAUUGUUUGCAGUCACUUAAGAGUCACUUGAUUCUUUACCCACCGAACAAAAAGAGCAGAAUUGUACAUGGAAUCCGAUGGAAAUGUGAUAAGGAAGGCUGCAGUAUUUAAAGAUUGAGGAUAUGGCUAUGCAGACACUUUCAAUAUUAAGGACAAAACAAAAGAAGAAAAUGGUAAACCUUAAUAAUUAAUUGGUAUAUAUUUUUGUGUCUGAGUUCUUAAAAAUAUAAAGCAACCACAGUUGAGAAAUUGAAUAGUUUGCCAAAGAGAAUGACUAAUCUCAAUUUAUUUAUUUGUUUAACUAAAAGAGCAUGAGGAAGAAAUCAAGGUUAAAAAUGUUGAUUCUUGGCUUGUCAAAAGAGUAAGAAUUAAUGUCGAUACUUUCCUUGUCAAAAAAGAAAGAAUUUAAGAAGUGAAUUUAAGACGUGUGAAAAAUAGUACACUUUUCAAGUCAUAUAUACAUACAUGUAAGGUUUAGAGGAAGAUCCAUGAGUACCUCCGAUAUACUGGGUACCCUUACCUAAUAGAUCAACUUCGCCAAAAUGAGUUCUGUUUCCAUUGAGACUGGGGAAGCUCCGUUAUUGGACAGCACUGGCGAGAUCAGUCAGUCGCAAAUGGACCCAAAGUUUUUCAAAGCUGCAGCUGAUGGCAAUGUUGAACCCUUCAAAGAUAUGGCAAGAGAGAAAAUUGAGAGCUUGUUAACAGCAAAGACCAGAAACACAAUCCUGCAUAUCAACAUCAUAUCCAAAGAAAGAGAAAACGUGUCAACGGAGUUCGUAGAAGAAAUACUUGAGAAAUGCCCAUCGCUGCUACUACAAGUUAAUGCCAAAGGCGAUACUCCACUUCACGUAGCGGCAAAAUUCGGCCAUUCUGGUAUAGUGACGUUUCUUGUCGAAAGAGCAAAAUUACCUCAACAUGAAAAUGAAGAGCUAGAGAGCGGGGUAGGAGCUGCCAGGCAGAUGAUUAAGAUGACAAAUAAUGAGAAGAAUACAGCACUCCACGAGGCAGUGUGUCACAAAAACGUCGAUGUGGUGAAAAUACUGACGAAAGAAGACCCUGAUUAUCGAUAUUCUGCAAAUAAUGACGGCAAAACGCCACUCUACAUGGCUGCUGAGUCUCGGUCUUCUGAUAUGGUGCUUGCCUUAUUGGAAAACAGCACAUCAGUGUCUCAUGAAGGCCCCAACGGAAAGACGGCUUUACAUGCUGCGGCAAUGAAAUUUGAUCUCGGUAAGUUUAGUUAUAUCUUUCUAUUAAUAGAUUCUUUCAUAAUGUUUAAGUAAAUACACCCUUUUAAUUCAUUAAUAAAUUAUUAAUUGCCAUAAAUUUAAUCAGGAUAAAUUGUCGGAUAUAAAUUAGCAUUUUAAAAUACUAUAAUAUCCCACAUUAAGGAGAAGUAAGAGCAGUUGAAUUUGGUUUGAAUUAAUUAUUUGGUUGAAUUGCUUACAAAUUAGAAGUGAAUAAUUCAAUUUUAUUUAUGAUUGAAUCAAAUUGUGAGACUCAUACUGACUAAUUUAAAUUAAAUAAAAAAAAGUAGAUGACGAGUUCAAAUUUGAGUUAGAAAAAAGUUAUAUAGUUUUGAUACAUGUGAAGCCUUUAAGGUGGGUUUUAUAGUUCUAUUGUUUUAAAUAAUGUUCUUUACUGCUGUCUCAUCUUUCUUCACCAAUUUUUUUUUUUUUUACUAUUCUAAACUGUUAUACUUGAGUGCAUGUAACAACCUUCCCCAAAUUUCAAAGGUGAAUCUAACUAUGGUUCACAUAUAAACUUAGAUAUCUUUUCACAAUGGAUAACUCAAUUUCUGACCAUCAAUCUAACUACGGCUCACAUAUAAACUUCAACGGCUGAUUGGCGACAAAUCGGCCACUGUUUGAUGGUCAGAAAUUGAAGUGACUGCCAUAAAGGACAAAUCCCAGGUGACGACAUGACCGAAAUCCGGUGAAAACUCGCCGACUUGAGUCGUCCCGUGACUUAACACGGGUUCGUUGGGUGGUCAUAGGCCGUUUUCCGGCAACAAUGAUGAUGGGGGAAUGACCCGCGUCGUCUAGGAGUUCGGUUGAUACCCUCCAUCGCCGGAGAUGUGGUCGGAAUCAGAAGCAGCGAUUCAGGCUUCGUUAACGGGUUGACCCAAGCCGUUUCCUUUCUCUUCUAACCCGAUCGUGCACCUUUUCUCUCUCACAACUCACUUAAUCCAAUUAAUGACUCAAGUACCCUUAUGAGAAUUAAUUUUCUGAUUAAUGAUCAAAAUACCCUUAAUUUAUAAAGAAAUUAAGCGUUGUUCUGAAGGAAUUAAUUUUUCUACUGUGAAAUCUUCCAAAAAAAACUAGUCUUUAGAAUUGUAAAUGUAUUGAAAAUUUUAAUUAUUAUUUUAUUUAUCUUCUGUAUUCUCAGUUGAUACUGCAUUACGAAAACUACUUGAGAAAAAGGAGAAUCUGAUCAAAGAAACAGAUCAGUAUGGGUGGACUCCAAUUCAUUAUGCUGCAUAUCAUGGGAUGUACUGGAUAAAUAGAUUUUAUGGAAAUUACGGGACGGUAAAUUUGCUAUUAGAAACUGAUCAAUCCGCUUCGAACAUUGCUGACAAAGAUCGAAAGAUGACAGCUCUUCAUUUGGCAGCGGGCCAAGGGAAUGCCGAAAUAGUUGAUGCAAUUAUUUCCAAAAAUCCAGAAUGUUACGAGCUGGUCGAUAACAGGGGAUGGAAUUUUCUCCAUUAUGCUGUUGUUAGUUUUCUUGUUGAAGAACUGACAAUCUUCUUGAAAAUAAUCCUUUAGCGAGGAGUCUUAUAAAUGAGGGGGAUGCCAUGGGAAACACUCCCCUCCAUGUGCUUGCUGCUGUCCGUCGAAAUGAAUUCUAUGACGUUAUGAUAAGGAACACUCAAGUCAACUAUGACGCUGUCAACAAACAAAAUGUUAGUGUUGAACACAUUUUAGAUUAUGGCUAUCCUGAGCUCAAGGUAAUUAUUUAAUUUGUUCUUUCAACUAAAUUAUUAAAUUUAAUUUUUUUACGCAAUUAAUUAAUAUUCAAAUGUAAAUUAAUUACAGGAAGAAAUCCAAAAAUUAUCCAAAGAUGUUGGCGGAGGACAAUAUUCAAAAGGUGUUAUACGCAUAAGAGAACCAAAAGACCUUGCAGUGCAAAAGUAUGUUACUAAAGAAAAUUACAAGGAUACGAGAGCAUCGCAUUUGGUAGUGGCUGCACUCAUAGCAACAGUAGCCUUCGCAGCAGCUUUCACCAUUCCUGGCGGUUAUAGAAGCGAAAAUGGAACUGCAAUCCUGAGGAGAAAUACAGCUUUUCAAGCAUUUAUAGUAGCAGAUUCCAUUGCCAUGGUCUUUUCUCUUUCUGCCGUCUUUACUCACUUCUGCUUGUCUCUUCUAAUUGAAGAAACUAAAGAUUUCAAUGAGGCUCUGUUUGGUGCUUCAGUUUGGUUCACCAUAUUUUCCAUGGGAGCAAUGGUGAUUGCAUUCGUUACGGGAACGUAUGCAAUGUUAGUACCUUCUUUAGGCCUUGCUAUUAUCACUUGUUUAAUUGGCUUGAGCUUUUUCUUGCUUGUGAUUUUGAUCAUCAGAUUGUCUAUUACGGAGUAGGACAAAAGUAAUUGAUUGUAGUGAGUCACCAUCUUUGUUUAUCAAUAAAAUGAUUGAUUUUCAUUUUAACAUAAACAUUAACUAAUUUACUCAAUCUUUGCUAAUAAUGAAUUAUUAUUUUAAUUGUACAUUGAUCACUGAUGUUUUAAUGAAAAUCAAAUUUGAGAAACAGGCAGGUCUACUUUGCUGUUAAUAAUUAGAUUGAAUUGGUGAGAGAAAGUCAAAAUCAAAUUUAAUAUUUCAAAUUGUUUGUACUUUCUUAUGUUGAUUGAAUAAAAUCUUGAUUACUUUGUCAAAAAAAAAAUUGAAAAAUUUUAUCUCUUUGUAUAAUGCGUCAUUAGAAAUCUUUAAUUAGAUAUGAUUAAAGAAAACCUAUGAUGCGUGUUUAAGGGUGGUGUCUAUAUAUAUAUAUAUAUAUAUAUAAUAUGUUUGUUUUAAUAGGUUAAUAUAUUGUCAUCAGAAUUUUAUUAAUAUUUACAAUAAAAAAUUUAUCAAAACUAUUCUUAAUAAGUCUAGUAUGACAUAGUUUGAAUUUCUACCCUCACAUAAUAUUAUAGGGAUGUUUGCUCUACUCAUAUUAAUGGAGAAGAAAUUUACUCCUAUCCAAUUUAAUUAGAAGGGAAACCGGGUCCAAUAAUAAUUAGGACUCAAAGGUUGUACUAAUGGGCUAAGAAAAUGAGUACUUAUAUAAGUAAAUUAAAAUUUACCAUUCAAUAGAGAUAAUGACACAUCAUUUUAAAGUCAAAUCCUACGUCACCAAAUGAGUUGAAUUAAGACCGAGAAAGACCAAAAGGGAGGGACGUUACUUUGGAGGAAUUAUUGCAACCAUUGAAAACUAACAAUGGUUGAGGGGAAAAAAUUGAUUUGGGUUGGCUAAGGUAGAUUCUUUUUAAGAAGCACUAACUAGAAAAAGAAUUUUAAUAUAUUUACAUAGAUGGCAGCUAGUUUUGUCCGUAAAUUCUUUUUUAAAUAUCUUUAAUAAAUUUUAACAAGCAACAAGGUAUUCAAUAUGUGAGAGAUUUGAGAUGAAUUAGAUUGAAACUAAAAAACAGAGUCUCUUUGACAGUACAUUAAUAGUGCAUUUAUUAACUAAGAAUCCUAAUAGUCAAGAGUUAUUAUGGGUUGGAAUCAAAAUGUGGAAGAAUAAAUUUUCUACUUCAACUACAAGAAUCGAGAUCGAAAUCAACAGUAUUUCAAAUUUGAUGUGUUUAUUUUGUCUUAAAAUCAAAAUAGAUGGUUGUAAGUUACCAAAAUGGAGUAAAAAGAAAGUUUUAAUUUUCAAUAAAGAUAAACAAGUUUUACUCUUUGACAGUACAUUAAUAGUGCAUUUAUUAACUAAGAAUCCUAAUAGUCAAGAGUUAUUAUGGGUUGGAAUCAAAAUGUAGAAGAAUAAAUUUUCUACUUCAACUACAAGAAUCGAGAUCGAAAUCAACUGUAUUUCAAAUUUGAUGUGUUUAUUUUGUGUUAAAAUCAAAAUAGAUGGUUGUAAGUUACCAAAAUGGAGUAAAAAGCAAGUUUUAAUUUUCAAUAAAGAUAAACAAGUUUUACUCUUUAUUCUCAAUUCUCCAUUCUUAUUCCCACCUCUUCUAUCCAAAUGAAAUUCCUACUCAUUCUCAAAUAUAUGCAACUCACUCAAAAUUUAUUUAUAUUUCUUUGUAUUUUUAGCAAGUAAAUAUUAUUAACAAUUCUCAUUCCUCAUUUUUUAAAUAUAAAAAAUAAACACAUCAACGAAAUCAUGUGGUUGUCCUGAAAUUGAUUUAAGAACCCACAUUGAGAAUUUGUUUCCUUCUAACUUUAUUUUGACUUUCAGAAGACACGACUCCACUCCCACAUUAAACCAAUGGCAAGUGGAUGGUUGCUGGCUGUGAGGAAGCCACUUUGGAUUCGGUGAUUGUCACCCUUAUGAGUUAUGACCACAAAAAAGGAAAGUGGAUGAAAAAGAAAAUUACUCAUUUUUUUUUUAAAAAAAGGAAUUUUGAUUGUAGACUCUGUAGUCUCUACUCAUUGUGAGUUAGAUUCUCUUGCUACUACUUACUAGACAUGUCGCUUGUAACUGUUAGUCGCAUCAGGGGGCCUAUCUCCCCAACAAAUAACCAAAACGCACAACAAAAGAAAAGAAACAGAGAGGGGAUUUGUGAAAUACUGAAAAUUACGGUCAUAAUAAAUUUUAAUUAAUAUAUGUGUCACAACUACUAUAAACAAUAAAAGAUAAAUUAAGAAUUUUUAUUAUUUAAUGAUUUUUUAUCAUUUUAAUUUUGACUAAUAGACGAACUUAGUGGCAGUUUAUUUAUUUUUUACUUAAUAACUUAAUUGACUUAAUUUUAAUUAGUUAAGCCAUUAAGUCUGUUUGUUUUUUAAAUUUAAUGAAGAUUUUUAGCAAUUAAGUUAUUAAGCUAAUUUUUUUAGCUUUUUAAUUAAUCUAAAAAAUUUGAAUGCUAUCAUUAAAAGAUAUUUUCUAAAAUAUCCCUAUUUAAUUAAUUAAUUUUCAUCCUUAGCUAAAUAAAAUUUAAUAAUUAGCAUUAUUACUCAUUUGUAUAUAACUUGUGAUAAUAUAUAGUGGUAGCCUAUUAUUAUUUUUUAUUUUUAUUUUGUUCAAAUUAGCAUUAUUUAUCUUCAUAAUUUUUUAUGAAUAUUUUUCAUAUAAAAACAUCACAAACUAUAAUAAAAUUGAUUAACAUAUAUGAUAUAAAAUAUUAAAGAGUUGAACUCAAUUGAAUAUGAUUUAUGUUAUGAUAAUUUAUUACCUUAUUUAUUUUCUUUGAUAUGUUUAUUAUUUGUUUAACAUUAUAAUUUGUAAGGGCAUAAAUGUAAAAAUAUUAGUUUUCAGAUUUUUUCAGUCAAAAAAACAAACAACUUAAUAUUUAUUUCUAGCUAUUCAGACAAAAAAAAUAAACAUAUAAUUCAAAUUUAGACAUUCAGUUCUAUUCAGAAUUCAUACUAAUUUAGGUUUAUUCAGAUUUUAGACAAAAAAAUAAACGCCACCUUAAUGAUUUUGAUAAAUUAAUGAGAUAUUUCUUUUUUUUAAAAAAACAUUUAUACAACUUUGUAUUCUCAUUCAUAUUUUAAAUGAACAAUUUGUUAAAAUUAUAAAUAUAAUUAUUAUUAAUAAAAUAUCACUCCAUUGUUAGUCUACUAUCUUUUGUUCACCUCUUAAGGGUAUAUUUAAAAUAAAGUGAGUUAGUUUGGGUACGUUGUUUUAUAUUUUAUUUUUUAAAAUAGGGCUCAGGCAGCUCUUACCAUUGCAGCUAGACCUUGGCUGUACCCUUGGUAUAUUGGUAUAUUUAUGGGGUAUAUUUUAUAUACAAACUGAAUUGUGAAUGCCAAUGCGGGAUUUUACUGCCUUGCUGCCAAAGUUGCUUAUUUAUUCUGGCUGCAUGAUUCGUGAAGUUUUUUUUUUAAUUUAUUUAUUUAACUUCAAUUAUUUUCUCAGCUUUAUUUGAAACACAACUAGAAAAGAAUAUCUACCUGUUUUUUAUUUUUCAGUUCUUGAGGUAACUUAAUGUGUAAAUGCUUCUACUUUGAAGAGUAACUAAGUAAGGAUAAUUUACUUGAAUUUCCUGUCCAUUUUAGUGCGAGAAACUAUGGUUUGGGAAAGCACACAUACCUCGUUUAGCUCUAAUCAAGGGGUUACCAAAGUUGGCCGCAUAUUCGUUGUCUGUAAUGGAUGGCAAACGUGUGAGUGCUUCUCCCAUCUCUCUUUUCAUUCGCUCACUUUUUAUAUACACGUGCGCACGAGCUUUCACUAACUAUUCUGUUCUUCAUUUGUAUGAUUCUGGUAGACUCAUAUCACUAAAGAAGACCUUUGUGAUCAUGUUUGGGAGCUUCAUUUUAAUUAGGUAUGUAAUUUUAGUAUGGUGCUUGUUAUACAUUAUUAAGAGAGUCUGCUACUCCACUGUUCCUGAUGGCCACAGGGUUGGUGCCUUGGUGGUACAAGACCCCUGCUUGUAUGCGUCUAGAAUGAACUACUGCUGGGUUUGCCAAAUACUUUCUAAAUAUAGAAUAACUAUCCAAUGAGAAAGCUCGAUCAAACUCAAAGACAUGAAUAAUCACAUAUUUUAAUGUUGUGUUCUCUUUGCAUCCUAAGAACUCAUCUUCGGCUUUGUUUAGGCAAUAUUUAUUUGAAUUUUAGUUCGACCCAUAAUAUUUUUGGUCCAACAGUGUUAACUUAGUUUUUCAUUUUUGAAAUGUAAAGAAAAUAUAUGAAAUUUUCUCAAAUUAUCAGUGUAAUUAGAUUUCUCAUUAAAAGUUAAUAAUAAACAAAAGUAAUUAAAAACACGGUCAGCUGUUAAUACUUAUGUAACUUACACUGAUCCCAAUAUAUAUACGGCGGACAUGUUCGGCCGUUAGGCAAACAGUUUUUGUUUCCUCUCAAUUAGUUGGGAAAAACUAUAAACGAAAGAGCGAGACAGAGAAUAUUGAAGCAAAACCAUCCAUCCAAUUACACUACCAAACAAGAGUGAAGAGCCUUUAUUGUUAAAAUGUGAAUUGCUUAAAUAAAAACCUUAGUUUGCAUGAAUUUUAUGUGUGUGUGUGUGUAUAUAUAUGUAUAAUUCUUCUUUAGUACGGGUGUGGUUCAAUAAAGUUAGUGCAUAACGUUAUUAAACCGCACAACGUAAGAGCAUGUUCGCAUUAAAACAAAUGAAGGCAUCCGCGCCUGAAAAUGAUUACGUGUGUGUGUGUGAGUGUAUGUAUGUAUAUAUCUUUUAAUUUAUUCAACUUAUAAGGAUAUAAUAGUGAGCUAUCACAGACAAUUACACAAAUAUUUAGACGAAUGUACAGAUAAACGAAUAAUUGAUUUCUCAUGCCGACGUAUUAGGAAAAAUAUCAGUAUACUAAAGUAUCACGUAAUGAUUUAUACACAUCUUUUUAACAUGUACACAAUCAAUUCAGAUGUCGCUAAGGGAUUUUUGUUCUUGCUAGGUAAAUUAUAAAUUUACUCCCAGAAGAUUGAUUAAAUACAUAUAAUUUAGGUUCAAAAUACAACCAGCAAUGUAACUGAUCAACAUUAGAAAAUGAUUCAUGGUCUCCUAUUUGCCAAAUCUUACCCACGCAGGUACCAAAUCUGAAAGAUGAACACAUCAGCAACAGAAAACACAACCACCCCAUAGGGUGGAAUAAAAUAAAUAAAUAAAUAAAUAAACCUGAAAGUAUACAUACAACUUGAUCUAGACAUUGUAUUAAAGAUGUUCCCAGUAGAGCUUGAGCAUGUUGGAUGCAUGAUAAUGGAGAUGCUCUUUAAUAGAGUCUCGGAUGCAUUGUGAUCUUCUUAUCAGAUUAUCUAUAGAUUGAUCUCCAAGUCUGUUAUGGACUAGUUGUUGUACUAUUAUGUUGUUGUUGGUGUGAAAUUAUAUCCCUGUGAGAAAAAAAAAAAAAAAAAAAAUUUCUAGCACAUUUGUAUUCACCCGUUGGUAUUAAUGACAUUAAUGCUUUUUACACAAGUAAGAGGGGGGCAAGAGAGAUCUGCUAGAAAGAAUAAUAUAUUUACAUGACGAGUCUAGCUACGUUGUGUCGGACGAUGCCUUACAUGACACAUAUGUAAUAGACACCUGAACUCUAUAAUUCUCGUAUUGGAAGCAAAUCUCCUUUAAAUUUAUAAUAUAUUAUAAACACAACUAACAAAAUUUUAUACAAUCCAUUUAGCAACACAUGAACACAACAUGAAAAAAUAGAUUUAGAUUAUUAAAUUUGACACAAUUAUUAAAUAGGUUGUGUUAUUCUAUUUCAUAAAAUUUGACCCAUCUACUCAAUUAAUGAAAUGAUUACUACGAAGGAUAAACAUUUAUGUGCUAUUCUAUUUCAUAAAAUUCUAGAUGGAUUUAAAACUUGAAUGGUGUAAAUAUGUAAUAUUUCAAUAGAUAUGUAUAUUUUUAUGAUAUCGAUAUAUAAUAUUAUUUAAAUAUAUAAAAAUUGUAAAAUUUUUAUCAAAUAGGGGCAAAAAUGAUUGAUAUAAAUCAUGUUAAAUGAGUAUUAAUUAAAUGGAUUAUUAAGUAAGUCAUGACACAAUUAUUAAUUAAUGAGUUACGUUGUGUCAAUUGUUUAUUUUGCAUAUCAAACUUGAAAUUUUAAUAUUUAAUACAAUUAUUAAAUAAAUAUCUAAAUUACUCUAAUGAUAUUUUAAAUUUCACAUGGCAACGAAAACCACUUUGUCAUCGGUUUUGCCACCUCUAAAUUAUCACAAUAAAUAACCAAGUCAUGGACUUGCUGUUUUGCCAAGCAAUCACUCAGUAUCUUGCCACGUAUUUGAGUCAGAGGUCAAACCCCCGAUUUUCGUCCUUCAAUUGAAGGAUGAUUUUGUUUUGGAGCUCGGCGUGGCAAGAAUGCAUUAUCGGACCAUUAUAAACUAACAAAGUUGAAUAAUAAAUCAAGUGAUAAUCGAUAAAAUCGAGUAAAAUAAUAAGUCAAAAAGUACUAGUUUUUUAACCUACAGGCCUGUAGUUCAAUAAUAUCUACGAGAGAAUGAGUUUGAGCCACGUAAAAUUUAUUAUAUUUAAAAAAUAGUAAAUUUGUCGAACAGUAUUUUUCUACAUACAAUAAAUAAUUUUUUUUAAAAUUAAAUAUGGGCAUUUUAGCUUUAACAUAUUUUUAUAUUUUCAUGUUAUUUGGAGCGUAUUUAUUGCAAUUACCUCGUUUUCGCGGCUUCGGGUGAUUCGCUUGCUCUGUCUACUACCACACAGAAUGGAACUGCGAGAAAGAGAAGAACAGGAAAACGAUGUCGUUUUACCGAAGAAGAAGAAGACGAAGAUGAAACUGAUAAAGGAGAGAAAGCGAGAGGAAAGAAAAGAAAAACUCGAAGAAGAAGAAACUGAAGAAUUAUUGCAGGACCCACUGGAGGCUUUUGGUAGAGACAUAAUGUUGAUGAUACUUCAAAACCUAAAAGCACACAGCGUAGCACUGACUCUCCUUGUAUCCCGUGCUUGGAACGGCGUCGCUUCAAGCGACACGCUUUGGACUCCCAAGGUUCAUUUCCUUUCCUAUUCUUUCUUUUUUUUCCCCAAUCUU